GCCCUCGAUGAUUGAGUAGCAGUAGGUGAAGUUCUCCUUGUCCAGGGCCUCAACCUUGUGCUUCGCUGUCUUGUACUGACUGCCUAUCAAUGUAACAGAAAGUCACAUUCACAUUUAGAACUCGCAGGUUUCAAUAUCACGAGCACCAAUCUUCAUGGUGUCCAUCAGGCCAUUUAGGAAUUAACCCAAUUGUUCUGACCACAAUCCAAUACAAUUGACUUAGACAUAGCCUAACUUUGCCUGAUCAAAAUCCGAGUCACAUAAUCACUCGUGUAAAGUUAAAUGGUUAGAAACAUCUUAAGUAACAGAGUCAUAUUUCUAUCUUUUCCAUAUUCAUUAUAUUUUUCCAUAAGGUUGAACCCGCCUUGAUUCAGAGCGAUCCUAAGUUCCUAAUACGGAUGGACUAACCUUUGCCAAAAGUCAUCAACUUGAUGGUCCCGGGACCCCCAUCGCCCUCGAGGACUUCAACGCUCUUGACGGCUUGCGGGAGGACCUUGGGGAGGAGGUUAUCGGCAUCGAGGAUAGCGGCCUUGAAUAUCCUGGCCCGAGGAAUGGGGGACAGGAUAUCGAAGCGAAAAGUGACGACACCCAUGACCGGAUCCUAACAGAGUUGCUGAAACUGAGAAGGAGGUGAUGAUCUGGAAGUAGUGAUGAAGUUGGUCUAUGGGACUUGGGAGUGAAGAGAAGAGGCUGAAUUGAAGUUGACAUAUAUAGAGAGAGAGGGGGACUGAGUGUGAAGGGUUCUGAUCACUGCAUAUUUUCUUCUUACUAAGAUGCAUUAUCUUUUGCAGAAAAUAAAUAAUUUAGAAAAUAUUUUUCUAAAAAUAAUCACUAAAUUUAGAUAGUGUUUCGAGCAUAAGUUAUUUGGUGAGUUUGCUGCAUGUUCUAAAUUGAUCUAAAUUGCUAAAUUUAAUGGGCUCACUAGAAUUAAAAGUCUAGAUUCCCCUUAAUAUAAAUAAGACACUACCUCAUUUUCAAGUCUUCGUCAAAAUUGUGUUGUAUGUACUAAGUUAAUCUAAAUCACUAAAUUUGAUGGGUUCAUAUGGGAUCCAUACAAAAUUCACAGGAAUUAAAAGUUCAGAUUUCACUUGCUAUAAAUACAGUGCUCUUUCCUCAAAUUGUGUAGUACGUACUAAAUUGAUCUGAAUUGCUAAAUUCAAUGGGUUCAAGUGAGACCCAUAUAAAACUCAUUAGAAUUAAAAGUACAGAUUUUGCUUAAUAUAAAUACGACCCUAGCUCAUUUCCAAGUCUUCAUCAAAAGUGUGUUGUGUGUCCUAAAUUGAUCUAAAUCGCUAAAUCUAACAAGUUCAUGUGGGAUCCAUGUGGAACUCACUCAAAUUAAAAGUCCAGAUUCUCCUUGAUGUAAAUACGAUGCUAUGUCAUUUUCUAAGGUUUCAUUAAAAUUGUGUUGUAUAUACUAAGUUAAUCUAAAUCGCUAAAUUUGAUGGGUUCAUGUGGGAUCCAUAGGAAACUCACUAAAAUUAAAAGUUCAUAUCAGCUUAAUAUAAAUACAGUUUUCUUUCAUCAAAAUUACGCCGUAUGUACUAAAUUAACCCCAAUUGCUAAAUCUGAUGGGUUCAUGUGGGACUAUAUAAAACUCACUCAAAUUAAAAGUCUAGAUUCUCCUUGAUAUAAAAACAAUGCUAUGUCAUUUCUAAGUUUUCGUCAAAAUUGUGUUGUAUAAAUAUAGUGCUCUUUCAUCAAAAUUACGCCGUAUGUACUAAAUUAACCCAAAUCACUAAAUCUGAUGGGUUCAUGUGGGACCUAUAUAAAACUCGCUGGAAUUAAAAGUCUAGAUUCUACUAAAUAAAAAUAAGGCCCUAACUCAUUUCCGAGUCUUUGUCAAAAGUAUGUUGUAUGUCCUAAAUUGAUCUAAAUUGCCAAAUCUGAUGAGUUCACAUAGGAUCCAUAUUGAAUUCACUAGAAUUAAAAGUCCAAAUUCCACUUAAUAUAAAUAUGAUGCUAGCUCAUUUCUGUUUAUUCAUCAAAAUUGUGCUAUAUGUACUAAGUUAAUCUAAAUUGCUAUAUUUGAUAGGUUUAUGUGGAACCCAUAUGAACCUCACUAAAAUAAAACGUCCAAAAUCGAUUAAAUAUAUAUACCGCUUUAACUCAUUUCUAAGUCUCCAUCAAGUGCCUUUUUCUCAUCUCUUUGAAGCUUCCGAUCGCGUGCCAUUCCGUCACAUGUGAAUCGCGAAUGAUUUUCCACGCCGGAGUCUUUGUUAAAUCUAAAGACUUAAAAAUACGAAUGUGAAGUAACAAUUGCGUGUCAAAUGCAGAAAAUUCUUAAGUGAAAGAGUUGACCGUCCCCUCUUGAGUCAAAUGUUCUCUUCCUUGAUAUGCUUUUCUGAUCUGGCCUCAGACACAGAUGGUCAAAGGGGCGCAUUCAUAUCCAUAAUCUCGCGGCAGUUUCAACUCUGUAAAAAGAAUGCCGAGAUCUUUACAAGAUGUUUGACAAGCGUCUUUGAUGACAGCAUGCACAGCAUAUCUACUGCUUCAAAACAUAGUUACGGUUCAGUCUCGAUUGUUAUUUUUCUUGAAAGAGACACGAGAAUGAAGACAUAAACCAUGGUGGGAGAUAGAAAGAUGGAGCCAACGUGCAACAACUCAAUUGUAAGCAUCAGGGUUUUUGCAAGAGAUGGGCUUCAAUGGCUUUCAACAUUCCCACGGCCUUGUCUUUGCUGGCCUUGUUCUCUUCCCGUCCAUGACGAAGUACUUGCUCGUGCUCUUGCCCAUGCACCCUCCCUGUCUGGCCCCGCCUCGGCCUUGAUCUCAUUUGAGAUCUUCUCUAGCGCAUCGCCCUCAACGAUGGCAUAUGUGUGCGUGACGCAAAAAACUGCAGUCAGCUCCCACGUUAGCCUUAUCAAAGAAUGUCGGCAAACAUCUUCUUGACAUCACAUGUUAAUGCGACGCGAUCAAAAUGAGUGAAAUUAGAAGACAGCGCAAGCACUCGCCUUUGCUGAAAACGACGUGAUGGUGCCGGGACCGCCAUCACCUUCAAGGGUGACAAAAUCCUCAAUGGCUUGCGGAAGGAGCUUGGGGAUGAGAUUGUCAUCAAGAACAAAGGCCUUGAACAUUCUCGCAGGUGGAAUUGAAUGCAUCUUCGCCUAACAGUUCCAAGUCCCUCGGCAAGAGAUGUGUGAGAUUAUGUUAAAAUGCCCUCUAAAUGAUUCUUAAUUGCCUCGUUUAGUAAUCUAGAUCAACAUCACAAUGGUCUAAAUCAUAUAAUAAAGAAAGAGGACAAAAGGCAUGGAUCUCAAGCCCAAAUUAUACUUAUUAGCAUGCAAGAGAUCUUUGAAUGCAGAUACCCUUAAGGGUGGGAAGUCAUUAAAGUAUCAUUUAAAUAUUCUAACGGUGCCAACUGCUCGGACAAGCAAGCUUGAGUGCAUGCAGAUAAUUCUUGCGCAACGAAAUGCAUGGUAGGUCGCAAACCGAGACUCAUCCGCGCACACGCUAUUGCCACCAUGACCAUGAAUACCACUUCCUUGACCAGUUGGCCAGUCGGAGGAGGAAGACAUGGGUCGAGCACAUUCUAUAGUGGCACAUUUGAGUUUUUUAAUAAUGUCGACAUUUGUGUCAUUUGUAGGGAAGAGAGAAGAUUGCCUGGAUGCUUCCCCAUCAUUCUCUAGCAUUGGUACUUUUACUGUUGACUCUGUUUCACGAAAGAAGGAUGAAUCAAUGUUUUGAUCACAGCGUCAAGUUCCAAUUUUUUGUGAUACUAUUAAUACAAACCACUUUUCAAAAUCUAUACUUGCUCUUCCUAAAGGUCUUGUUAGAAUUAUUGGACGAAUCCAAAUUCGAUAUGUCAAUUAAAGCUAUUUGAUCUACCUGAGACCAUAAGUACAGGGGAUGUAUUGAUUAGAUUUGAUCUUGUAGCUUACCAGGAACCAUGUAGCUAUAAGAUCUAGCCACUGGGGUCCAAUUUGAUGAAUCCAAAUUCAAGAGUCUCACCAUCCCAAAAACCGAAAGCCGAGGCUCGGAGUCCAGCUCCAGCAGAUGUUGUUCAACGUAAUGUCCCAAUGGACAAUAGGCGGUGAGCAAUCAUGAUGCAGGCAAGCGAUCGUGUGAGCCACACAUUGAACAAUCUUCACUCUCUUGACACGAGUCCAAUUCAACUGCUCCUCUUCCUCCAUGCAUGACCUUUGCCAAAGUUCAGAAAACAUUGGAUGAUGUCCUCGCGGUCAACCACCACUUUGUUUUGACAGUGACGAUGUGGCCGAUGGCUUGUUCGGCCUUGUAAACGCUCCUGAAUCGGCCUUUUCCCAUGCAGCACGCUUCGCUGAAGUCGUUGGUGGCCUUGGCAAUAUCGUUGAAUGCAAACUCCGUUCCCCUUUCCCAUAUGAUUUCACGUACUUCAUAAGAUUUCUUAUCUCUUCAUCGAGAUGCUUGUUUCACCGCCGAAGCACCAAAAUCAGAGCAAUAAGAGUCACGAGAAGUAGUAAGCAGCAAACGCAACAAUCACAUUAAUCAGAACCUUUCUCCGAUGGCCAGUCGAUUUACUGCUCGACCCACAUGGAGACAUUCCGUCGCGUUUCCUCACAAGCCCGGAUUUGCGAUAAAAGCACUUUCCACUGAUUGUUGGAAGAGGUGACCACUAGGAACUGCGCCUGUCAGCUUGUUGUACAAGAAGCCAAUGAAGAUUAAACUGCUCAUGCUGGUGAGAGCAGCUGGGAUCGUACCCGACAAAUUGUUAUGCGAAACAUUGAGAUUUCCAAUUUAGUGAGCUUUGCUAAGUUGGAAGGAAUUGAUCCUGCUAGUGAAUUGUGGCUCGGGUCUAGGUGGUUCUGUAGCGUGAACGAGUUCCCCAGCUCUGGCAGUGACCCAACAGAUUGUUGUUGCUCAAGUUCAAGCUCAGUAAAUUCUCGCAAUUUGCUAGCUCUUUCGGUAUGCUACCGCUCAAUGCCUUCUCCCCAAAAAACAAGAUAAUCUAGCUUUGAUUAGUUUUCUAACGAGUUGGUAAUAUCUCCGGCCAAAUGGUUGUUGCUCAAGUUCAGCCUUACCAACUCCCCUAGAUUUCCCAUCUCGUCGAGAAUUUUCCCGGUCAGUUCAUUGCCUUAGGAAGUCAGAACAUCCAAUUGAGACAAUUUCCUGAGCUCCGACGAGAUGCGGCUGGCGAUUUGUUACCAUCUAUCAGCAAAUUCGUGAGAUUCAUACACUCUCCCCAUUCUGCAGAGAGAUUCCCGACAAAUCGGCUGUUGCUGAGGCUUAUAAAGUCCAGAUUCGGUCUGAACGAACUCAUGAUAUCUGUAGUGAACUGAUUGCUGUUCAGACGGACUCUCGUUAGCCCCGGAAAAUUCCUCAAGAAGUCAGGCGGCAGCUCAGUGAAGUUAUUCCCAUCGACCGUGAGAUAUCCAAGAGCAAAGUCGCUGCAUAUAUCUUACAGCAUUUCUCCGAUGAAGCUGUUGUUCGAAAAGGUAACGAUCCCCAGAGAAGGGCUGUACUUGCGGAAAUCACGUGUUAUGCCUCCCGAGAAAUUGUUCUUGAACAAAGAGAUGGACCGUAAGUUGGCAAGGCGAGAGAUGGUCUCACAAGAAAAUAUUGUGUACACAAGUGAUGCUACGUCAUGGCUUUUCCUUCCCAGCCUAGAUCUCCUCUUCUUCAACUUGAAGUGCCUUCUUGCUGUUGUCCUUGCUCGUCAUCCUGCAGACCGACCCUCCAUCGCUGGUGGCCUCAAACUUGACCUCGUAAUCGAUCGACUGGAGCUUGUCACCCAGCGCAUCGCCCUCGAUAUCGUGGUCCUACACAUGAAGUUCUCCUUGUCGAGCUUGUCGAUCUGGUGCUUCACAUUCUAGAAAGGACUAGCUGCAAUUACGUUAUGAAACUCCCUGCUCGAUGAGUGUUGAGUGUACAUACCUUCGGUGAAAUUUAACUUGCUCAAUGCUCCCGGCUCCACUGUCACCUUGCACCGGCUCCACCGUCGCCUUGCGCCAGCUCCGCACGCUCUUUAUGAACUGAGGCAGGAGCUUCGGGAUCAGGGUAUUUGACUCGACAAUCAAGGCCUUAAGAAUGCGAGCCGGAGCAAUCGGGCAUAUGAGCUCUUGUGUGAAGCUGGUUGCCAUGGCUAUUGGCAAUGAGAAAGAAAUAACCCCAGAGAAGAGUGCUUCCGAGUCCUGUCACUGCCUCCUAAUGUAUGGUUGGAAUUAUGUCAAUAGGUAGGGUCGGGUUGGCAAGAGUCACGCUCGAGGAAAAUAGGAGAGUCAAGGAUUUGCAGCCCAAAGGAAUGGAAAAGAGGAAUUAAGGUGGUCUCUUUUGUUCUUUUGGUCAUGAAAAUGAUUUCGGUCCCUUUCAGAUUCAUGUUGAAAUGUCAAAGUUUAUGUUCCAAAAGAUGAACAUUCUCGUGCUCACAUGGGCGGCCAUCCCUUUGAAAUGAUUGUUGUGGAGUUCGAUCUAACAAUUUGCCGAUUAGAUAUUAUAAUGAACUGUCCUUGUUUGAAGAAAAGUGUAUAAAUCGAAUUUUGUCUUGUUUAUGCAGCAAACAAAAAUACUUAAUUAGUUGGUGAUAUCACGUUAAUUUGUUGCGCAAUAUAAACAUCACAUAAUAUAUUUCUUCAUUUGUAAUGCCCUAAUGUCACGGUGGAUCUGAUUCAAAUGUAUGAAGUAAGGCCUUUUGAAAUCAUUUUCAUGGGUUGAUUCAAACUUCACUAGCACCGACAGUUUGACUCGGUCAAAAUUGGGUCGGCAAUCGGGGUGUCCCAAGAUCAGCUCGUCGUCUGAGUUUUGGGGGAGGUGGAGGCUGCUGCUCUUACGUUAUAUUUUGCUUCUCUUUUUCUUUUUUUCUUUUUAUCAGUGUUGAAGCAUUUGAUCUCUAUCCAAUGUCCCCAUCAAAGAUGUCCCCAUCAAAGAGAUAAGGUAGGAUUAGCUUAAAUAGAAUUUCAAAUAGCCCAAGCGUUACAAUAAGAUAAGUCCAAAACCCGAACACUUUAACUUUAUUUUUCUAUAGCUUUCUUGACAUAUAAUAAGAAUGUACUUUUCAUCAAUGAUCAUACGCAUAACAAUCUUUGAAAGAUUCUACCACAUUGAUAGUUUUAAAUGUUAAUCCAAAUUUGAAAUAUAAGUUUGGAUUUAUUCAUUUGUUACUCAUGAAUUCUAUUCUUUUGUGGAAUUUAUUGAAAAUUAGAGAAUCUCAUGAAUCCAACAAAAUAUCAAGCUUAUUCAACUUUUAUUCCCUUGAUACGCUAUUUAUGUAGCACAAUUUACAAAAUUCCACAAAAACCACUUCACCAGAUUCCUGCCACACCUUUCAUUCUCUUAUUCUCAGCAAAUACAAGAACAGCUACGCUCACCAGCCCCACAAGCUUUACUGCAAACACAGAGUGACCCAAACUCUUCUUCUCUCCUUGUGAAUUUAGCACAACCAGACGUAUUUCACACAGUACAGUGAACAAUCCAAGAUAGCGAUGAGAUCUACUCAAUAGGCAUCAGGGUUUGCCAAGAGAUGAGCCUCGAUGGCCUUGAACAUCUCGGACGCCUUCUCUUUCCCGGCCUUGAUCUUCUCCUCAGUGAUCUCCACCUCCCCGAUGGUGAAGUACUUGCUCGUGUUCUUGCACACCGAGCCUCCCUCGGGCGAUGUGGUGAUCUUCACCUCGUUGCUGAUCUUCUCGAAGGUGGUGCCCAGCAUGUCGCCCUCGAUGAUCGAGUAGCAGUAGGUGAAGUUCUCCUUGUCCAGGGCCUCAACCUUUUGCUUCAUUGUCUUGUACUGACUGCCUAUCAAAGUAAGAAAAAAUAAUAUUCACGUUUAGAACUCGCCCGUUUCAACAUCACGAACAACGAUCUCGAUGGUGUUGAUCGGGCCAUUUAGGUUGUUCCAACUGCAAUCUGAUACGAUUGACUUAGUAGACAUGGCCUGAUUUCCCUCGAUUGGAGUCAAGUCACGUGAUCACUUGUGUAAAUCAAUGAUUAGAAACAUCUUUAAUUAACCAAGUUACAUAUCUAUCUUUUUUAAUGUUCAUUAUGAUGUUCCAUAAGGUUGAAAUAGCCUUGAUCCAGAGCGAUCCUAACACGGACGGACUAACCUUCGCCGAAAGUGAUCAACUUGACGGUCCCGGGACCUCCGUCACCCUCGAGGACUUCAACGCUCUUGAUGGCUUGCGGGAGCACCUUGGGGAUGAGGUUAUCGGCGUCGAGGACAGCGGCCUUGAACAUCUUGGCCGGAGGGAUUGGGGUCGUGAUCUCAGAGUCGUAACUGACGACACCCAUGAUUUGGAUCCGAAUGGAAUUGCCGAAAGAAAGAAGAGGGUGAUCGGGAAAGGCUGACUAGCAGUGAUGAAGUUGGUCUCUAGGACUUGGGAGUGAAGAGAAGAGGAUGAACUGAAGCUGACAUAUAUAGAGAGACCGAGUGUGAAGGGUUCUCGUCAUUGGAUAUUUUCUUAAGUGUGUUCGUUUGGUACAAAAUAAAUAAUUAAAUAAUUAUUUGUAUCAUUUGGUAUAAUUAUUUGAUGAGAAAGUUUUGCAUUAUUGACAAUAAUUUAUAUAUAAAUAUUUUUUAUUCGUUUAUUUUUGUAAUUUAUAUAAAAAAAAUAUUUUUUUUACGAAACAAAUGAAGCUUAAUAAAAAAAUCUUAAUCGGUCUGUGGGUUGUUCAAUCAUGACAUGGAGGGGAGCGUGUGACGACAAAGUCAGUUCUUCUUACCGUUCGUGGCCCGGCUUUCGGUCGUCGGCUCGGCUCGCCUUGCGUUUUGGAAACGGCAUCUUCUCUCUCUCUCUCUUUCCUUCUCUCGCCCGCUCUUCCCUGCCCCGCCCCCCGGGCUUUGCUGUGGUCGCGACCAGAUGGAACUUUGACCGUGGAUUAGAUCGUUCGUUCGGUGGUGUUGGUGUCGAGGGUCGUUUGUCUUGUCCGUGCACAAAUUCCUUUCUUUCUUUUUUUUUUUUUUUGCUUUUUUUUUCUUUAUUCGAUGAGGUCGUCGUUCGAUGAGGUCGACCUUGACCUCGCCGGUUGCCAUGGUCCGUCGACUAGAGGAAGAAGAUGAGAAGAAAAAAAUAAAAAUAAAAAUAAAAAUUCAAAAAAAUUACAAUAUUAUUAGAAGUUGUCCACGUCAUCGUGUUUAGUCAGCAAAAUCCGGUCAAAAUUGACCGGAAAUGACUGAAUUGGUAUAAAGUAAAAAUAUUUAGGACUAAAUCAGCACAAAAACAAAAUGUUUAGAACUUUUUAGGCAUUUUUCCCCUAAAAUGGGUAUUACAAGUUUACGAAAGGUACGAACUCAAAAGUCUCCCAAUAAUACUUAAAUUCUCUUGUAGUAGUUAUAUCUAUCUAAUCUUCAAUUAAAAAAGAAAAAUUUCAGUAAAAUUCCUUAAAAACACAUGUAUAAAAUCUUGUUAUCUUCUAUUAAUGCAGGUUUUAAUCAUAUUGUUUCACCAACCUUCUCAGCGAAUUAGUCCCUUUUUUUAGCAUAACUAAUCUUGGGAUGUCACAUUUUAUUGCUAUAACUUGGGGCUUUGAUUUAGGAACUCCAAUAAUCAUUAAAUCUAUCCAUGGAGAGCGCCCGCUAAAAAAAUCUGACUGCUUUGCAUAACCUAGUUUGGUUCAACACCUUUCCUCCAGUAACUUUCCUGACAUAGUAAAAUCUUACUUAUGUACUUGUAAAAUCCGAACCAAGUUUCUGUAUAGAUUAAACAUGAACAUUUGCACACUUAAAUGAAUUCUUUAAAUCCCUGGGUUAAAUUUUGAUAUUAUCAUAAUCCUUUAUUUUCCAAGUAGUUUCUCCAUUUUCGACAAUGACAAACCUAUAACAUUCCUUCAAUGAGAGUGAGCUAUGCACAUAAGCAUGCAUAUUCUGCAGAACUAUUUGAAUGUAAAACCAGAGAUGAUUCAUGCAUGCUUCUACAUGUGACAUUUUAAUAGACCAUACAAAUAUGUCUGCAAAACAUAAUAAACUCUCCUUAAUAUGUACACAUAGUGUGAUACUCCCCCUGAGUAUGUGCUUCUCCCCCUUCUUGUUUCUUAAAAAAGCAAGAACAUCAUAUGCCCAGGGAUGAAAACCAUAUAAGCAAAAGCAUCCAUUUAUUUAUAUACAAGAGUGUUCCACAAAGCAUAUUCUGGAAAAAUUAAUAUAAAGGAAAGUGAACAUUAACCAAAAGGAUCACAAACACCGAUUUCAUCCAUCAAGCUAGAAACGUAUUGUUAUCAAGAGGUUUAUUCAAAAUAUGAGCGAAUUGCAGAUCGAUGUUAACAAAUCCUUUUCAUUAAUUCAUGUUGUGCUGUGGCUGCCAUAAUUAAAUAAAUAAAUAAAAGAAUCAUAUGAAGGAGUCUCUCUUCUUGAAGUUUGACCUAGUUCAGAGCUCCUCGAAAUGGAAGCCACCCCCGUUAAUUAGCACAACUCAUUGUUUAGAGUUAAAUCUUUUAUUAGAAAUCCAAAAUUUAGGCAAUUAAAUACUUGGCCAAUUUUUAAGACAGUGUGACUCUAAAAAUUGUGCUCAUAUUCAACUGAAACACAAUUAGUAAAGAAAGACUUACCGAGUGCUUAACAAUGUCGCAAUUACACUUAUCUUCAAAUCCUUACAUUAAGGAUGACACAUCCUUAUAUUUCAAUAAGGGCCAUUGACUUAACUAAGAAAUUUUAUCUGUUGAAUACUUGAAACACAGAAAUCUGACUAAUUGGAGUAUGAAUUACUGAAACUACAACAACAAUUGAGUAGAAAUGUAAAAGAGACUUAGGGUUGAUGCCUGAUUAUAUAUCGAAAUACCAUGGGUUUGACAUAUAGACCUCCUUGUCAAAGCCCUGUAUGCUAUUGGAAAUAUGUAUACGUAUUAGGCGCAUUCUGUGGGCUACUACAUGGUGCACUUGUUUUAUAUUUAAAGUUUCAAUGGGUUAGUUUUGUCUACUGGUAAUAUUUUCCUCCAAUCAUACUUUCAAUUAAUAGGUCAAAGAUUAUGGACAUUAUCAAUACGAAAUUUAAUCAAAAUCAAAUACGAGUGAUGUUAAUAUUUGUGUAAUCCAUCAAUGAAAGUUAUGGCUAAAAAGAGUUCAUCCAGCUAGAGCGUUACAUGUGUAAAUAGAGAUAAAAUAAAUUUAGAAUUCUAUCCGUGAACUUUUAUAUCAUUGACUACGGUUGCUAACAAGCAUUUUCAUUGCAAAAUUUGACAACAUUUUUCGAUGGCUUUUGGAUUAUCACAUAAUUAUGUCGUGAUUCAGUUUUAUCAUGUUCAGAUUUAGUUUUUUUACAUUUAUUUGAAUCUAAGUUACAAUUAUUGCACGUGAUGGUUGACACUUAAGGGCCUGCAUGGUUGGCACUUAUUUCUGUUCCCAGGAACAGAAAUUUCUGUUUUUUUGUUCCUGGGAACAAAAAAGGAACAGAAACGCGUUUGUGUGCGUUUCNNNNNNNNNNNNNNNNNNNNNNNNNNNNNNNNNNNNNNNNNNNNNNNNNNNNNNNNNNNNNNNNNNNNNNNNNNNNNNNNNNNNNNNNNNNNNNNNNNNNNNNNNNNNNNNNNNNNNNNNNNNNNNNNNNNNNNNNNNNNNNNNNNNNNNNNNNNNNNNNNNNNNNNNNNNNNNNNNNNNNNNNNNNNNNNNNNNNNNNNNNNNNNNNNNNNNNNNNNNNNNNNNNNNNNNNNNNNNNNNNNNNNNNNNNNNNNNNNNNNNNNNNNNNNNNNNNNNNNNNNNNNNNNNNNNNNNNNNNNNNNNNNNNNNNNNNNNNNNNNNNNNNNNNNNNNNNNNNNNNNNNNNNNNNNNNNNNNNNNNNNNNNNNNNNNNNNNNNNNNNNNNNNNNNNNNNNNNNNNNNNNNNNNNNNNNNNNNNNNNNNNNNNNNNNNNNNNNNNNNNNNNNNNNNNNNNNNNNNNNNNNNNNNNNNNNNNNNNNNNNNNNNAAUAAAAAAAUUAUACAAAUUUACCAAACAUGUUUCUGUUUAUUUUUUAUUCUCGGAACAAGUUUACCAAACGCGUAUUUUUGUUCAAAAAUUGUUCCCCGGAACAGAAAUACUUUUUUCUAUUUCUGUUCCUGGAACAAUUUUUAAACAGAAACACAACCAAACGCGCCCUAAAUUUCGCUGUUUUUCUUCCUCUUCUUUUGUCCCCGCGCGGCCCAAUCUCGUUUUUCCUUUCGGCCCGCCCGCGCCCCAGCUGUCUUCCUUGUCCUGUCUUCGCGCGCAAACCUGCAGAGGAGAGACAGCAGCAGCAGCAGCACAGCAGCAGCACGCCAGCAGGGGGAGCAGGAGCAGAGUAGAAAGCACGCGAGCAACAGGCGGACCGGCGGAAAGAAAAGACAGGGGGAAGCAAGGGGCAGAAAGAAAGUGGAGCAACCAGAGAAAGAAAAACAGAGGGAGAGAGCUCGAGAGGGAGGGAGAGAACCGGAGAGGAGGGGAGUCUCCGGCACUGUCGCCGCCGCCGCCGACGCUCGCUGCCGCCUCCCACACCUCUCCAGCAACCGCCAUCCCCGACGACCACCGCCGUGUUGCCUCCCCCGCCGUCGCCUGCUGCUGCGUUUUCGUCACCAGCUGCCGCGUUCGCCGUCGCCCGCCGCUGCCUUUCCGCCACCGUGCCGUCACCCGCUGCGUCCCAACCGUCGCCGUCAAGCCCGUCGCCGCCGCCGCCGUCCGUACGCCUAGCGACGCCUCAGCCGCAAGCAAGGAGAGGGACGUCCAUCGGGUCGCAGCCGGGUAGGAUUUUGAUCUUCGGGCAGGCCGCGUCUGGGCCGAAGCAAGGCCUUUGGGCCGGUUUAAUAUUAGUUUUUCCUUUUGUGUCGGGCUGGUUUAAUAUUAGUCUUUCCUUUUGUGUUGGGCCGGGCUUAGUUUACUUAGGUUUCUUUUUUAGGUGGACUCAGUUUUGAGCUGGACUGGGCCCGUCGUUCAGGCCCAGUCCUGUUGGGGCCCUGCCGAAUUUGGCCCUCCCCCGACCAGGCCGAACCCGGGUCGGUCAGACCGGACCCGACCCGGUUCGCCCAUUUUUUUAAAAUUUAUUUUAUUUUUUAAAAAUAAUUAAAAAUGUAAAAAUUUCGAAAAUUUAAAAAAUGUUGGGUUUAGUUAGGAAUUAUCAUGUCAACAUAAUUAAGCUUUUAUUUUCUUGUACCUUGAUUAUAUUGCAUGUUUAAUUAGCAUAUUUGAUUAUGUUUGUGGAUGUUUAAUUGCACAUGUUUAAUUUUACUGCAAUUAAGAUUUUGGUAGCUAUUAUUGUUAUUCUAAUGAUUGUACAUUUAUACAAUUACAUUAUAUGUUAGUGGAUAUGUGUAAAAUCAAUCCACAUUGCCUGACAAAAAUCAUUUCUUUUUAAAAUGAACAAUAUUAAGUAUUGAAAAGACACUAAUUGGUUAAUUAGUAUAAUCAUAUUCCCGACCCUAGAUUCUUUAGUUGGUAAGAAGUGUGGUAUACUCUCAUGUCUCACUUGGUUUUUAACCGACCCCAAUAUAGCUUACUCUAAUAGGUUAGUGGCGACUCUCUUUUGCAAAAUUCUUAAAAAUACCCAAAUGUCACGUGAGAUAAAGCUUAUGAGAGCCUAUGCCUAAUCAUAGGCUUUAGAUUCGUUGUUUAGGCAAUACCCUUAAACCUAUUCUUUCCCCCUGAUGGUAGGUCACGACAAUGAUCUAAGCUCCACCAAUAUUCUUACAUGACAUUUUCUGCUUGUCAAGCAUGUGACUUUAACGAUGUUGUAAAUUAAAUCAAUUACACGUUAAAAGUUUCAGUCAAUAAUUGACACAAAUAGUAGUAGUGGACCGACCGAAUAACAUUAGAUUGGCAAUGCAAAAUCUUAUUUCAAUAGAUCAAUAGCAUAACUACAGCAAAUAUCAAACUUUAGGACCGUGAAUGAAAUUUCUCGGUGUUAAAAAAUAAUUUUCCUUCUCUUGUCACGUCCACAGAAAAUCUUUUAGCACCACCACUACAAAAAAGGAUCGUGGUUUUCUUCCAUCACAAAUUUGAUUGGCAAGUUAUCAAAAUUUGAAGAAUCAUCCUAGAGACCGAUUCAAGGACAGCAGUUGAUCUACUAGUUGGCAAGAUUACAGAGGCGUUGAGGUCAGAUUGGGUGGUGAAAACCAACACAGCCCGUGAAGGCAAAACGUGCGACGAUUAAUAAGCCAAUGCAGCGUUCUUUCAGAGACUAGAUUUAGUUAUUCACUUAAGUUUAUCUACGGGGCUUCAAUUUGUACUUUUUAGGAGAUAAAAGUGGGUGUUAGGAGGCCUGGAGUUGCAUAUGAGACGUGUUAGAAAUUAAACCAAAUUAAUAGAUGUCCUCAAUCGACUACGAGUUGCUGAUGUCAAUGGAGAAGUUACUGAUAUUAAUGGUUGUCAAUGUUGAUAUUCCAUAAUUUGAUACUGAUGAUUUUGUUUGGUGAAUUGAUACGGAUGACUGUCCGAUGCUUGAGUUAAUUAGAUUCUUUAUUGUAGCGUUGUUUUUGAGAAGUCUAUUCGUAUUUUUAUUUCAUGUCUGUUCAUGUUUCUAAGUGUAAUCAAUGUUUUGUAAGUUCUUAGGAUUUUAUCACCUCAGAUUAGCUAUAUUUAUGAGUAAUUUAGUUUAAGAGUUAUGUGUGAAGCGUAUAAAAGUGGAGUCUUGUAAUUGUUUUUGAUAAGGUGAAAAAAAGGUGAAAUAAACAAAAAGGAUAUCUGUCUCCUUCUCUUUUUUGUGUUGUGUUAGUGAGUGUUUCAGCUUUAAAUUAUCCCAUCAAGAUGUAGCCUGUAUUUGUCUGUUACAAAAACUUGAAAUUUUCUAGUUUUGAUGCCAUAUGAAAUUAUGAAGGAGCGCUAUUAGCUAUUAUAGAAGUUUAGAUAAUUAGAUGGAUGCAUUAUUCGAUACUUAAUUGAUAUAACGUCUCUUUCACGACCCAUGUUCCUUUUCAACAACUAGAUUACUUCAACAGCUUGGCCUCAAUGAAAGGAGAGCUGUCUACAGAAGUGGAGGAUGAUGGAAUGAACAACUCGAUCGCGGAGGAGGUAAAGAAGGAUGAAAGAGGACCUUUAAUGGAAGUGUCAAAGGAUGAAAGGGAUUCUGAAGAAGAAAUCUGGAGAGGUCGACGGGAGAUAAUGAAUAAUGCAUUGGCGGCUUCCGCGGGGGACAAGAUCCGGCAAAAGCUUACGAAUAUGCUCGAAUACUGGCGCAUGUCAUCAAAGGCGGCAAGGUUGACGAGUUCCUUUCCAUGAUCAAUGUAAAUGAUCCAUUGUUGUGGGACAUCAAUUGGUCUGCCGUUUUGAAUUCCCGAUUGGAAUGGAACGAAUCACUGCUCCACAGGGCAGCAGCAAACGAGAACGACGACAUCCUAAGGCUUCUGGUUGAUUAUGUUGGUGACCACCUCAUAACCGCCCAAGAUGAUUGCAGAUAUACCCCACUCCACUGGGUCGCUCGGUUGGGGGGAUCUACUGGAGCUGUAGAGAUGUUGAUUCACCGGGCAAGAGACCUCCCCAACGUCGAGGACAAGAACCUCCUCUUGAGGAUGAAGAGCAACCGUGGAAAAACCGCUUUGCACUUGGCCGUGUGCUCUCAACAUGCCAACUUGGUGCGCUAUUUGUUGAGCGAAGAUUUGGAGCCCGUGUACUGGAAGAAUGCAAGUGAGAAAUCUCCCCUGUACCUAGCCCUCGAGAUUAAUGACUCCACAAUACAUGAGACUUUAUUUUCACUCUCGUUGGAACCGUCAAGGAUAGAAGGCUUGCCGCCCAUUCUUGGUGCCAUUGUACUUGGACGACACGGUACGUACCUAAAUCUGCUUAUGUGGAAAUAUAUUUAUCUAUUUCUGGACCGACUCGUCCCAAAUUUGUGCAAUAACCUUUUGCUCUUACCAGAACCUUUUACCGGUUUUUACUUAAAAUUCCCUACCCUGCUUGUUAAAGCAGUUGGAUACCCAUCGGUUUAGCCGCGCAUAAUAAACAAAUUAUUCACAUUAGAGCAUAAUAGAUUGGCUUAAAUAUUACAAAUACAACCAUUUCACUAGAAACUCGUGUUAUCGAUAUUUGAUUAGAAAAGCUAUAAAGUGCAAAUAUUUAAGAUUGAUGACCAUGAAAAUCUGGUAUCUAACAAUGAUGCCAUUUCUUAAGCGACUUAGAGCCAUGAACCAAAAUGAACAAAUGAAAGUUUAGGGCAGGAAUUAUAAACUGGUAGCAAACCUGUAGGCUGCGCAGGCGUGAUUUUUUCAUUGGAAAAAGAGGAGGUGAAGGUUCCGUCACUCUCAACAAAUUGAUGGAACAUCAUAAACCGUGAAUUUGUUUGUGACCAACAGUCAAUAGGUUUUUAAGAAAUUAACAAAAGUGGAUCUAAAUAAAGAAACAAAUUUUUGACUUUUUUUUAAAAAUGAAUACAGUUAUCAUAAACUUUGCACAAAAAGCCGAUAUCGUAGUCUAGCCUAAAUUACCUUGACCAUUAAAAAUAUUGAGUUAAAAUUCAUCAGACACGCGAUAAUCAAUUAUGCGGAAUUUUUUGGCUGCUAAUGCCAUGUAUCCCAAGUUUACUACUUGAUAAGCAUAGCUAACGUUCAUUGAUCAUCAGAUUGGUAGAUGGCAUUCAAGUGUUACAGUCAUAUCAAAUAGAGAGAAUUGUCCAAAAAGUGCUAGACUUAUUAUAUGAUUGUCGAUUCAGUUAUAAACAUGUUAAUUGUGUCAAUUUAACCUCUAUUUUAGUCCUAAACUUUUAAAAGAUUUGCCAACUUAGUCCUUCUAAUCAAUUUCUACUGGAAAUCAAUUUAUGCUGGAAAUUGCCGACAUGGCGGUCUAGUCAAAGUUAGCCAUCCUACAUGAUGUUGAUCGCCUAUGUGGCUUUUUUACAAUAUAUAUAUUAUUUUUUUAAUUUUUUGCAUUUUUUUCCUUUUCUUUUUUUUUAAUCCUUUUUCUCCCUCUGCCAGCCUCAGGCGAGGGCUGCCCUCUGACCCUUGCGUAGAGCAACCCUUGCCCUUGCUCGACCUCCACUAGGUGUCAACUGUUGAUGGUUAGAGAAGGGAAAAAGGAAAAAAUGAAAUUAGAAAACAAAAUGAAAAGAAAAAGACAAAGGAAAGGAAAGGAAAAAGGAAAAAAAAAUUAGAAAACUAAAAAAAUUGCAAAAAUUAUCCAUGUUAGCGUUGACUAUGCCAUGUAGGACAAUCAAUACUACUAGACCGCCAUGCCAAUGAUUUCCAACAAAAUUGGCUAGAAUGACUAAAAUAACAAAUUGUUAAAAGAUUUAUAACUAAAUUGGCAAGUUAUUAAACAUGGAAGGCUUCGCAGCUAUCCAGAAGAGAGCCUUACUCUAUAGGGGUGCUAACGCUUUACUAAGGUAUAGGAGAAGGGGCGGUUGGCUUAGUAAAGAGAGUAUAAAGUUCCACUUUGUGAAUAGUGCCUCGGCUCGGUUGAGUAAUGUAGUUCGCAAUUGUUAUGACUAAAUUGGCAUAAUUGAAAUAUUUAAGACUAAAUUAAUCAUCAUACAAUAAAUUCAAGACUUUUUGGACAAUUUUCCCUAUCAAGUAUAAUUCCAACCCUAGAUGCAGUAACUUUAUUUGUAUCCUGUCCCAAUUUAUUAAUCCGAGCACAUGUUAUUAUUUACAUUGCACGACGUAACAUGUUUGAGGCUGUCUAUUUAAACUGAACAUGCAAAACAAUUUCAAAUAGACAUUAAGUGAAAAUGCGUAACAAUGUAUUGUGUGAUGCAAAUAAUAAAUUAGCAUACCCAAUAAAUGUAGGUGUCUAAACUUACGUCGCACUCGUUGAAUAGAUUAUAGAAGUCGACUUGCACACAUAACGUUCAUAAUCCAUUUAUAAAUGGCUUAACUUAUUUGCGAUAAUACAAUUAAACCUAAUCCUACCAUAUGUAACCACGUUUCAUGUAGUGAACAUGUCUGUAGAAGGGCUGUUUCAUAGUUUGUCAGCUCAUAAUUCUAAUAAGUACUUUAGAAACUAUACAAAAGAUCCCAUUGAAAUUGGAUUUACUAUAUAUUUCUUAUUCUUACUGUCCAAUAUAUAAAAAUCCUUUUAUGAAGUACUACUAAUUGAAAUCUCAUAAUAAUAGUUCAUUUUAUUCCUCAUUGAAUGUAAAAGUAGAUGACAUUGUGGAAUGAAUCGAGCAUUGCCAUGGGCUUUUGUAGAGAGGCACUUUAAUUAGGCUCUCAUGAUAGGUAAGGUUCAUAUCAAUUAAAUAAGGUAAGGUUAUUUCUUUAAAUCUAGUAGUAUUCUUUCACUUGGGAAAAUUAUCCAAAAAGUCCUAAGCCUAUUGCACUUUUGCCAAUUCAAUCCUAAAUCAUUCAAUUUUGUCAAUUCAGUGCUAACCAUUUUCACUUCUUGCCAAAUGAGUGUAUUCCGCUAAUUUUGACCAGAAUUCAUUGAUGUGGAUAAUUUUUAUUAAUAUUUUAAUCAUUUUUUAAAAAAAUUAUACUUUUUUCUUUUUUUCUUUCUUUAUUCCCCCCUCUCUUCUUCCUUUUAUCAAUGGCUAGCUACUAACCACCAGUGAUGGCCAACUACCGGCCAUGGCUAGGUGAGUUGACCUUGCCCGCCGUAAGUGAUGCCUGGCCGGGCAAGGCCAAGCCCCAACAAGGGUCGGCCUCACCUAGGUUAGGCGAGACCAACCCUCGCCCAAACUAGGUGAGAUCGCCUAGGCGAGGGUGAGCCCCUUGUUCGACCAUGUCUUACUGAGGCAUGCGAGGCUAGCUAGCUCGGCCAUAGUUGGUGGCUGGCACAAAAGGAAGAAGAAAGGGAAAAAAAAUUUAAAAAAAAUAAAAAAAUAUUUUUAAGAGUUUACAUUAGUGUCAACCGUCUUACAAGACACCGCUAGUGUCCACAUCAGCGAAUUCCUAUCAAAAUUAGCCGGAUGGACUCAAUUACCAAGAAGUAAAAAGGUUUAUGACUGAAUUGACAAAAUUAAAGAGUUUAUGACUGAAUUGAUAUAAGUGCAAUAGAUUUAGAACUUUUGGGAAAUUUUCACUCUUUCACUAAUGUAUCUAGAAUGUAACUAGUUACCCAUAUUGAAAUUUGUGGCCUGAAUUGCUCCGUCAAUUUCAAGAAUGGUGGCAUCCAUCAUGCGAGCACCUUUUUUUGUAUGUGUAAAAUUGAAGUAUGUUUUUUAUUAUAAAUUAUUGGUGAAAUAUUAUUCUAUUUCAUAAAAAAAUUCUUCUUUUGAAUAGAAUAAAUGCAAAAUUCUUAAUUCAUGUUAUAUAUUAAUGUAAAAUAUAGGGGGCUCGAUGAUAGUUAAAAAAUUCCUAAUUAUUGUUGUUAUAACUCAUGAAAUUUGUAUAUGUACUUAACAAUAUUAUUAGAGUAUAUUUUAUAGGAAGUAUUAUAGAAAUGUAAGAAUUUUCAAUAAUUGCUCAUUUGCAGUUUUUGAAACUCAUUAGAACUAAUUUCAAUAAAACUAAUGCCUCUUUUGUUGAACAAAAGUCAUGGUAUAAGAGGCAAACAUAAAUCCUAAUUUGAAGCAAAAUAAAUGGAAAGUGGAAGAAACACUCUUUGUGAGGAAAAUAAUCAAUCCCUUACAAAUUAGAGCCCUAUAAAUCACUUUUAGAGACAAUUCUUAAAGAAAAAAUCAUUAUAUAUUUAUGUAGAUGUUACAAUAGUCUAGAUUAAUUUGCAAAGUUCACUGAACUUUUAGUAUUAUGGAUGUAAUUUUAUGGCGGUGAAAUGAGACUCAUUUUGUUUUGUGUUGUGUCAUCACAGCUUAAAUAUGUGGUCGUUAUAGCUCCGAUAUAUAUGACUCCAUGCAAUGCACAGACAAGAUAGAACAUAUAAUGUGAUUUAUUGAGUAAAAAUAUCUUUCCCAGAAUCACUAAAAUUUCACAAAAUAUAUUUGGUCCAUUCACAAGAUAUAAUGGGAUUGAGUAGCACAAUCCCCAAGGAUGAGGUUAUCUCUAAAUCACUCUCGCCUGUCUUUGAAGUCCAAUGGCCACCCACAAUCCUCAAACACCGUUGGAAUAUUCUCAAACAAUUGAAGCACCUCUCUCACAUUAUUGAACCUCUUUACUAGCACCUCCAAAUUUUCAUAGUUGGGGCCAAAAAAAAAUUCCUUUUGGUGGAGCCUUUUCCUUUCUGUAUUUUGUGAUUUAUAAGCUCUACUAUCUUAGAAAUAGAUUAUGGUCACAAAUUUUACUUAGAUUUUACUCACAAGUUUGGUAAAUACAUAAUCUCUUAAUUGAGCUCAAUAAGUGCCGUAUACCUUUACGAAGAAGAUGACAUUCAAUCUAGAGAGGGUGGAACAAUUUUAAGGGGGAUUUCGGUAGGGCGUUGUGGAGGCUAUUGCAAUGUUCUUAACAAUUAAAUAAGUCUGCUUGAUACUUGCUAGAAUUCGACGGACAUAAUAUGAAAAGAUCAUUUUCCUUUUCUUGAUCUUGCCCUAGCUUGCAUUACGUCUGCCGACUCUAUAGAUACUUCAUGUCGUGGAAAUGCCAUAUAAAUUGCUAUGUCAUUUAGCAAGAUUUUUAUAGUCAAAUCUUAAGUUCCUGUCGAUGUCAUUUAACUAGUUUUGGUAUUGCAAUCUAAUCUGUUAUUGUCGACUAUCAAUACUAGUAGUGAUUAAGGCACGUCAAAGAUGUCCUUACUCCAAAAUGGGUUUAAAUAUAUCGAGACCAACCAAGCUCCAACCAUCCUAAUUUGGAGCUUCUGAUCCCAGAUUUAUUCAACCUGAUACUCAAGAAAAACAUGAAGCUAUUCGCAUUGACCGACUCCACCGGGGGCAAUGUAUUCCAUUUAGCAGCUUACCUGAAUCAGGCCUGGGUAUUCGAAUUCUUACAACCAGAAACUAUAUAUUUGAUCCGAGCAAGGGACAUGAAUGGAGAUCUCCCCAUUCAUAUUGCGAGCAAGAUGGGUUAUGUUGAACAUAUCAAGAAGCUGAGGAAAGUAUCAAAUUUGCGAAAUGGGCAAGGGCAAACUGUUCUUCAUGUUGCCGCAAAAUAUGGGAGAGUCUCCGUAGUGAGAUAUAUACUCAGUGAUCCAGAUCUAGGGGAGCUGUUAAAUAAACAAGAUUUUGAUGGAAAUACAGCUUUGCACUUGGCUGCGAUGCAUUCACAGCCCGCUGCUUUGAUUCAUCUUGUGCGGACUAACGGAAUUCAACUCAGCAUUCUCAACAACAAAUGCUUGUUGGCUGUUGACAUUGCUGGACGACGCGUAGCAAUGGGGUAUGAUAUUCGGCAGGUAGGUAACAUGAACAGUCACUAUUUUAUUUAUUAACUUACUGGAGAUUUCGUAGACUAAUGCAUUAGUUAAGGCAGAUCUUGUAUUCAAAUCAUUAUGUCUCCCAGCCAACUAGAUAGGAGAAGUAUUGAUCAAAUCUCUAGAAUAACCAAGACUCCUCUCGGAUAAAUGUUUUGCAAGUCCCUAAUUUAGUCUUGAUAGGAGGUAAUUAAAAUUUGUGAUCAUGAAUUUCUCUGCAGUUAGAAACAAGUAACGUGUCUUUCAUAACACGGAGAUAACAAUUUAUAUAUUUCGUUUAAUUGAGCCUCUGAAUACAGUCAUGAAUAAAAAGGCAGGGUUUGUCAAGGUUGCAUUCUGUUUUUCAUAAAAAGCCAGGGGUCAAUGUGGCAAAUUUGAACGCUCCAAAUGUAACACAAUCUCAUAACAUUAUCAUUUUGUCGACCUAUGAAAUGAUUGCCCGCAUAGAUUCCAUUCAUGCCUCUUUUUUCGUCUAAAACGAACUUGGCAAUUUUGUGCUAAUUCUUCAAAAAGAGCAGAAACUGCAUCUUUAGAAGCAAACGUUUCCAGAGUUCAUUCCCGUUAUAAAUAUGGUAUAAGUUUGUUCUUAUUUUCCUUUUUACAUGCUUCCGAUCUCAGCACUUGGCAUACCUGGCGUUGCUUUGCUCGCUCGCGGAAGAAGGUCCACUUGAAAACCAAGAGUUACUCCUAGUUAGAGCGGAAGCUCGAGAUGAAGAGUUAUCAGUAGUCCGCUCGCGCAAAAGCAUGCCGAGAAGGGACAUCAUCAAGGAUCACAUCAAUUCCCGUAUGGUGGUGGCAACGCUUGUGGCCACAGUGACUUUCGCAGUUGGUUUUGCAGUUCCUGGAGGAUUUAACAGCUCAGACACAGCCUCCAAAGAUGACCGGGGCAUGGCUAUGAUGCUGGACACAGAAUGUUCCAGGCUUUCGCGAUUUGCAACACCAUCGCGAUGUUCUGCUCAAUGACUGUGGUCGUCAACCUCAUCUGGGCGCAGGUAGUUGAUGUCAACGUUGCAGUCGCUGCAUUUCAGCGCACAACGCUACCGCUACAAAUUGCACUCCCGGCGAUGUCCACCGCUUUCUUAACUGGUGUCACCUUGACCAUUGGCAAACUCCCGUGGCUUGCUAACACCAUAUUUUAUUUGGGACUCGUUUUCCUCCUCAUUAUCUCAUUUGCUAACUUGUUCGGGGAGCCUUUCUUCUUUAAAAUCCUCGGUCAUCCUCUCCGUCGACUAACAUUCUGGCUUAUUCUCGCUUGCAUUUAUUUGUGGAGAGUUGAGACGUACAUUUAUGAUGACAAUGACGCGGAAGAUAACAGAAGGAGAAGAAGACCUUCGCUAGUCCGCCUGUGGAUGUUGCCGGUGAAACGAGGACCGAUGACUCGGCGAAAGCAAAAUGUGAGGAUGCGUUACAUCCUCCAAGUCACUGAUUUGAAUUGAUCAUUCCAUAUUAUCUGUAAUAUGUAGUAGUAAUAUAUGUUUUCCUUGGUGAGUGUGACUCACUCUACGGUUGCUUUCCUUUAUGUCAGAUCAAAGGUGAUUGUUAAUGUAUGUAAGCUAAACCACGUGUUCCUCUAAUAACUUAACUUAUUAGAAUUGUUGGAUAUAAUUCCAUCAAAUUUCAUAUGUUAUUAAAGCAGAGGUUCUAAGUUCAAACAUUUUCAGGUCCUAUUUGCUUCAUCUAUUAUAUGUUCUCAUGUUUCAAUAUUAGAUCAAUUCAAGUUUAUGAGUGAAGAUGAGUAUAAAAGUAUUUGUAUUAAAGUAUUUGAAUUAAACAUCGCAUCCGUCUAAUAAUUUACAUUUUUAGAAUAAUUAAUUGUAGUUCCCGAAAUUUCAAAGUGAUACACACUUCAUGUAAAUUAAAUGGAUGAAUGGCUCAUUUCACCCGUUUCAUUGCCUUGGAAUCAAAUUGUUAACUUUGAACAUGUGGAAGCUCGUGGGUCAAUGAAAUCACUCGUCUAGAGUGGCAAUGUCCGAUUUACUUUGAACCAGUCCAAUUUGCGGCACUCUCGAGUCACGAAAUCUUACCUGUCUGGUGUGCAAAGAAAAUAAUUCUCAAAUUCUCAUCGCCUACUCUCUGAGUCGAGAGUUGGGUGAAGAAAACCGGAACAAAAUAAUUCUCUUCACUACUCACAAAAAAAAAAAAAUAGAAUCGAACCCCGAACUCAUUUCCAUUUACACCCCUUUCAUUUCCCCACUUCUCCCUCCUAGGCGACCAAUUUCUGUGCAUGCAAAUGAGUUUUGGUCUUUGAUUCGUGCCGAGGUAUAAUCUAGUGAGCAGCGGGCACAGAAGUCUAGUCAAGGGACGAGAUAAAAAGGAAUUGCAGUACGCAACUCAAGGAGAAUUGUGGAAAAGUUUGGAUAUGUGAUUUUCCUCCUCCGAUCUCUGAUUUUUAUUUCAAAGCCGGUUGGUAUUGACACGUAGAAUAUAACUCUAAAGUGAUUCUGGACCUAUUUAUUUUGAAAGUAGAUAAUUACAAAAAAUGAAAAGGAUCCCAUUGUACAAAUAAUCGAUUUAAUUUUAAACAUCUUGACGAUUUGCCAGUAUAGUCAUUCUGACCAAUUAUGACCGAAAAUCAUUGACGUAGAUGCUAGCCAUCCUAUCGCACAUGACCAGUAUUGAGGUGGACAAUUUUUGUAAUUUAAAACAAAAUUCUCAUUUUUUUUUCUUUUUUUCAUGUUUUCAUUUUCUUCAUUUUCCUUUCUUAUAUUUUCCUUUUUAUUUUUUUCUUAUUCCCCUUCGCCAGCCAUUGGCCGGUCCAUGGCUUCGGUGAUUGAUAGUAAGGGCCCAAUGCCCUCGCCAGCGAUUGCAAGGGCUGAUGGAUUUGCUGGGGCCACAGACUAAUGGAGGGACAAAGGAAGAAAAAAAAAGAAUGACAGAAAAGAAACUAAAAAAAGGAAAAAAAAAAGUUUUGAAAUAAUUGCAAAAAUUAUCCACAUUAACAUCCGCGCCCAGAUCGGCGAGGCCAAUCUUGUCAUGGGCUGGCCUAGAUCUGGGUGAAGCCGCCUCGCGUGCGGCUCCGAGGCCUCACUUGUGGCCAAAAGAAUGAAGAAGAGAAAAAAAAUAAAAGGAAAAAUAAAGAAAAUUAUUAAAAAAUUAUUAAAAAAUUAUUAAAAAUUGCCACGUUAGCAUUGACCGAAUGACUAUCGUCCACAUCAACGCUAGCCGACCAAAAUUGGCCGAAUAGAUUGAAUUAACACAAUCACGAAAAGUUUAUAACUGAAUUAGCACAAUUGUUAUGAAUUUACGACUUUUUUGGUAAUUCUCCCAAUUUAUUUGUUAUCUCCAUUUUUAGAUUGUGACAUGUGUCCAUUCAAUUUUAGUCCUCACUGCACUUCAUCUAAAUACCAUCAAACCUUAGCAGCGAGGAUGGUAAUUGGAGAUCUAUGCAAAUAUUUAUAUAUAAAAAUUACAUUGAGAUAGUAAAGUGUGCUCACCAUCAUCAUAUCAUCAUCCAUCAAGUCGAUUCCACAUAAUGAUCUAUUUGUCACUUUCAACAUCCUGGGGGCUUAAAUGUUUCAAUUAAAUAAGGUAGGAUGAGAAGUAUUUUUCAUAAAGAACGGACAUUCAAGAAGUCUUGCUAGAUUGAUAGAUUGAUGUUGCAAAUGGUUCUCUUCUCAAGUAGCAUGAAAAAUUAUGCUACUUAAAUGUAGAGCCUCCUUUUUUCUAUUUUUUUUGGCAGAUCUUCCAAAUCAAAUUACAAGGUUACGACUAUGAAAACUCAUAGUACAAGUACAAAAAAUACCAAAUCAAUCAUCUAUUGACUUCUCGAUUCUCAUUAAAUCUGAUUCACAAAAUAGGUUGGGACCCAUUUUGCUAGCCCUACUAAAAUCUAAACAUUUUAAUAAAUUAAGGAUUUAUACGGCAUCCUAGUUCACAAAGAUGUGCCGUUGCUGUUGACAAAUCGACAGUGAUUGAUUUUCAUGAACUCGUCGUCAUAUUGUCGACAUUCCCAUUAUAUAUGAACAUAAGAGAGAACUUUGAUUUUUGAGCAUCAAGAGAUAAGAUUGACUUAAAUAGAAUGCCAAAUAGCCCAAGUGUCACAAUUAGAUAAUUCCAAACCCCAAACACUUUUUUUUUAACCCCAAACACAUUCAACUAUGGUUUUUUUUUCCUUAUAACUUUCUUCACAUAAUAUAAGAAUGUACUUUAUGGUUAAUGAUCAUAUAUAUCGCGGUUUAUGAAAGACUAUGCCACAUCAAUAGUUUUAGAUGUUAGUCCAAAUUCGAAAUACCGGGCCAACGUUUGAGAUUUGAUUGGCCAUUCGGCAUUUCAUUUAUUACUCAUGAAGUCUAUCAUUGCAUGAAAUUUACUGAAAAUUAGAGAAUCUCACAAUACCAACAAAACAUCAAGUUUAUUCAGCUUUUUUACCCUUGAUACACUCCACAUGUAGCCCAAUUUACAAAAUUCCACGAAAACUACUGCUCAGCAAAGACGAACAACAGCACCCAUCGGCCCAACAUGCUUAACUCCAAGCAUAGAGUGACUCGAACUCUUCUUGUCUCCUUUCAGUUUACCACAACCAGACAUAUUUAAUAAAGUACCGUGAACAAGACAAGAUAGCGAUGAGAUCUACUCAAUAGGCAUAGGGUUUGCCAAGAGAUAAGCCUCGAUGGCCUUGAACAUCGCGGACGCCUUCUCUUUCCCGGCCUUGAUCUUCUCCUCAGUGAUGUCCACCUCACCGAUGGUGAAGUACUUGCUCGUGUUCUUGCACACCGAGCCUCCCUCGGGCGAUGCGGUGAUCUUCACCUCGUAGCUGAUCUUCUCGAAGGUGGUGCCCAGCACAUCGCCCUCGAUGAUCGAGUAGCUGUAGGUGAAGUUCUCCUUGUCCAGGGCCUCGACCUUGUGCUUCAUUGUCUGGUACUGACUGCCUAUCAAAGUAAGAAAAAAGUAAUAUUCACGUUUAGAACUCGCCGGUUUCAACAUCACAAGCAACGAUCUUGAUGGUGUCCAUUGGGCCAUUUUGGUUGUUCCAAUUGCAAUCUGAUACGAUUGACUUAGACAUGGCCUGAUUUCGCUCGAUUGGAAUCGAGUCAUGUGAUCACUUGUGUAAAUCAAUGGUUAGAAAUUUUUUUAAUUAACCAAGUUACAUAUCUAUCUUUUUCAAUGUUCAUUAUGAUGUUCCAUAAGGUUGAAACAGCCUUGAUCCAGAGCGAUCCUAACACGGACGGACUAACCUUCGCCGAAAGUGAUCAACUUGAUGGUCCCGGGACCUCCGUUGCCCUCGAGGACUUCGACGCUCUUGAUGGCUUGCGGGAGCACCUUGGGGAUGAGGUUAUCAGCAUCGAGGACAGCGGCCUUGAACAUCUUGGCCGGAGGGAUUGGGGUCGUGACCUCGGAGUCGUAACUGACGACACCCAUGAUUUGGAUCCGAAUGGAGUUGCCGAAAUAGAGAAGAGGGUGAUCAGGAAAGGCUGAUUAGCAGUGAUGAAGUUGGUCUCUAGGACUCGGUAGUGAAGAGAAGAGGAUGAACCAAAGCUGACAUAUAUAGAGAGACCGAGUUUGAAGGGUUCUCGUUAUUGGAUAUUUUCUUCAAGUGUGUUCGUUUGGUACAAAAUAGAGAAGAGGAUGAACCGAAGCUGACAUAUAUAGAGAGACCGAGUCUGAAGGGUUCUCAUCAUUGGAUAUUUUCUUCAAGUGUGUUUGUUUGGUACAAAAUAAAUAAUUAAAUAACUAUUUGUAUCAUUUGGUAUAAUUAUUUGAUGAGAAAUUUUUGCAUUAUUGACAGUAAUUUAUAUCUAAAUAUUCCCGUGAAUGAUGAAAAUAUUUUUUAUUCAUUCCUUUUAUAAGUUAUAUGAAAAAAAAUAUUUUUUUACAAAACAAACGAAGCUUAAUAAAAAAAAUCUUAAUCAGUCUGUGGGUUGUUCAAUCAUGCCAUGGACUUUGUUCAUAAAAUAAAAUUUGUCUAUAUGAUAAUGGAAUAUUAGUCAGAGAAGGCACCAUCCUAGAAUGAUACCAAACGUUCUUCCAUUUCCCUUUCAUGUAUAGACUUGACUUUUGAUCCAGGAGCAUUUGCUCAGCAAACUCUCUUGGCUGAGCUUCACUGAUUUCUUACAUAGUGUUACUAUCAUAGAAAAUAUCAAGCCCUUAGCUGCAUAGGUCGCGAUCCACCCAGAUCUCAUCCUACUUCUUUUCAAUCCGUUCGGUAGAGGCCUCGGGAAGAAUUAUCAUCAAUUUCAUACUCAUAAAUAAUAUUCGCUUAACUCUGUGCAGUAGAAAAACUCGAAAAAUCGAGGCACAAUUUUUCCUGCUGGGUGAUCUCGGUGCUUCAUGUUUCUGUUGAGCUUCCAUCGAUAAGAAAAAGUACAGAUUGAUCUCAAUGUUGCACUAAUCCAAUUUAGCAGAAAAAAAUGGGAAAGGUAGUUUGGUAAUUACAAGGCUUUGUUACUUUUAGUCAACAAAGGCUGCUCUGAAAAUCAAGAUGGACGUCUAUAGAUUUUGAAUUUUUCUACUUGCUUUCAUGUGUCUAGUCCUUUUAAAUAAUAUUAUUGCGAACCAUUUUCUGCUAAUUGUCUGGUGGAAGUGUGGUGGAUCAAGCGAGAUUGGCUCACGGGUCACUUGCUCAUUAAACAUUUUUUUAAUUUUCCUUUUUAUCUAACGGUAUAGCGACGUAGAUUUUUAGAAACGCUUUCUUCGUAUUUAAUUUUCUUCUUUUGUCUAGUUCAUCUUGUCGUAGUCACGGACCAUGUGAACGUAUAGGAGAAUGUCCAUGGGUGUUAGAUCAGAUUAAUUAAUGAAUUUCGUCGUAUUGAGACAAAAUUGAUUAAACUUGUCAAUCAUCUCACUGCGACGGAAGAUUCGGAAAAUAUUAAUGCAUAACAACAGCAUAUGUUUUGGGAGAAAAGUAUUGGAGAGGGGCAUGGAUGCAUUGCUGAAGUUAUUUGAUGAGCAUGUCAUAUGUACUAAAUUAAUCUAAAUAGCUAAAUUUGAUGGAAUUCAUAUGAAACCUAAAUGGAACAUAUAGAAAUUAAAAGCCGAAUUUUGCUUUAUAUAAAUACGACGCUAGCUCAUUCUCGAGUCUUUGUCAAAAUUGUGUUGUAGGCAAUUGAAUGUGAACCUCCCUUCCCUUUCACAUAUGAUCGACUCAAAUUUCUCGUACUUCAUUGACUUCCUUGUUUCGCUGUUGAAGCAACAAAAUCACAGCAAUUGAAGUCACCAGAAGUAGCUCGCAUCAAUAAGGACCUUUUCCCUAUGGUCGGUCGAUUUACUGUUCAUCCCACCCCACAAGGAGAUAACCUCGUCACAUUUUCACACAAGCCUGGAUUUGCGAUAAAAGCGCUUUUUGGUGCUUAUUGGAAGAGGCGACCACUAGGAACCGCACCUGUCAGCUCGUUGUACAAUAAGUCUACGGAGCUUAAACAAGUUAUAUGUCCAUUUUUUUCAAUGUUCAUUAUAAUGUUCCGUAAGGUUAAAACCACCUUGAUCGAGAGCGAUCCUAAGUUCCUAAUAUGGAUGGACUAACCUUUGCCGAAAGUGAUCAAAUUGGUGGUCCCGGGACCUUCAUCGCCCUCGAGGACUUCGACGCUCUUGAUGGCUUGCAGGAGGACCCUAGGGAUGAGGUUAUCGGCGUCGAGGACAGUGGCCUUGAACAUCUUGGCCGGAGGGAUCUGGACGUUAUCGCAGAGUCGUAAGUGAUGACACCCAUGAUUGGAUCCGAACUGAGAAACUGAGAAGGGGGUGAUGAUCAGGAAAGACUGAGUAGCAAUGAUGAAGUCGGUCUCUAGGACUUGGGAAUGAAGAGAACAGGCUGAACCGAAACUGAUAUAUAGAGAGAGACUAAGUGUGAAGGGCUUUGAUCAGUGAAUAUCUUGCGAAACAAACAAAGCUUAAGAAAAAAAAAUUAUUCCGUGGAUUAUUCAGAGUAUGACAUGCCCCUUGUUCCUAAUAUAAAAAUGUCUAUAUGAUGAUAGAACAAAGCGUUGGACGAUCAUAUUGGGGAGAAUCGGGCAACAAUUUACUAAUAACGAAACACAAUUUAGCAUCAAUUUCUCCUCUAAAACUAAACCAACCGAAACCAACUCAACCCCAGCAACCACCAGCAAUAUGUAAUACCAAAAUGACAAUAAGACAGAGCCAACAAUGACACUAAGGUUUUAACAUGGAAACCAAUACAUAAAAAAUCACAUACCCUACUCACUAACAGUAAUAGGAUACAAAAAGUGUUAUUUUAUAAUCACACAUUAGAGACUCAACAUCAAUGAUAUAACCAUAUUUCCUCACUCCAAAGAUAGAUUAACAUAAACGGAGCAAGAAAACCCUAAUCGGUUGGAGAAUCUGGAGGGGGUUCUUAUCUAACGAAAUCAAUCAAUUUGUAGUCCUUGAUUUUACAAAAUAACAUUCAAAUUUGAGCAAAUUCCAUCGGCAUCUUGCAUUCCAAUCGGGACCAAAAAGAUUAUGCCCUUUCUUUCGGAACGCUAAGAAAGAAGAGCCCAGACACAGACAACAAUUACCUACUCACUAAGUGUAACAUUAGGCUAGUGGGCCCCAAAAGAAGAAAUAGAAAACGAAGUUUUAAAGGCCCCAAAGAAGAAACUGAAAAAGAAACCGAAAAGUCAUUAAAGCAAAAAGGAGAUGGGAGAGGGCUCGGCUAAAUAGAAGCUGAGAGUUUCCUCGACCAAAAAGAAAAGAAAGAAAAGAAGAAGAAGAAGAAGAGAAAAGGGAAGAAAGGAAAGAAGUUUUGGCACGUGCACGCCUCGGAUGCCUUGCCAAGCCAAUUUGACUCCAUAACCCGGUAAGAGAUCAAGCCCCUCGUUUGUCCGAUUGAAGUAAUUUUUGGAUUUAGGACUCAAAUUCGGAAUUUUUGGAAAAUCGAGCGGCGAAGUCUAAUUUUGGAGUCGUUGAGCCACACAUUUUUGUAAGAAUGGUAAUUUAGGGUGUUGUGGAACCGUGGGAUUUUUCGGAUCGUGAUUUGAGCUUAUGGUUUGUCCAAAACAAAAUUCCAAAGUUUCCCGCGCGCAGUGAACAGUACGCGUCCAGCAGCUUUGGGCCCGUAUUUUGUCAUUUUUUCGGCUUGAUUUUGGGAUGACCAAUUUGGGAUUCUUGUAAUAUGUGUCAAGGGCUCUCUAUUGACUAUAAGUACGUUCGGAUCGGGGUUCGGAAGAGAAAGUUAAGGCUCGAUCAAGUUUUGCGCUUAAACUUCAUGUUGCGAAUGGCUUAAACAAUCAAUUUGGAUAUGCGACUUGUUAGUGCACAGAAGUCCUUUUGUUAGAGUUAAGGCGUAACUUAGUCAUUUUGUAGUCGAGAUAGAAUUUUAUUAGAUUUUAACAUUAUUCUUCGAUUAUUUGAUAGGGCUUUGAGUUCGAAGAUACAAGUAUCAUUUGUCGUUUGGUCGUAGACGAUAAGGUGAGUGGUACUAUAUCUUCUUUGGUUUUAUAAAAUCAUGUCUUGAAGUAUGUAUGUAUAUAUAUUGAAUCAAGAAGAGCAUUUUUAUUGCAUAAAAGUCAGAUCGAGCAAUUGCUACCCUUUGGUUGAUUGUGAAUCUUUGAAAAGCACAUUAUACAAGGUUUGUGGAGAAACAUAUAUGAAAUUGCUUUGCGACUGAUUUAUGAAAAGGUUUAUGAUGAUUUGAGAAACGAGUAUGAAAUGGAUGAUGGGCUAUGUUGCAAAAUAUUAUUUGUUUGGUUUAAGAUAUUGAUUUUUGGAUUGAAUUUCUGGUAUUGGAGAAUGGUUAUUUAUGCUCAAUAUGACUGUGAACCCAGUGAGGGGUUUUUGGGGUAUGCAUACCAGGUUUAGGAUAUCCUUCUGGGCCGAGCCACCGGCUUUGUAGGUGGAGACCUUGCCAAGGGGAGAAUCUUGGUCGCCUUGUCACAGGACGUUGUGUCGUGACCAUGGUUAGUUAUUGAGCAAAAGAUUGAUCAAUGGAUAGACCAUUGAUACUUGAAUUUUGAUGGCGAUUCAAAUGAGUUUUCCAUAUUACUAUAAAUCUUGAUGAUAAGAAAUAACUCAUAAGAUUCAAUACUUAUUUUAUAUAUUGAGUUGGCUUAUGAAAUUUGGUAUUGUUUUGUAUACAUGCAUAGUGGUUGUUCGAUCUGCUUAAAAGAUAUGUACUACUCACUGAGCUGUGGUUGCUCAUCCCAUUCCUCAUUUGAUCUUUUCAGGUUCCUCAGCUAGUGGCAAAUAGAGCGAGUGCGCCGUCGUGGGAAACUUUUGGGGAGUUCUAUUUUGUUUUUGGUAUGGUUUAGGGAAGUGGUGCAAAUGAUCUUUACUAGUGGUUGAAUCGUCUAAGUUUUGAAGUAUAUAUUUUCUCUUUUUGGUGGAUUAUAGAAAUUCUAAUGUUGCAACCAAUUUGAAGGUUUAUCUGAUAUUUAUACUUGUAACAUCCUGGACCCCACUGUGUAAUAUUGUCCGCUUUGGGUCACCCGCCCUGGCACGGACGAACCGCCAUCCCAGCCGCGAUCUUUUCCCUCACGGCUUUAAAACGCGUUACACAGGUUAGAGGGAUCCAAGCCUUAUAAGCUGACCAAUAUCUCCCUCCCUAGGCGAUGUAGGACAAGAGAGGAGGCUGUCACACUCUCCACCUCUUAACAGAAUAGCGUCCUCGCUAUGGCCCCACGGGUAUCAGAACAACAUUCAAGCUGUGGUCCCACACGCGGUCGGGAGUCGGCUCUGAUACCACUUGUAACAUCCCGGGCCCCAUUGUGUAAUAUUGUCCGCUUUGGGUCACCCACCCUGGCGUGGACAAACCGUCAUCCUAGCCACGGUCUUUUCCCUCACGGUUUUAAAACGCGUUACAUAGGUUAGAGGGACCCAAGCCUUAUAAGCUGACCAAUAUCUUCCUCCCUAGGCGAUGUAGGACAAGAGAGGAAGCUGUCACAUAUAUAAGUUAAUAUCAGUUUGUAGGUUAUGUUUGAGGCUGCGUCCUUUGUAAAGAAGGAUGGCCGUGUCAUCCCCAUUCUUUGUAGUUUUUGGGGUGUGACACUAAGUUCCGAAAAGCAUAGACGAGCGAAAUGCCUCACGAAUUAACCUAAGAGCAACAUAAACACGCCGAGAUAGAAAACGGUAGAAGCCGACGCCUCAAAUUGCAAACUUCUUCGACCCAAAAAAAAAAAAUAUUGCAAACUUCGAGCUACAAAAUGGCGAUUAAGCACGGAGGGCCGGAGAUGGGGUGGAGGGAGCACCUUGAUGUCGAAAUCGACGCCGGCGGUGGCGAGGAGGGGAGAGGGGGUGGAAAUCUAGGGUUAGGACAGGUUUGGUCUCGUGCCAAUUCAUCUGGACCGUGCCUCCCUUCAUAUCUCCUCUGCCCGCUCCGCCGCUUCCUUCCUUCCCCCUCUCUCUCUGAAAUCGAAGCCUUCUUCCUUGAUUUCUUAGCGAACGAAAUCGAUCAAUUCGUGGAAUUCGUGAGAUUCGUGCGCUCUCCCCAUUCCGCGGAGAGAUUCCCGACAAAUAGAGAUUAGAUUGUAGGCUUGUCCAUCGUCGUUUCAGUAAAGCGAGUGUAAUGCCAAAAAAGGGAAAUAAGGACGACACAAUUGGCUCUGACAUUGAAUUGACAGUUUAUUCCUGGCCUCCUACGUGAGCAUAUCACGUGGCCCACCCAUCAUGGCUCAAAUUCAUGAAAACAAACUAAUAAAAAAAAGAUCCAAAAUAGACUCCACCACCAUCCUCUCGGAAAUCCAAUCAAAAAAAGGAAAAGAUAAAAAAGGCAAAUCAUCCCAGACAAAACAAGCAUGGCAUUCGCCACACGCUACUAAAAAUUAACCACACACAGAUUCACAAGUCUCAGGGUUCGCGAGGCAAGCCUCGAUGGCCCCAAACAUAGUGAAAGCCUUCUCUCUCACGGCCUUGAUCUUCUCCUCGGUGUUGUCCACGUUGCCCCUGGCGAAGUAUUUGCUAUCGUUCAUGCACACCGUGUUAGACAAUUCAUAUAAAACUUGAUGCGGAAAUUCAUAACAAAUCAUUGAUCUUUGAUCUUCAUGAUUUUCACAAAUAGAUUCAGACAAACCUUUAUCCAUAGCGCUACGCUUGAUGAUGAUCGUUGUAGAAAACCCAAUGAUCUCGAACCAAAAGGAGAAAUCCGAUUUCUCUCCCUUAACCCACUAAACCUUAAUGUAUUCAAUUGAUGGAGGAGAGAAUAUGUUCUUUUCAGUUAUUGUUGUUCGUAUGUGGGUGGAGAGAGGACCGGACUCUUUUAUACGUUCGUUGAAAAUGUGCCUUCCAUCAAAGCGAUAUACCCUUUCGUUUUAUUAGAGUCGUACCUUCUCAUAACCAAUAUUAUUUAUAGCAUUUCAAUCAUUAUUAAACCAUAUAAUAAAUCACAUAAUAUGGGCCACAAUAAUUCUUACAUUCUCCCACUUGGCCCAUAUGAUUCUCCUUUCAUGGUUUAAUGAAGACUAUAAUGUGCACAAUAAGAUUAUGCUAUAAAAUUUCAUUAAAUUGGCAAUCACAUAAUAAUCACAAUUAAGUAAAGAAAACUAAUGCGAGUCAUAGCGGUUAUAUGUCAUUAAUCGACAUAGUCCCUUCUAUGUACUACAACUAUAGCACUUUACUUAACAUGAUCCAUAAAUGAGAAGUACAGUAAUAGUCCAACCAUAAUGUUUCUUUAGAAACUAUCCUGUUUAAAAUUAAUCUAUUUCCAUAAUGUAUACUAAAUAGAAAACAGGAAAUAUCAUAAACAUGUAAGUGAGCUCAAAGUGUCAAAUACAUAAACUUAAUACAAUCAUAAUACAAACAUUAAUGACGUCCAAUAAUGCCCAUCCUUUCAACAUGCUCAUUAAAUGUUUUGGGCGGCAAUCCUUUUGUUAAGGGAUCUGCUAUCAUAAGAUUGGUGCUAAUGUGCUCAAUUGACACUCUUUGUUUCUGAACUUCUUUUUUGACAGACAAGUAUUUGAUCUCCAUAUGCUUAACACCCUUAGAAUACUUGUCGUUCUUAGAGAAGAAAACUGCUGCAGAGUUAUCACAAUAGAUUUUCAGCGGCUUGGCAAUACUGUCGACGAUCACAAGCCCUGAAAUAAAAUUCCGCAGCCAUAAUCCAUGAAUUGUGGCCUCAAAGCAUGCCACAAAUUCAGCUUCCAUAGUGGAUGCAGCAAUAACUGACUGCUUCGCACUCUUCCAUGAAAUUGCCCCUCCAGCCAGAAGAAACAAGUAACCAAAUGUUGAUUUUCUUGUAUCGACACAUCCGGCUAAGUCUGAAUCUGAAUAUCCAAUCACCUCGAGAUGAUCAGAUCUUUUAUAAGUGAGCAUAUGAUUCUUUGUUCCUUGCAAGUAUCUAAGAACUUUCUUUGCGGCUUUCCAAUGAUCCAUUCCAGGAUUACUUUGAUACCUACCUAGCAUUCCGACAGCAAAAUUGAUGUCUGGUCUGGUGCAAGUUUGUGCAUACAUUAAGCUUCCCACAAUAGAUGCAUAAGGAAUAUUAUUCAUUUGUCCUCGUUCCAAUUCACUUUUCAGACAUUGCAUAAGGCUAAAUUUAUCACCUUUCUGAAUUGGAACUAUUCCUGCUGAACAUUUACUCAUAUUAAAUCUCUCUAAAAUUUUCUCAAUGUAGGCUUUCUGAGACAAUCCUAAUAAUCCUUGUGAUCUAUCACGGAAUAUUUCUAUUCCUAUCACAUAUGUUGCCUCUCCCAUAUCCUUCAUUUCAAAAUUCUUAGAGAGAAAUUUCUUGGUUUCAUGUAACAAACCAAGAUCAUUAGCAGCAAGCAAAAUAUCAUCAACAUACAGAACUAGAAAAAAAAAACUUGCUCCCACUAAUCUUCAUAUAUAUACACCGAUCAACGGUGUUUUCCUUAAAUCCAAAUGAAGUUAUGGUAUCGUUAAACUUAAGAUACCAUUGUCGAGAAGCUUGUUUAAGUCCAUAUAUUGACUUCUUUAAUUUACAUACCAUGUGUUCCUUUCCUAUAACUGAAAAGCCUUCGGGUUGGUCCAUAUAAACCUCUUCCUCUAAAUUCCCAUUAAGAAAUGCGGUUUUUACAUCCAUUUGGUGUAACUCCAAGUCAUAAUGAGCCACCAAAGCCAUAAUGAUUCUAAGUGAGUCUUUCUUAGAGACCGGUGAAAAUGUCUCUUUAUAGUCAAUGCCUUCUUUCUGAGUAAAACCAUUUGCAACAAGUCUGGCUUUAUGUCGUUCAAUAUUGCCUUUUGAGUCGCGCUUGGUCUUAAAGACCCAUUUACACCCGACCUUCUUACAUCCUUUAGGCAAUUCAACAAUAUCCCAAACUUGAUUUUCAUGCAUGGAUUUUAACUCUUCUUCCAUGGCAUUAAACCAUUCAUUAGAAUCUUCACAUUCCAUGGCUUGGGAAAAUGAAUCUGGAUCAUUUCCAAUUCCUAAGUCAAUUUCUGACUCUUGUAGAUAAACCAUAUAGUCAUCAGAAAUAGCCGACCUCUUUUCUCUUUGAGAUCUCCUUAAUGCUAUUUCUUGUGACUCGGUUAUUGGAGGUUCAUUAUUGACAUCUCCAUUAUUUGGUGUUUGUUGUUCUCGAUUAUUGUUAGAUUGUACUACAAUAUCAGAAACAACAACUUUAGAAGCUUUAGGCAUAGGAACUUCUACCCUUACUUCUUGAAUGCAAGCAUCACGCAUUCUUUCACUCCCACUGAUGUCACCAUUCUCAAUGAACCUAGUAUUUCCAGAUUCAACAAUUCUUGUACUAUGAUUAGGACAAUGAAAUUUAUACCCUUUGGAUUUCUCUGCAUAACCAAUGAAAUAACCACUGGUCGUUCUUGAAUCCAAUUUCCUUUCAUGUAUUGUAAAUUCUUACUUCUGCUUGACAACCCCAAACAUGCAGGUGUCGUAAACUAGGUUUCCUUCCCGUCCACAAUUCAAAUAGAGUCUUUGGAACUGCCUUACUAGGAACCCUAUUUAAUAAGUACAUAGAAGUCUUUAAAGCAUACAUCCACAAAGAUAAGGGUAAAGAUGAAUGACUUAUCAUACUCCUAACCAUUUCCAUUAAAGUACGAUUACGCCUUUCUGCUACACCAUUUUGUUGUGGUGUACCUGGCAUUGUGUAUUGAGCACAUAUGCCAUGUCUUUCAAGGAAUUUAGCAAAUGGACCUGGACAUUGUUCCGAUUCAUCAUACUUUCCAUAAUAUUCACCACCUCUAUCCGAUCUUAUUAUUUUCACAUUUCUAUCUAAUUGCCUCUCAACCUCUUUAAUAUACACUUCAAGUACAUUUAAUGAUUGAGACUUAUCAUGCAAUAGAUAAAUGUAACCAUAACGUGAAAAAUCAUCAAUAAAGGUUAUGAAAUAGCUUUCCUUACUAAAAGAUGGAACAUCGAAAGGACCACAUAUGUCAGUAUGUAUAAUCUCAAGAAGCUAUGUGCUUCUUGUGGCACAUUUCUUAGUGUGCUUUGUUUGUUUACCUUUAAUACAAUCAAUACACACUCUAAAGUCAGUAAAAUCCAAAUUUGGAAUAAUUUCAUUCUUCACUAAUCUUUGCAUUCUUUCUUUGGAUAUAUGACCCAACCGUUUAUGCCACAAGUAAGCAGAAUUUUCAUUCACCAAACUUCGUUUAGUGCCAACAUUAUGAUGCAAGGUCAUUAAUGUCUCAACAAAAGUAUUAUCAAGUCUAAAUUUGUAGAGACCAUCACAUAAAGUUCCAGUUCCAAUAAGAGCAUCACUCUUAAAUAGACUGAAAGAUUCAGAUCCAAACUUACAAUAAAAUCCCGCCACAUCAAGUCUUGGCAAAGAAACUAAAUUGCGAGAAAAUGUAGGUACAUAAAGGGUUCGAAAAAAAUCCAAAUAAUGCCCAGUAUCUAAUAUCAAACGAUAAGUGCCAAUGCCUUCAACUGGAGCUUUGUCUCUGUUCCCCGUAAUCACAUAACUUUCAUUUGGAAAAUGUAGGUACAUAAAGGGUUCGAAAAAAAUCCAAAUAAUGCCCAGUAUCUAAUAUCAAACGAUAAGUGCCAAUGCCUUCAACUGGAGCUUUGUCUCUGUUCCCCGUAAUCACAUAACUUUCAUUUGGCUUUAUAGUUUGGAUCUUAAGAAAUCCCUGCAUCGUAUUUGACACAUGAGUGGUGGCACCAGAAUCAAUCCACCAAGUAUUAUAAGGAACUUCAGUAAAAUUUGAUUCAAAACAUACUAAAGCACAAGGCUUACCUUUCUUUUCGAACCAAGCCUUACAUUUCAGACAAUCUUUCUUCAAGUGUCCAAUUUUGUUGCAAAAAUGACAUUUAAUAAGAUUGUGUUCCUUCUUGUGGAUUUGAGAAGCCUUUGAAGAGUCAUUCAGGACGUGUAGUCCUUUCUUCUUGCUCCUUCCACCUUUCCUCUUAAAAUUCUUUCGAACUUCUUGAUGACUUGAGAGAUGAAUAGAAUGAGCAUUUUGAUUCUUUAUCCUUAUUUCCUCUUGAACUAGCAUACUGGCCAAUUCGUUUACAUUCCACUUAUCCUUUAUAGUGUUGUAAUUCAUUUGAAAUGGCACAUAUUGCUCAUGAGGUAAGGAAUUAAGUAUAAAUUGUACUAAAAAGUACUCAUCCAUAUUCAUUCCCAAAGUCCUUAACUUUGCUGCUAAAUUGGUCAUCUCAAGUAUAUGCUCAUGCAUGGUACGCGAACCAUCAUAUUUCAUGGUGGUCAGUGUGCUCAUCAGUGUACCAGCAAGUGACUUAUCAGCAGUUUGAGAACGCUCUUCCACAAAUUUCAUAAAUUCCUUAGCAUUGUUAGUCUUGGGAAGAGAAGUUUUUAAGUUGUUUGCAACUGUCAUUCGCAUGAACAUUAAGCUCAGUCUGUUCGAUCUUUCCCAAGCUUUAUGGAAAGACUUUUCAUCAUUGCUACUUUCAUCAGUAAUAGCAGCUGGUUUCUCAGCUUGAAGUGCUAAAUCAAGAUCCAGGACACCUAAGUGAAACUGGACUUGUUCACUCCAAUCAGGAAAAUUUAUCCCAUUGAAUAAGGGAACAGAUGAGGCGUGCGAAUGGAGUGAAACAGGUACAGAUACUACAAAUGUGCAAGAAAAUACUCAUACAUUAAUGCUUUGAGAAUAUCAUAUAAUCAGAUUAAACUAAACUACACAUGCACAUCAUAGUUCUCCUUUGAGCGAUCCUAUGAUAUACAAAUAUAUAUAAACCAUAAUGAUGCUAAUAACUUUUAUUUGAUAAUUGUAAAUAUAUCUUAUUAAAAUUUAUUUGUUAUCUUUGGAUAUACAAACAAAUUUAACAAAUCAUAUUAAUUAUCAACCAUCAUGUUCAUGGAUUAUAAGAAAAUAAUUAACCUUUGGGUUAAUCCCUAAGUUCUUAUAAUAAAUGAACUUCAAUAUACCCAUAACUCCAAUAAUGAUAUAAAACAUAUCAAUUUCAUAUAUAUAGCAUCAAUUAAUCAUGGGUAAUUGAAUAAAAUAAUUUACGAUAUUAAAAAAAUUCAAAAGACUUCAAGGUUCGGCCACUUUGGUGACUAACAAACCUUUCAUAAUAUGAAUUUUUAAUAUUGCAAAAUACAAAUAUUUACCAAAUUGCACACAAGGACAUAAAAUGCAAUCAAAGCAUAAGGGCAAAAUCGUAAAAUCAUAAUUCCAUAAGGGUAGAACCAUAAAAUUAUAAUCCAGGGGCAAAAUGGUAAAUAAUCAGCAAUGGCAGAAUCGUAAUUAUAAAUUAAACAGGGGUAGAACAGUAAAUAACCAUCAAAAGGACGGCAAAACGGUAAUUAGGAGCCUCGGGAGGGGCAAAAGCGUAAAAGUCCGCGCGGGGACGUCAGGCGCGUGCCUCGCACGCGCCUGCAACCGCGCGGGAAGCCCCGCGCGCGUGGAUCCCACGCGCGCAGCGCUUGCGCGCGCGUGAAGGCGCGUGGCGCGUGGGUUCCACGCGCCUGCAACCGCAGCGCGCGCGUGGAGCCCACGCGCCUUCUUCCUCGCGCGCAGACGCGAUUCUUCGCCGGUUUUUCGCCGUUCCACCGCCGUUUCGCCGCCCGUUUCUUCUCCGACAGCCCAUUACAGACACAAAUAAUUAAUGGGUUUUGAAGAGCAUGCCGGCACGACCACAUGGGUCCAAAUUUCGGAGAAAAUGACCAAAAAUUGGCCCCAAAUCAAACCAAAGUUUCAGAACACAAAAACUCCACCACCGCCGCUUCCGCCGCUCGAUUAGCCGCCGGCGAACACCAAUAUACGGGAAAAAUCAUGGCUAAUGUUCCUCAUGACAGUGCGACGGUGUGGGUCCGAAAUCAAGCGGUGGGUUGCCGGAUUUUACCCGGAACCGGCGAGUUUCUUCCUUGCCCUCAAAAUUCCGAAUUCCACCAUUUUUGUCAUUUUCCACUCGUGCACACACAGUAACUUUUCUUCACAAUUUUAGUCCAUGAAAAACGUUCUAUCAUUCGGAUUUUCUUUAACAGAACCUUCCAAAACAUUUCAACAACAACAAAUGCUAUAAACAUGAUCGUUUAACAAAUCAUCAAACAUCAACUAUAAUAUUUCUUUAAACGGAAAAAUCAUGAGAUCAUAAACCAAACGCUCUGAUACCAACUGUUAGACAAUUCAUAUAAAACUUGAUGCGGAAAUUCAUAACAAAUCAUUGAUCUUUGAUCUUCAUGAUUUUCACAAAUAGAUUCAGACAAACCUUUAUCCAUAGCGCUACGCUUGAUGAUGAUCGUUGUAGAAAACCCAAUGAUCUCGAACCAAAAGGAGAAAUCCGAUUUCUCUCCCUUAACCCACUAAACCUUAAUGUAUUCAAUUGAUGGAGGAGAGAAUACGUUCUUUCAGUUAUUGUUGUUCGUAUGUGGGUGGAGAGAGGACCGGACUCUUUUAUACGUUCGUUGAAAAUGUGCAUUCCAUCAAAGCGAUAUACCCUUUCGUUUUAUUAGAGUCGUACCUUCUCAUAACCAAUAUUAUUUAUAGCAUUUCAAUCAUUAUUAAACCAUAUAAUAAAUCACAUAAUAUGGGCCACAAUAAUUCUUACACACCGAACCUCCCUCCGGUGAUGCACUGAUCUUCAGCUCGUAGCUAGUGUUCUCCAAGGUGUUGGCCAGCAUGUUGCUCUCGAUGAUUGAAUUGGAGUAGGAGUAGCUCCCAUUGUCCAGGACCUCGAGCUUGUGCUUCACUACCUUGUUCCGAUGGCCUAUAGAAAACGCAAGUCACAUUUGAGACGCCACCGGUUUCGAAAAUCGCAAGCACUGCUUUGAAACACCAUUGACUCACGACAUCGUCAUGUUAAUGGUCAGGAACAUUUGAAUUAACCAAGUAAAUUUACUAACCUUCGCUGCCAGUGGUCUCCUCGACAAGCUCGGCACUCUUGAGGAAAGGGAAGAAGACUCUGGAGAUGAGGUUUAAGGCCCUAACGAUGGCCUCGAACGCCUGGGCUAGGAGGAUGGAGGACUUGAUCUCAGUCCUGAAGUAUUCCAUGAUUCUCUGUCCGAAAAAAAUCUGCUAAAAGCUGAAAGGGAAUGAUGAGAAUUGCGAGUACUGAGUAGGAGUGAAGUCUUGAUCUAAAAUUUCGGAGCGCAGUUCUAUAUAUUUAUAGAUAGGGUGCGAGAGUGAGAUGUAGAGGAGUCCGUGUGUAUCUAAUGACUCUUUCGGGACGUUUGGGUGGACAAGGGGAACUUUUUUAUGUUUUUUUCUAGUUGCUUUACGGGUUACUUUUAUCGGCACAGAUCAGCCGGGGUUUCUUUCCGGAUUGGGCGCUUUCAAGAAUUUUGGGUGGACUCGGGGUUUAAACGAGAGGUAGAAAAAGCCAAGGGAACAGGAGGCAGGUGGGACCCUUCAGCCCGUGCUUUUUCCUUUUUUCCAUUGAGAGGACGGAGACGAGGAAAGCAUAUCCGGCCCGCUCGACUUUUGGCAAUGACAGAAGCUCUCUCGUUGAUAAAGCUAGGCCGUGAGGUGAGUUGAGUCAUGCACAAGUACACCAAAUUGAAACUCUUCCGCACGUGGAGAUAGCUUCAGACAACUUAGAUGCCGUGAAUUGUGUCAUUUCCUUGGAACUUCUAGGUCCGUCAUCCAGGAUUGUGAUCUUCUAUUGACCCAACUAGAAGCAUAAAUUAAACUAAAAUAAGAACCCAAAGAAGCAAAUCGUGUUGCGGAUUGAGUAGUCAAAGACCCACCGAGUUAGAACCCUUCCAUCCAAUUGGGUUGUUUAUCCCCCUCAUUUCCAUUGGUAAAUUUAAGUCUUGAAUUUGGUACUAGUUAUAAUUCAUCUUUGAGUUAGUAAUCAAAAGUUAUUUUCGACCAAAAAAAAAAAAACCACCGAUGACGUACUAAUUCGAUGUUGUUGAUUUUGUGCGUACAAAGUCCAAAUCAACAUUAAUGACGUCAUAUAUGGCGUGCUAAAAGUUGUUCAUGAGUUGAAUUUUUGCAAUUACGUGCCCAAUGAAUUUUGACGCUCUUGAGUGGGAAAUCACUAAAUUGUUAACUUUUUCCAAAUGCCUGACGGGUGUCAUAGGAUUAGUUUGGCGAGUAGAGAUAAAAAGUUAGCACGCAAGUAAUUUAAAAGCGCAGUGUAAAUUCGAUUCUCCCAAUCAAUGAGCAUAAACGAGAACAUGGGGGCGAAAAAGGUUGUUACCAGCAUUGAAAAAGUGGACUUUUGAGAAGCUCCAAUCACUAAAAUGUUGCGUAUUCGGCAAGAUGCAAGUAAGUCUAUCCAUCGAGAGUUAGUUUUUAGAGAAAUGCAUAAACAGAUAUUAAAUCAAUAGAUAUGCUUAGAAAAAUGUCAUACAUAGCUUUUUUAGCUUUUUUAGCUUUUUUAGUAAGCAAGAGGUCUUGACUUUGAUUCUCAACGAGAUCCUUUUUCUUUUGACUUGUAAUAUUUCCUUUUUUCACAUUCAAUCUUCUUCCUAACAAUUUUUUUGAUAAAAAAAAAUUCAAUCGAGCCAAAAAAUGAAUUGCUUAAUACAUGAUAGAGCCAACAUAUAUACAUACUAUAUAUGUGUUUUUUCUCAGUACAAAUGGUUAUACGAGGACCCAAUUAGUAAGAGGGAGGUCUUGAAUUUGACUCUCAACAAGAGCAUUUGUCAUUCAAACUUUUUCAUAACAACUAUUUUACUAAAGAAAAAAAUCGAUUGAGCCAAAAAAAUUGUCACUUAAUACAUCAUAAAGCCAGCAUACACAUAUAAUUCAUUUUUCUCACUACAAAUGGGUAUACGAGCACCCAUUUAGUAAGCAGGAGGUUUUAAGUUCGACUUUCAAUGAGAGCAUUUAUCUUCUGACUUAUAAAUUUUCCUUUUUGUAAAUUCAAACUUCUUCAUAAUAAUUUUUUUAAGAUAAAAACCACCAAAAACCCCAAACUUUGCUCAAAGUGACAAAUUUAUCCCAACCUUUAUAUUUUGAUAUGAAAAAUCCCGAAUUUUGCCAACUGUGACACAUUUAUCCCAAACUUUUUUUUAUGACACAAAAAAUUCUGAACUUGUAUUUAUGUGACACAUUUACCCUAAAUUGUAAGGUAUUUUGGUCUUUUACUUUUAAAAUAUUUUUUUUACUUUUUUUUUUCUUCUUCUCUCUUCCCUCCACCAGCCAUGGCAGAGCCGAUGGAGGAAGCCAUAGUUAGGCGAGGGCUACCCUCACCGGCGUCAAGCGAGGGUCGCCCUCAGCUAGGCUGGCUAGGGCCGCCCGACGCCAGUGAGGGAGGUCCUCGACCGACCCAGUCGAGGGUGGCCCUCGCUUGAUGACGCCGAGUGCAGCCCUCGCCUGACUCCAACUUCCCUCCGCCAUGGCCAGCGAAAGGAAGAGAGAAGAAGAAGAAAAAAGAAAAAAAAAGAGAAUAAGACGAAAAUGCUAUUGGUGGGUUAAAUGUGUUACAGUUUGCAAAAUUUGGGGUUUUUAUGUCACAAAAGAAGGUUUAGGAUAAAUUUGUCACUUUAGGCAAAGUUAUGGUUUUUGGUGGUCUUUUCCCUUUCAAUCGAGCCAUAAAAAAAGUCACUUAAUACAACAUAGAGCCAACAUAUAUAAUAUAUUUUGUUCCUUUUCUUGGUAUAAAUGGGAUACCAGCACUCGUUUAGCAAGCCUAAGUCUUGAGUCCGACUCUCAAUGAGAGCACUUGUCUCGUGACUUAUAAUCCUUCUUUCUUCUACAUUCGAACUUUUCCGUAACAAAUUUCUUGACAAACAUUCAAACUUCUAUCUUCUUGAUGCCGUUAUAAUAAGGGAUACGGAACUCUAGUGUGAAUGGAACUCAUUGCUGUGAUGCUAAAGGGAAGGCGAUGCUGACGAAUCCUACUGGAAUAUGCGGGGGACAGAAAAUCUUAGAGCUGGCGGUUAGAUCUAGUUGAGGUUACCAAGGGUUGAUUAUUGCUUAUCGCCCCGGAACUGACUUACCUAGGUCAUGCUCAGCCCUCACCCUUAGAAAAAGGAACUCAAGAAAAAAAAUUCAGUCACUGCUCCAUAAUGAUUAAUGUCCAUCAUAGUUCAAGUAAGGAGAUAUAAGCAAACGUUCAAACAAUAAAUAAAUAGAUCAACAAAAUAAAUUGGAUACCAGACUUAUAUGAUUCAAUCGCAGUGACCUACCUCUAUAAGAAAAGUAAUAACAAAUUUUAUUGUAGAUCAAACAAUAUGACGGAAAUUAUAAUCACAGUCGAGUUACUUUAAUACUCUUAUUGUUUUCCAAUUUCUAAUUACAUUCAAUAAUUCAAGUAAUAUAUAACCUCACAAUUUCUAACUAAAUAAUCCUUUAAUCUCAAGAAGAAAUUAACAAAUCGCGAAUUAAACCCUAAUUUCGCUAUAUGUAAUUCAAGGAGAAUAUCCAAUGUCAAGCACGCCAACGGCACUACUUGCGGCUGAAAAACCCGUGAUAAAGUCACCUCUCCACACGAGAGAGAGAGAGAGAGAGAGAGAGAGAGAGAGAGAGAGAGAGAGAGAGAGAGAGAGAGAGAGAGAGAGAGAGAGAGAGAGAAUGUGUGCAUGUCUGUCUUUUUCCUUCGGCAUUUUUGGCGGCUUCUUUUGUGGCAGUCAUCUAAGGCCUCGCAUGGUAAUGUUUCUGUUCCUUUUCUGUUCCCGGGAACAGAAACAAAAAAAAAAAAGUGUUUCUGUUCCAGGGAACGGUUUUUGAACAAAAGAACGUGUUUGGUAACGUUUGUUCCGGGAAUAAAAAAUGAAUAGAAACACGUUUGGUAAAUUUUAUUCUUUUUUUGUUUCUUUUAAUUUUUUAAUAUUUUUAUUUUAUUUUCCAUUUUUUCCUUUCUUUUUUAUUUUUUUCUUCUUUCGGCCGGUCGCCGACCUCCGGCGACCAGCCGACGAGGCCGGCAGCCUCGCCCGGCCACGGCAAGGCUCGCCGGCCCCCGGCAAGGCCGAGCCUCGCCGUGGUUGGGCGUGGCUCGGCCUCGCCGGAUCUAGGCGAGCUCGAGCUCGCCCAGCCAUGGUGAGGCUCGGCCUCGCCGGAUCUAGGCGAGCCCGAGCUCGCCCAGCCAAGGCAAGGCUCGGCGUCGCCAGUGCGGGCGAGGCCGAGCCUCGCCGCCCUGCCGUCGGAGCCAAGCACCUGCGCCCCGAAGCCCGCAGCUCAACGCCGUCCUGAUCUCACCACACCAUUCGCGACGCCGUCCACCGGCAAGGCCCGUGUCGCCCCGUGUCGAUCCCGAAGCCUCUAGUACGGCGCUGCCGUCGCACCGUCCUCCGGAGCCCCUCGCCGGAACCCUAGCCGAAGAUCUCCCAUCGAGCGAGGCCGAGCCUCGCCUUGGCUGGGCGAGCUCGGCGUGGGCGAGGCUCGGCCUCGCCAGGGGCCAGCGACGCUCCGGCGAGGUCGUUGACCCUCGAGGGCGUCGCCAGCCCUUGACGGCCGGUCGUCGGCCAUGGCCGAGGCCGGCGACCGGCCAGAAGAAAAAAGAAGAAAAAAGAAGAAGAAAAGAAGAAGAAAAGAGAAGAGAGAGAAGAAGAGAAGCGUUUCUUUUUGGCUUUGAAGAAGUUUUUCUUUUCUCCAGAAACAACUUUUUUGUGUUUCUUUUUUUUUGUUCCAAUUUUGUUCUGGGAACAAAAAAACAAAAAAAGAACAUAAACGCAACCAAAUGCGUUUCUGUUCUUUUUUUGUUCCCGGGAACAAAAAAAGUACAAAAGUGUUCCAGAAACACUUUUUUGGAGCGUUUCCAUGUAGGGCCUAAGUGACCGGUGAAGAAAGACCGAUAAAAAGAAGAAGAAGAAGAAGAAGAAGAAUACUUUCUGAGAGAGAGAGAGAGAGAGAGAGAGCAAUCAAUAUUGUCAGUGCACUGUUCGGGGUACAAAGCAAUGAUUUCAUCAUUCUUGAUUAGGGUUUUGAAAAUAUGGCUUUUCAAUCCGUUUCAUACAUUCUCCGGUUCCCUUUUGGGAGUAGUCGUGCACUACUCCCCGCCCCCUUCUCUCUCUCAACCGUCGUCUAGUUGAACAAUUCGUAACAGUCCCGACUCGUGCUUUUGCCGUCUGUCCCUUCUGCCUGAGAAUCUUGAAACGGUGCCGAUGUGGACCUCUUCCUCAACGGCAUCGCCGGCCCUCAACGGCCAUGGCCGAGGCUAGCGACCGGCCAAAGAAAAAAGAUAGAAGAAAAUGGAAGAGAGAGAAAAAAGUGUUCAUAAAUUUUGUUCCAGAAACAAUAAACAACUUUUUUUUUUCUUGUUUCCGUUCCAGAUGUGUUUCUGGAAACAAAAAAAUAAUUUUGGAACAAAAACGCAAACAAACGCGUUUCUAUUUCAAAAAACAAAAAUUUGUGUUCCUGGGAAUAGAAACACAUUUUAACAAACAGGCCAUUAGUAACUGUCCAAAAUUUCAAUUCCCAAAAUAGAAUUGCGUUUAGUAAUAUGCUCAAAAUUUCUACUCAAAAUCAUUUUCUUUUAAUUUUUAAAUAAUUUUAUUACUUUUUUCCUUUUUUUUCUUCUUUUCUUUUUUCCUUUCUCUCUCAUGUUCUUCUUCUUCAAGUGGCUAGUCGCCGGACCAGCGACCGGCUAGACGAGGGCUGGCAAUCUCAUCGAAAUGUUAAUAGCACUUAGCGAGGCUCGCCUAGCCUCACCGGUGCCUAGCCAGGCCUCGACGAGGCUGGGCAAGCCUCGUCGGUGGCCAGGCGGGCCUCGCCGAUGGCCGAGUGGGCCUCACCAGGGCUGGGCAAGGCCCCCCUGCUGGUGGCUAGGCUUGCCUCCGGCGAACUCGCUGGACCUCGCCCUGGCUUGGCAAGCCUUUGACAAGCUCGCCAGACCGGUUGUCAGCAACCAGCAAUAGUGGGUGGCGGACGGCAACCGCAGCGAUGGAUGAAGAGGAAGGAAAGGGAAGAAGAAGAAGAGAAAAUAUGGACUUGAUUCUUGGAUUUGUUCUCAAGAACAAGAAUCAACUUUUUCUUUUAAUUCUUGAUUAUGCUCCAAAUCCACUUCCCUAAAAAAAAAAAAUCCCAAAAACAAAAAUUUUACCAAACACGAUUCCGUUCCAAAAUUACUCCUGGGAACAAAAGAAUAAAAUUUGACACCGUUUGGCUGGUUACCAAACAGGUCCUUAGCAAGCUAAAGUUUUGAGUCCAACUCUUAACGAGAGCAUUUGUCUAGUGACUUAUAAUCUUUCUUUCUUCUACAUUCAAAUUUUCGUAACAACUUUUUUGAUAAACAUUCAAACUUCUGUCUUCUUGAUGCUGUUAUAAUCAGGGAAACGGAACUUUAGUGGGAAUGGAACUCAUUGCGGUGAUGCUAGAGGGAAGUUGAUGCUGACGAAUCUCACUGGAACAUGCGGAGGACAGAAAAUCUUAGAGCUGGGGAAAAUGAAUGGGUUUGGGAUUAAAUCUGGCUAAGUUAUUGCCCCGAAACUGACUCACCCAGGCCAUGGUCAGCUCUAAAGGGAACUCUAGAAAAAGAAUAAUGACUAAUGUUCUUUAUUGUUCAAGCAAAGAGACAUUUUCUAUCGGCUAAACCUUAUGCUUCUCACAUUCAAUGCUUGUGUUCCAUCUGAAGUUAUUUUUUACCACAUAAUUGUCGAAUGAUGGUUUUAAUUAGUGAUGGGCCUAAGUUGGCCCGUCUGCCCAUGCUGGGCCCAAAAGGCCCGGCCCACGGGAAUAGGGCCCGUAGAAGGGGAAGGUAUAAAAGGGAGGAGAGAGAGAGAGAGAAGACAACGCUUGGCUGAACGUACGUACGUUCUCUCCCUCGCUCUCUCUCCAAAAGGACAACAAGAACAGUAAGGCAAACGGCACGUUCUUCUUCCCUUCAAGGCGCCAUCGGAUCGAACAGGACCAGAAUUUCUUCUCGAUCUUUAGCAUUGGUGUCUAAUCUGUGGCUAACAAGGUACGCUCGAAUCCGUGGUGUGCUUUAUGAUCGGUGAUACGUGUUUUCCCGGGCUUCGUCUUCCGCAUUGAUUUAGGGGUUUGAUUGAGUGUCGAAUCCGGUUUUCGGGGAUCAGUCAUUCCCAACAUUGGUAUCAGAGCCCUAGUUCACGUUUUUCCCGAUCAAUUUGAUGUUUUUGAUUGAUCUUUCGCGAAAGAACUUCGGCCGUACGGAUCGGGGCGAAAAAUCCCGACACCCGAGCGCUGUUCGGCCAUUUUUCUGAGUUUUCGUAAGUCGAAAUUGAAUUCUGAAAGCACUGAGUGAAAGAGGUCGUCGAGACGAGUCCGGCGACAUGUUGUGCGUCGCCGAACGACGCCGCACGCACACACAUGCGCGGCCACAAGCCUCUGCGCGUGGGCGCCACGCGCCCGAAGCGCUGGCAAUGGCCAACGCGUGCGCCACACGCGCCGGUGACGAACCGGCACGUGCGUGCCGGCGACCGGCGAAACGGCACACGCCGGUCCGCGGACCAACGCGUGCUGACGUCACGUGAUGACGUCACCGUGACGUCAUCCAACGGUCGGUAACCGCUCGGAUGACGUCAUCGCCGACGACGUUUCGCCGGGCGGUUACUGGCCGGCGACCCGACCCAACGACGACCCGACCCGAACCGCGACGCCCGGCACGCCCGCGGCACGUGCCGGGUGACGUUUGCGUGACGUCAUCCCGCGCACGCGUGCGGCACGUGCGGACGGUUCGCCCGAACCAGCCCGACCGGUCUGCCCGGUCCGUCCGGCGACCGUUGACCCGUUGACCGACCGUUGACCGUUGACUUUGACUGUUGACCGUUGAUGAAAAAAAAAAAAGGAAUUUGUUUCUUUUUCAUAUAUGCCUAUGUGGUUUAUAUGUAAUCCAUUAUUUAUUCUGCAUUUGUUGCAUGAAUUUUGGAAAAUUAUGUGUUUUCCCUUAUGUUAAUUAUGGAUUAUAAGUGAUCCAUUUUUUAAUUCUGCAUUUGUUGCAGGAAUUAUGAUGCGUCAUGCACGAAUACCUACAAUCCCGAGAACGGACGAGGGAAAUGCAAGACUUAAAAGGCUGAUGACAGAGUUGGCUGAUUAUCGGUGGCAUAACGGUGAUUUAGUAUCACAUGUGGUCAAGGUCAAUAAGAUGAUACAGGAAAUCAUCAAUAAUGGUUAUCUUAUGCCGGAUUUUUAGAAGGUGCCGGCUUUGUUGAACACUCUUCCACCUGAAUGGCAAGCAGUGUUAGAUCGGCUAUGGGAGGUCAACGUGGUCCCGGGUUAUAGGAGGCUGGUGGAAGCUUUUGUAAGAGAGUACUAUAAGAUUGAGUUUGCCAAAACUUCAACCCUUAGAUUGUGCGCUACGUGGCGCAGAGUGAAUGCGCCUUGGUGGCGACAUGAAUGCUCUCCAAAAGUUUUUCCAUGGUUGGCAAAUGUGCCUUCAGUUUUCUCAGAUGUUUUGACUAAUAGAUUAGAAUGGACAUUCCCUAAUUAUUUCUUAGAUUAAUUGUGGGAUUUUUUUUUAUGGAUGUAAAUAUCUCUUUCCAUGUUGAUAUUUUUCUCUGUAUAUAUUGCUUAGUGUAAUGUAUAGUUGUAUUAUGUGAAAGCACUAUUAUUCUAUUGGAUGUUAGAUAAUAUUUGCUUUCUGUUACUGCUGAUUGCUGUGGGUAGUUAGCUGUGGGUAGUUCAUAGAAGUUUUUGUAGCUUCAUAGAAUUGUUUUUGCAUAUGACAAUCAUAUUAAUGAUAGUUUUAAGUUAGGAUUUUUGGAGGAUGAUUGGAAACGUAGUGACCUUUUGAUUCUGAAACCUUACUUGAAAUUAUUCAUUAAUAUGAUGGGUCUAUGCAAAUAGGGAUGCAUAAAUGAUAGGCAUUAAUUAUUCGUGCACAUAUGUCUGAUGUGUUCAGAUUGAUGGAUUCAGCAACUAAGAACGUAAUUGCUGAUGUGAACGGCAACAAUUGUGAAAUAUUGAAUAUGAAGAUUCAAUAUGUGCUGGAAAAGCAAGAAGCACUAGAAGCUCUUGACCAUGUUAUGGAAGAUCUUGAGGAUGCUGUGCGCCACCUUGAGUUGGUAGAGGACCGCUUAACGGCAUGUGAGCUGAAAAUAAAUAUUUGCAAUGCUGGUUCUAGCUCAGAAAGGGCUUUGAGCUCUAAGCGCAAGCGUAUUGAUUCGUUCAAUAUGUGGGAAUGCAAAGGAUCAAGUCCUUAUUGCAAGAGAUAAAGAGUUAACCAAUACAAGAGAGGAAAACGUCCUCAAGUUAAGAAAAUGUCAAGGGUGAGGUGUUACAAUUGUGACAAGAAAGGUCACUAUGCUCGCGACUGUCGUGAGCCAAAGAAAGUAAACACCUCUUGUACAUUUGAAAACUUUACUUUUGUGUCAAAUUCUGUAUUAUUAGCUGAAUUCAAUCCUUUGUGAACUGUAGAUUCAGGAGCAACAGACGAUGUAGCGAAAGAUAAAGGAUCCUUCGUGGAAUUCCGACGAAUACCAACUGGAACUAAGUGGAUCUAUGUGGGAAACAGCUCCAGAGUUGAAGUUAAAGGGAUUGGCACCUGCCAACUGAACAUGUGUGGUGGACGCACCUUGUUCCUACAUGAUGUUCUAAAUGCUCUGGAGAUUUGUCGAAAUUUAAGUGUCUGUUUUGAUGUUGGUUAAGCUUGGUUUUGAUAUGAACUUCCAUAAAUAAAGUGUAGAUUUGUGUUUAGAUACAAACUACUAUGGUUGUGGUCACUUUCUAGAUGGUUUUAUUGUACUAAAUGUUGACUGUGGUGAUGUCAAUAUGUUAUUCCCUUGUUUCACGUCUUUUACUUCAUGUGAUAAUGAUGUGAAUGUGUGGCAUGCUAGACUUGGUCAUAUUGGCCAACAACAUAUGAAUAGACUUGCCAAAGAGGGCUUGUUGGGCAAUAUUGAAUAAGUCGAUUUGUCCAUAUGUAAGCAUUGCUUAGAAGGGAAAACGACAAGGAAACCAUUUGGAAAAGGUAAAAGAGCUGACAUUCCUCUGCAUUUAAUCCAUUAUGACGUUUGUGGUUCAAUGAAUGUGAGAGGAAUGCAUGGGACUGUUUACUUCAUCACUUUUAAUAGAUGAUUAUACUCGAUUCGGAUGUGUCUAUUUGAUUUCUCAUGAAUCUGAAGCAUAAGUUGUUUCAAAAGGUUUAUGAACUUGGUUGAAAAUCAAUUAGACAAGAAAAUAAAAGCAUCGAGAUCUGAUCGAGGUCGAGAAUAUUUAUCUGAAAAGUUCAGAAAAUUAUGUGAUGAAAAAGGAAUAGAAAGACAGUUGUCUAUUCCAUAUACUCCUCAACAAAAUGGUGUUGCGGAGAGAAGAAACAGAACCCUACUGGAAAUAGUUAGGUCCAUGAUGGCGCAUGCUAACUUAGAUAUCACUUUUUUGGAGUGAUGCGUUGUUAACUGCUGUCUAUAUACUUAACCGAGUGCCUUCCAAAUCAGUUAGUUCCACUCCAUAUGAGUUAUGGACAGGUAGAAAACCAGACUUAAGUUUUCUUAAGCCAUGGGGUUAUGCUGCCUAUACUCAUGAGUCCUCUCACAAGUUUGGGAAAUUGAGUCCCAGAUAAAAGAAGAGUAUUUUCAUGAGAUACUCCGAACACUCGAAAGGGUAUAUGUUCAUAGGUGAGCAGGAAAGUGGGAGUAUGACUAAAUUUGAAUCACAGGAUGUCACAUCCUUAGUGGAUGAAUUUCCUAAGAAGGGCGAAAUAGGGGAAGAUUAGUCCCUAUUUGAAACCUUGGAUCAAGAUAAUGAUAUUAAUGGAGUUCGUCCAAGUGGGAGUAAUAUGAGAAGUGAUGAAUUGAAUUCAACUCAUUCUCAAUUACAACCACAUGAUGAGAUGAUAUCGUCAUUAUUUAAUCCGAGUGGGAGCAUAAUGGGGAAUGAUGUGCUAAAGUGUACAAUCUCCCAUAUAGCGAACAAGUCGCCAAAGGAUUCCCCGUCAACGUUUUGACAUUGAAGGGGAAACUUCUAAUGAUUGCUCCACAAAAUGAGGAUGAGCCAAGAAAUAUUAAUGAGGCUCUGAAUUGCCCUAGUAAGAAAAAAUGGAUUUAUGCAAUGAAAGAGGAGAUGGAGUCAAUGAAGUCAAACCAAGUCUGGGAACUGGUUGAUCUUCCAAAAAGGGGACGCAAAGCUAUUGGGAACAAGUGGGUUCUCAAAAUAAAGCAAAAGGCUGAUGGCUCGAUAGAAAGCAUAAGGCUCGCCUUGUGGCGAAGGGGUAUAAUCAACAGAAAGGAAUUGAUUAUGAAGAUACAUUUUCUCCUGUAGAGGGAUUUACCUCGAUUCGCAUUAUUCUGGCAAUAGUGGCUAGUAUGGAUCUUGAGUUACAUCAAAUGGAUGUAAAGACUGCUUUCCUCAAUGGAGAAUUAGAGGAAUAAAUAAAUAUGGAACAACCUGUUGGUUUCAUAGUGAAAGACCAAGAAGAAAAGGUAUGUCGACUUUGGGGGUCGAUAUAUGGCCUUAAGCAGUCGUCAAGACAAUGAUAUAUACGUUUUCAUAAUGCCAUAAUAGCAUAUGAUCUUACAAUGAUAGAUGAGGAUCAUUGUAUAUAUAUCAAAAGAUCCAAGGAUCAAUUUGUGAUCAUAUCAUUAUAUGUUGAUGAUAUAUUAAUUGCCGGAAGUAAUAUGGAGUUUGUUCAUACUGUCAAAAGUUGGUUGUCUUCCAAUUUUGAGAUGAAUGAUAUGGGAUUGUAAACACAUAAACACUCCUAUUGCAAAAGGUGAAGGAUUGAGCCAUAGACUGUGUCCAAGGACUCCACAAGAGAAGGAACAAAUGAAACAUGUUCCUUAUGCUAGUGCUGUUGGGAGCUUGAUGUAUGCUAUGAUGUGUACAAGACCUGACAUAUGUUAUGUAGUUGGAAUGGUGAGUAGAUACCAAUCCAAUCCAGGUCAAGCACGUUGGAAAGCCGUUAAAAAAAUACUAAGGUAUCUAAAGGGGACUGCUGAUUAUACGCUGAGUUAUUAUGGAAAGGAUCUGCGACUCUAAGGCUAUUCUGAUGAUGAUUGGGGAGGAGAUUUAAAUAAAAGGAAAUCUACCUCUAGGUUUGUUCUCUUACCGAAUAAUGGCACCAUGUGUUGGAGCAGUAAGAAACAAAAGUGUAUAGCCUUGUCCAUGAUGGGAAUUGAGUUCGUGGCAUUAUCAGCAGCAGUAUAAGAAGAUGUUUGGCUUAAGAGAUUUUUUGGAUCAUUUAGGUGUUAUUGGAAGUGCUGCAGAUUAAUUGUUGGUUAAUUAUGAUAGCCAAGCAGCAAAAGUGUACACCAAAGAUCCAAAAUAUCAUGACAAUACCAAACAUAUAGAUACCAAGUAUAAUUUUGUCAUGGAUAUGAUUGCACGAAAAGAUGUGAACUUAUAGUACAUACUACGCAUAGAAUGGUAGCAGAUCCUAUGAUAAAGCCAAUACCUAGAGAUGUGUUUUGUGGCUAUAUGAAAUCUCUAGGAUUGCGUAGAGGCUGAUGUACUGAAUAUUGUAAUUUCCCUAAGUGUUCACAAUUUGAUGAAUUUGUGUUUUCAUCAUUAAUGCCUAUGAAUCUUUGUUUGAUCUUUAUGCAUCUUAAUGCUCAGUGCAUUACUUUAAGUUAAGAGAAGUAUGUCGGACAGAUAUAAGAUUAGCCCACUCACACGGGUAAUCGCCUCUAUUUACUGUGUGAUAAAUAGAGAUGAGACUGUUUUUAAGCUUAUUAUCUAGGUGAUAAUCGAGAGCUCAAGCUUAAAACACGUAUGUCACCUUAACUAAGUGUUAAGAUGGGGACAUAAUACUUACUAUGUCCGAAAGUAAAAUACCCCACAUAUUUUACUUUAUCUGUUUAAGAUGCCAAAUGUGAGUUCUGAUGAAUUUUGUAAAUGAGUAGAUACGUGAACUCAAGUUAGACAUUGGGUAUGUCUGAACUAUCAUCUGUACGGUAUUGAAAGGUGUAGACAUACGCUCCAUGGGAAAGGAGUUGAUACCGUAAUACGUAUUUCAUACUACGUAUGCAUGAGACGACUAAUAAGAGUGGCAAAAGUUUGAUCUCAACUUUUUUUUUAUGUCGUGUGAGACUCUUGAGGAAAAGAGUUCCUCAAUUUUUUAGUCCCCUCAUGACUCUUACUUAUUCUCAAGAUUUCUAUUUAGUGUUUGCUAUCUUAGGAUGUUGCCAAUGGUCAUGAGUUUCAUUCGAUCUAAUGGGGCAUUUCUAGAAAAGCAAGCUGAACUGAAAUUGAGAGUUUGAAGGAAAGAGGAAGAUCGAUUUUGGAGAAUCACAUUGUAGUUUUGUAUUCACCGGUUAACCAAUUAUGACUGUCUUUGGGAUAAUCAUAAUUGUGAAUACAAUAUAUAUAUAUAUAUAUAUAUAUAUAUAUAUAUAUCAUUGUUUAAAAGAGAUCAAGAGAGAUAUAAAUGUGAUCAAUCGAUCUAGGGAACUGCAUACUAAAUCUACUCGGAGUGUGAUGCCCAUUAUGAGCUGCUAUAUAUUCCUAACAGAUGUAUGGCAACGAGCUCUCAAAGUAUGCUAGUCGCACGGAUUAUUCACUGGUAUGAAUGUUGAAGAGAGGUAAAGAGAAUUCUGUUCGGCCCACCAUGUGCGAGUGGGAGAUGAUGGUUUUAAUUAGUGAUGGGCCUAAGUUGGCCCGUCCGCCCAUGCUGGGCCCAAAAGGCCCGGCCCACGGGAAUAGGGCCCGUGGAAGGGGAAGGUAUAAAAGGGAGGAGAGAGAGAGAGAGAAGACAACGCUUGGCUGAACGUACGUACGUUCUCUCCCUCGCUCGCUCUCCAAAAGGACAACAAGAACAGUAAGGCAAACGGCACGUUCUUCUUCCCUUUAAGGCGCCAUCGGAUCAAACAGGACCAGAAUUUCUUCUCGAUCUUCAGCAUUGGUGUCUAAUCUGUGGCUAACAAGAUACGCUUGAAUCCGUGGUGUGCUUUAUGAUCGGUGAUACGUGUUUUCCCGGGCUUCAUCUUCCGGAUUGAUUUAGGGGUUUGAUUGAGUGUCGAAUCCGGUUUUCGGGGAUCAGUCAUUCCCAACAGUUGACAACCUAAUUUGACCAAUAAACGCAGUACAUCUAUAUAGUAUCUGGAGAGCAGCUGUUGUUGCUAGCUAAGGAUUACAUCAAGUAUCUUUUUAGUGGAUGUUUGAGUGUUAGGUCAACCCGUGCGAUACCCCAGUGAGGAAGAUUUUACAACGAGCUAACAGAGAAGAAAGAGGUUGAUCAGUAUUGGUUAGUGUUGAAAAUUGAGAUCCAUUUUCUAAAACUAGCUAAUUUCUUCUAUUGUAAUCUAGAAGCUCCUAAGUAAAGGUUUUGGUAGUGGAAGUUGUGGUCUAACAAUGUCCAAGUUAAGAGAUGUUUGGAUGAAUGGCCGUGGACAGUUGUAAAGCAAAAAUAUCUCUGACAAAAGCAGGAAUCUUUCCUUGAAGAAUACGGUGGGUGGCUUUAUGAGUAAAGCAAGAACUAGUUUGUGUAAGGUGGUGGAAGCAUCAGAUAAACUCCAGCCACGUGAACAUCCCGUCCUACAAUUAUGUAACGCCACAUUUCUAUCAAAUAAAUAAACGAUAUUCUUGUCUCAUAAAUCUUUUUCUAUAUUCCUCAGAGUAUUCAUCCUUGUCCAUUCCCCUACAUCAACUAUACCAUAAACAUAUACAUUUACACAUACAAACAAAAAAAUAUCAUUGAUAUCAAAGUCAUUCUUCGGCACAAUCUCACAAUUUCCAACAGUUAGAGAAGGCGAUAAUUAAUAUCCCGACCUAGUGGGACGGUCCUGAGAAGUAGAGGCGCAGGGAGAGAAUAUAGACAAGAUUUGUCUUCCAGCUAUGAUAAUGACCUCUGAACAAUUCAUCUUCGUCUUCCCCAGUCAUUUUAGAUGGAACAGCGAUAUCAUUCCACGGUUCUAGUUUUGCAGUGAUCCGAAGCUUGAUCUUGGUAGACGAUGAGAAAGCUGUCUUGUGUAGUUGUUACACCAUCCGUCAUGGAAUUUUCGUGCAAAAUUUAACAAGAACAAGGUCAGAUGAAUGAAGGAUUGAAGUCUAUGUCAUUCUGUUUUGUUGCAGUAUGAAUGACUGAGUUCAAGUUGAUUCAAAGCGUUAGAGCAAUUGGGACUUGAUAGGCUGCUUCAUCGGGUGAGGACUUCUUCGUUCCAACUUUUUCUGUCCCUUUUGAUUCGUUUUCAUUUCUGCUAUUGAUUUCGUCAUUUUGAGCUUAGGUUGCUACCUAAUAGGCAGAAUUUUUGUAACAUUUGAUAUGAUAUGCAAAUACACAUUACUUGUGUAUAUCUCGAAAAUUCCCACAUUUAGACACUGCUUUAGGCUGGCUUCCAAAAAAAUGCCCUUCUAUUAAUCUUCCGAGCGUUAAAAACUACAAAUACAAACUAAAAAAGUCAGAUUGUGAGAGCAACUUCCGUUUGCUCUUUCUUUUGUUUUGCAUUGCAUAUUGGUCCUUCCCCUAUUUUUGCAUGCUGACAGCUAAUCAUAAACACCAAGUUGCUUCAAAGGUUAUGGUUGAAACAAGCAUAUACUGAAAUGUAGAGGCAAAAGAAAUUAUGUAGGUUCUCGAAACUCUGGUGGUUGACCGCAGGGACAUCACCCGAUCCCGGUAUGUUGAGCUUUUUGAUGGCAAUGAUUUGGCUGCUGGCCAGUUCAAUCCUGUAAACGCUCCCGAACCAGCCCUUCCGAUGCAGUACUUUUCACUGCAGUCAUUGGUAGCCUUGGCGAUGUCAUUGAAUGUGAACUUCCCUUCCCUUCCCCAUAUGAUCGACUUGGAUUGCUCUUGCUUCACAAGACUCUUGAUCUCUUCAUCGAAUUCCUUGUUUCGCCACCAAAGUGCCAGAAUCACAGCAAUUGAAAUCACCAGAAAUAGUAAGCAGCAGAUGCCCAGGGUCACACCAAAAAAAACCUUUUCCCUAUGGUCGGUCGAUUUACGCUCAUCCCACAAGGAGAUAAUCCGGUCGUGUUUCCACACAAACCUAGAUUCGCGAUUAAAGCACUUCCCUGUGCUUGUUGGGAGAGGCGACCACUACGAACCACACUAAUUGGCUUGUUGCACGAUAAGUCUGUUGAGCUUCAACUCCUCAUGUUGGUGAGAGGAGCUGGGAUCGUAACCGACAAUUUGUUAUGCAAAAGAUUGAGAUUUUCCAAUUCAGUGAACUUUGCUAAAUUGGAAGGAAUUGAUCCUGCUAGAGAAUCAUGGCUCAGGUUCUCCUCUGUAGCGUGAACAAGUUCCCCAGCUCUGGCGAUAUGACAUCCAACAUAUUGUUGUUGCUCAAGUUCAAGCUCAGUAAAUUCUUGCAAUUCGCUAGCUCUUCCGCUAUGCUACCGCUCAAUGCCUUCUCCCCGACAAAUCAAGAUAUUCUAGCUUCAAUAAGUUUCCUAACUAGGUGGGAAUAUCUCCAGCCAAAUGGUUGUAGCUCAAGUUCAGCCUAAUCAACGCCCCCAGACUUACCAAAUCAUCAGGAAUUUUCCUGGUCCAUUCAUUGCCAUAUGGAGUCAGAUCGUGCAAUUGAGACAAUUUAUUAAUCUCCGGCAAGAUGCGGCUGGGGAUUUUGUUACCAUCUAUCUGCAAAUUCGUGACAUUCGUGCACUCUCCCCAUUCUGCAGAGAGAUUCCCGACAAAUCGGUUGUUGCUGAGGACCUGAGGCUUAUAAAGUCCGGAUUCAGAUAAACUCCAAACGCACUCAUGACAUCUGCGGUGAACCGAUUGCUGUCCAGACGGACUCUCGUUAGCCCCGGACAAUUCCUAAGCAGUUGGGCAGCGGCUAGGUGAAGUUAUUCCCAUCGACCACGAGAUAUCAAAGAGCAAAGCCGCUGCAUAUAUCUGGCGGCAGCUCUCUGGUGAAGCUGUUGUUCGAAAAGUUAACAUUGCCCAGAGAAUGGCUGUACUUGCCAAAAUCACGGGGUAUGCCUCCCGAGAAAGUGUUCAUGAACAAAGAGAUGGACUGUAAGUGAUGCUACAUCAUGGCUUUUUCCUUCCCAGCCCUGAUCUCCUCUUCUUCAACUUGAAGUGCCUCCUUGGUGGUAUACUUGCUGGUCAUCUUGCAAACCGACCUUCAUCACUGACAGCCUCUCAAACUUGACCUCGUAAUCAAUCGACUCGAGUUUGUCCUCUAAUGUGUCACCUUCGAUUAUCGUCUACCUACACACGAAGUUCUCCUUGUCGAGCUCAUUGAUCCGGUGCUUCACAUUCUUGAAAUGACUAGCUGCAUUUGUGACCAAACAAGACUUACAUUAUGAAACUCCCGGCUUGACGAGUGUCUGUUGAGUGUUCGUACCUUCGGCGAUAUUAACUUGCUCGAUGCUCCCGGCUCCUCCGUUGCCUUGCACGAGCUCCACGCUCUUUAUGAACUGAGGCAGGAGCUUUGGGAUCAGGGAAUUCAACCCGACGAUCAAGGCCUUGAACAUGUGAGCUGGAGCAAUCGGGCACGUGAGCUCUUGUGUGAUGCUGGUUGCACCCAUGGCUAUUGGCAAUGAGAAAGAAAUAACCCCAGAGAAGUUCGUGCUUCUGAGUCCUGUCAAUGCCUCCUAUUUAUGGUUAGAAUUAUGCGAAUAGGUAGGCUUGGUUUGGCAAGAGUCACGUUUGAGGAAAAUAGAAGAGUCGAGGAUUCGCGGCCUAAAGAAAUAUAUAAUAAGAAUGUACUUUUCCUUAAUGAUUUUACUUAUUGCGGUUCAUGAAAAAUUGUGCCACCUUGAUAUGUUUCGAUGAUCGAUCCGGAUCGAGCGGGAUCGAUAGUCCAUAUUCGAAAUAUUAGGCCACAGUUUACCAUGAAUUCAUUUCACUCAUGUAUCCUCUCCAUGUAGCGCAGUUUACCAAAUGCCAUAAAAACCACUACACCAGAUUCCUGUCACAUCUUUCAUUCUCUUAUUCUCAGCAAAGACUGGAACAACAACAAUCACCAGCCCAACAUGCUUUAACUUCGAACACCAAGUGACUCAAACGCUUCUUGUCUUCUAUUUAGUUUUGCCCAACCGGACAAUAAAAGAUAGCGACGAGAUCGGCGCAACAGGCAUCAGCGUUUGCCACGACAGAAGCCUCUAUGGCCUUGACCAUCGCGUCCACCUUCUCUUUCCCGGCCUUGAUCUCCUCCUCGGUGAUAUUCACCUCGCCAAUGGUGAAGUACUUGCUCAUGCACUUCAACACCGAGCCUCCCUCGGGCGACGCGGUGAUCUUCACCUCGUAGCUGAUCUUCUCAAAGGCGGUGCCCAGCGCAUCACCCUCGAUGAUUGAGUAACAGUAGGUGAAGUUCUCCUUGUUCAAGGCCUAGACCUUGUGCUUUGCCGUCUUGUACCGACUGCCGAUCAGAGUAACAAAAAGUAACAUUCACAUUUAGAACUUGCCGGUUUCAACAUUGUGAGCACCGAUCUUGAUGGUGUAGAAUCGGCCAUUCAGGAAUUAGCCCCCAGCCACAAUCCAAUACUAUUAACUUAGACAUGGCCUGAUUUUGCCUUAUCGAAAUCAGGUCACAUGAUCACAUGUGUAAAUUUAAACAGUUAGAAACGUCUUAAUUAAUCAAGUCAUAUAUCUAUAUUUUUCAAUCAAGUCAUAUAUCUAUCAUUAAGGAAUUAGCCCCCAGCCACAAUCCAAUACUAUUGACUUAGACAUGGCCUGAUUUUGCCUGAUCGAAAUUGGGGCACAUGAUCACUUGUGUAAAUUUAAACAGUUAGAAACGUCUUAGUUACUAUCUAUCUUUUUUAAUGUCCAUUAUAGUGUUCCAUAAGGUUGAACCCGCCUUGAUUUGGAGCAAUCCUAAGUUCCUAAUAUGGAUGGACUAACCUUCGCAGAAAGUCAUCAACUUGAUGGUCCCGGGACCUCCAUCGCCCUUGAAGACUUCAAUGCUCUUGAUGUCUUGUGGGAGGACCUUGUUGAUGAGGUUAUCGGCGUCAAGGAGAGUGGCCUCAAACAUCUCGGCCGGAGGGAUUGGGGACGUAAGUGAUGACACCCAUGACUGGAUCCGAACAAAGGUGCAGAAACUGAGAAGAGGGUGAUGAUUAGGAAAGACUUAGUAGUGAUGAAUUUGGUCUCUAGGACUUGGGAGUGAAGGAAGGAGGCCGAAUUGAAGAAGACAUAUGUAGAGAGACUGAGUGUGAAGGGUUAUGAUUUCUGAAUAUUUUCUUCUUUCUCAGGUGGGUUUUGCAGAAAAUAAAUAAUUUAAAAAAUAUUUUCCUAAAAUUAAUCGUCAAAUUUGGAUAGUGUUUCCAAGCAAGAGUUAUUUGGUGAGUGUGCUGCAUAUUGUAAAUUGAUCUAAAUCCAUAUAGAACUCACAAGAAUUACAAGCCUAUAUCUCCUUAAUAUAAAUACGAUGAAAAAAUGCUACCUCAUUUCCGAAUUUUCGUCAAAAUUGUGCUAUAUAUACUAUGUUAAUCUAAAUUGCUAAAUUCAAUGGGCUCACGUGGGAUCCAUACAAAACUCACCAGAGUUAAAAGUUUUGAUUCCGCUUAAUAUGAAUACAGUGCACUUUCGUCAAAAUUGUGUUGUCUAUACUAAAUUGAUUUAAAUCACUAAAUCUGAUGGGUUCAUGUGAGACCCAUAUGGAACUUACUAGAAUUAAAAAUCCAAAUUCAGCUUAAUAUAAAUACAACCUAGCUCAUUUAUGAGUCUUCAUUAAAAGUGUGUUGUAUGUCCUACAUUGAUCUAAAUCGCUAAAUAUGAUGGGUUUGCGUGGGAUCCAUAUAGAACUUACUAGAAUUAAAAGUCCAAAUUCCCCUUGAUAUAAAUACGACACUACCUCAUCUCCAAGUCUUCGUCAAAAUUCUGCUAUAUGUACUAAGUCAAUCUAAAUCGCUAAAUUUGAUGGGUUCACGUGGGAUCCAUACGAAACUCACUGACAUUGAUUCCACUUAAAAUAAAUAUGAUGCUCUUUCAUUGAAAUUGCGUUGUAUGUACUAAAUUGAUUUAAAUCACUAAAUAAGAUGGGUUCAUGUGGGACUUAUAUGGAACUCACUGGAAUUAAAAGUCCAAAUUCCACUUAAUAUAAAUUUGACCCUAGCUUAUUUUCGAGUCUUCGUCAAAAGUGUAUUGUGGGUUCAAGUGAGAUCUAUAUGAAACUCAUUGGAAUUAAAACUCCAAAUUUCUCUUACUAUAAAUAUGAUGCUAUCUCAUUUCCGAGUUUUCAUCAAAAUUAUGUUGUAUAAGCUAAUAUACGGGUUUGUUUUAUUAUUAUGACUUUUGAGAUUCCCUUUCAUGGAUCAGUUUGAUAAAGAAUCGAAAUUUCCUUUUGACCCAAAAAAAAAAAAAGUUAAUCUAAAUCACUAAAUUUUAUGAGUUUACAUGAGACCCAUAUAAAACUCACUAAAAUUAAAAGUCUAGAAUCCACUAGAUAUAAAUACGAUGCUAGCUCAUUUCCAAAUCUCCAUCAAAUGCCUUUUUAUCAUCAUUUUGAAGCUUCUGAUCGCACCCCACUCUGUCACACGUGAAUUGGGAAUGAUUUUCGACGCCAAAGUCUUCGUUAAAUCUCAUAAAGAUUGAGCCAACGUGGAACAACAACUCAAUUGUAAGCAUCGGGGUUUUGCAAGAGAUGGGCUCCAAUGGCUUUCAACAUUCCCAUGGCCUUCUAUUUGCUAGCCUUGUUCUCGAACCUGUCCUUGGCGAAGUACUUGCUCGUGCUCUUGCACGUGCACCCUCUCUGUCUGGACUUGAUCUCGUUCGAGAUCUUCUCUAGCACGUCGCCCUCCACAAUGAUGUAAGCGUGCGGGAGCUUUCCUUGUCCAGCUUGUCGACUGGUGCUUCACCGAGUUGAACCGUGUAGCCGCGACACAGAAAACUGUAGUCAGCUCCCACGUUAGUCUUAUCUAAGAAUGUCAGGCAAAUAUGUUGACAUCACAUGUUGAUGUGUGAUCAAAAUGAGUGAAAUUAGAAGACGCGCAGGUACUCGCCUUCGCCGAAAACGAUGCGAUGGUGACGGGACCGCCGUCACCUUCAAGGGUGACAAAAUCCAGAUUGGCUUGUAGGAGGAGCUUGGGGAUGAGAUUUUUAUCAAGAUCAAAUGCCUUGAACAUUCGUGCAGGUGGGAUGGAAUGCGUCUUAGCCUAAGAUUUCCAAGUCCCAGGGCAAGAGAUGUGAGAUUAUGUUGAAAUGCCCUUUAAAUGAUUCUCAAUCUCCUCGUUUAGUAAUCUAAAUCAGCAUCACAAUGUUCUUAAAUAAUACAAUAAAAAAAGAGGACAAAAGGCAUGGAUCUCAAGCCCAAAUUAUACUUAUUAGCAUGCGAGAGACCUUUGAAUGCUGACACCCUUGAGGGUGGGAAUUCACUAAAUUAUAAUUUAAAUAUUCUAACGGCGCCAACGGCUCGGACAGGAAAGCUUGAGUACGUGCGGAUAAUUCUUGCGCAACGAAAUGCAUGGUAAGUCACGAAUCGAGACUCAUCCGCAUACACGCUAUUGCGACCAUGACCAUGAAUACCACUUCCUUGACCAGUUGGCCAGUCGGAGGAGGAAGAUGUGGGUUGAGCAUAUCCUAUAGUGGCACAUUUGAGUCUUUGAAUAAUGUCGACAUUUGUGUCAUUUGUAGGGAAGAGAGAAGAUUCCGGGAUGCUUCCUCAUCAUUCUCUAGCAUCGGUACUUUUACUGUUGACUCUGUUUCAUGAAAGAAGAAUGAAUCAAUGUUUUGAUCACAACCUCAAGUUGCCUACAAAUUCCAAAUUUUUGAGAUUCUGUUAAUACAUACCACUUUUCAAAAUCUGUACUUGCUCUUCCUAAAAGUCUUGUUAGAAGUAUUGGAUGAAUCCAAAUUCAAUAUGUCAAUUGAAGGUAUUUGAUCAACCCGAGACCAUAGGUACAGGGGGAAUGUACUGAUUAGAUUUGAUCAUGUAGCUUACCAGGAACCAUGUAGCCAUAAGAUCCAGCCACUGGGAUCCAAUUCGACGAAUCCGAAUUCAAGAGCCUCACUGUCCCAAAAACCAAAAGCCAAGGCUCGAAGUCCGACUCGAGCAAGAUGUUGUUCAACAUCAUGUUCCGAUGGACAAUAGGCAGUGAGCAAUUGUGAUGCAAGUAGGCGAUCACGGGAGCCACGCAUUGAACAAUCUUCACUCUCUUAACACAAGUCCAAUUCAACUGCUCCGCUUCCUCCAUGCAAGACCUUUGCCAAAGUUCACAAAAGAUUGGAUGAUGUCCCUGCGGUUAACCACCACUUUUUUUUACCAUGACGAUGUGGCCGCUGGCCUAUUCGGCCUUGUAAACGCUUCUGAAUCCACGUUUUCCGAUGCAGUACUCUCCAUUGAAGCCGUUGGUGGCCUUGGCAAUAUCGUUGAAUGCAAACUUCAUUCCCCUUUCCCAUAUGAUUUCACGUACUUCAUAAGAUUUCUUAUCUCUUCAUCGAGAUGCUUGUUUCACCGCCAAAGCACCAAAAUCAGAGCAAUAAGAGUCACGAGAAGUAGUAAGCAGCAAACGCAACAAUCACAUUAAUCAGAACCUUUCUCCGAUGGUCAGUCGAUUUACUGCUCGACCCACAUGGAGACAUUCCGUCGCGUUUCCUCACAAGCCCGGAUUUGCAAUAAAAGUACUUCCUAGUUAUUGUUGGAAGAGGCGACCACCAAGAACUGCGCCUGUCAACUUGUUGUACAAGAAGCCCAUGAAGCUUAAACUGCUCAUGCUGGUGAGAGUAGCUGGGAUCGUACCCAACAAAUCGUUAUGCAAAACGUUGAGAUUUUUCAAUUUAGUGAGCUUUGCUAAAUUGGAAGGAAUUGAUCCUACUAGUGAAUUGUGGCUCAGGUCUAGUGGUUCUGUAGCGUGAACGAGUUCCCCAGCUCUGGCGACAUGACACCCAACAGAUUGUUGUUGCUCAAGUUCAGGCUCAGUAAAUUCUCGCAAUUUGCUAAUGCUUUUGGUACGAUCCAUAGAGAAGGGAUGUACUUGCCGUAUUGUGGUUUAUGAAAGAUUGUGCCACAUUGAUAACUUUAGAUGUUAAUCCAAAUUCGAAAUAUCAGGCCAAAUUUUGGUAUUUUAUUGGCCAUUUGGCAUUUCAUUUGUAACUCAUGAAUUCUCUCCUCGUAAAAAAAUUACUAAAUUAGAGAAUUUCAUUCUACAAGCCUUGUAUAAACAUGUAGCAUAGUUUAUCAAAUUCCACAAAACCACUGCACCAGAUUCCUAUCACACCUUUUAUUCUCUUAUUCUCAGCAAAGACAAGAACAACAAUACUCACCAGCCCAACAUGCUUAGCUCCAAACAGAGUGACUCAAACUCUUCUUGUCUCCUUUUCAGUAUAGCACAACCACACAUAUUUAACGCAUUACGUAAACAAUACAAGAUAGCGAAAAGAUAGGCUCAGUAGGCAUCAGGGUUUGCCAAGAGAUAAGCCUCGAUGCCCUCGUACAUCGCGGACACCUUCUCUUUCCAGGUGUUGAUCUCCUCCGCGGUGAAGUAACUGUCCGUGCACUUCAACAUCGAGCCUCCCAAAGGCAACGCGUUGAUCUUCACCUCAUGGGUGAUCUUCUCGAAGGUGGUGCCCAGCAUUUCGCUCUCGAUGAUUGAGUAGCGGUAGGUGAAGUUCUCCUUGUCCAGGGCCUCGACCUUGUGCUUCGCUGUCUUGAACGGAUUGCCUAUCAAUGUAACAAAAAGUCACACUCACAUUUAGAACUCGCAGGUUUCAAUAUCACGAGCACCAAUCUUCAUGGUGUCCAUCAGGCCAUUUAGGAAUUAACCCAAUUGUUCCGACCGCAAUCCAAUACAAUUGACUUAGACAUAGCCUGACUUUGCCUGAUCAAAAUUGAGUCACAUAAUCACUUGUGUAAAGUUAAACGGUUAGAAACAUCUUAAGUAAUCGAGUCAUAUUUCUAUCUUUUUCCAUAUUCAUUUUAGUGUUCCAUAAGGUUGAACCUACCUUGAUUCAAAGCAAUCCUAAGUUCCUAAUACGGAUGGACUAACCUUCGGCAAAAGUCAUCAACUUGAUGGUCCCGGGACCUCCAUCGCCCUCGAGGACUUCAACGCUCUUGACGGCUUGUGGGAGGACCUUGGGGAGGAGGUUAUCGGCAUCGAGGAUAGCGGCCUUGAACAUCCUGGCCUGGGGAAUGGGGGAUGGGAUAUCGAAGUGAAAAGUGAUGACACCCAUGACCGGAUCUUACUAGAGUUGCUGAAACUGAGAAGGGGGUGAUGAUCUGGAAAGACUUGAGUAGUAGUGACGAAGUUGGUCUCUGGGACUUGGGAGUGAAGAGAAGAGGCUGAAUUGAAGUUGACAUAUAUAGAGAGAGGGAGAUUGAGUGUGAAGGGUUCUGAUCACUGCAUAUUUUUUUCUUACUAAGAUGCAUUAUAUUUUGCGGAAAAUAAAUAAUUUAGAAAAUAUUUUCCUAAAAAUAAUCACUAAAUUUAGAUAGUGUUCUGAGCAUAAGUUAUUUGGUGAGUGUGCUGCAUGUUCUAAAAUGAUCUAAAUUGCUAAUUUAAUGGGCUCACUAGAAUUAAAAGUCUAGAUUCCCCUUAAUAUAAAUACGACACUACCUCAUUUUCAAGUCUUCAUCAAAAUUGUGUUGUAUAUAAAUAUGACCCUAGCUCAUCUCCGAGUCUUUAUCAAAUGUGUGUUGUAUGUCCUAAAUUGAUCUAAAUCUCUAAAUCUAACAGGUUCACGUGGGAUAAAUGUGGAACUCACUAAUUAAAAGUCUAGAUUCUCCUUGAUCUAAAUACAAUGCUAUGUCAUUUCGAAGUUUUCGUCAAAAUUGUGUUGUAUAUACUAAGUUAAUCUAAAUCGCUAAAUUUGAUGGGUUCAUGUGGGAUCCAUAGGAAACUCACUGAAUUAAAAGUUUAGGUCAACUUAAUACAAAUACAGUUUUCUUUCAUCAAAGUUAUGCCGUAUGUACUAAAUUAACCCAAAUUGCUAAAUCUGAUGGGUUCAUGUGGGACCUAUAUAAAACUCACUCGAAUUAAAAGUCAAGAUUCUCCUUGAUAUAAAUACGAUGCUAUGUCAUUUCAAAGUUUUCGUCAAAAUUGUGUUGUAUAUACUAAGUUAAUCUAAAUUGCUAAAUUUGAUGGGUUCAUGUGGGAUCCAUAGGAAACUCACUAAAUUAAAAGUUCAGGUCAACUUAAUAUAAAUACGGUUUUCUUUCAUCAAAAUUAUGCCGUAUGUACUAAAUUAACCCAAAUUGCUAAAUAUGAUGGGUUCAUGUGGGACCUAUAUGAAACUCACUCGAAUUAAAAGUCAAGAUUCUCCUUGAUAUAAAUACGAUACUAUGUCAUUUCUAAGUUUUCGUCAAAAUUGUGUUGUAUAUAAAUAUGACCCAAGCUCAUUUCCGAGUCUUUAUCAAACGUGUGUUGUAUGUCCUAAAUUGGUCUAAAUCACUAAAUCUAAUAGGUUCACGUGGGAUCCAUGUGGAACUCACUCAAAUUAAAAGUCUAGAUUCUCCUUGAUAUAAAUACGAUGCUAUGUCAUUUCUAAGUUUUUGUCAAAAUUGUUUUGUAUAUAAAUAUGACCCUAGCUCAUCUCCUAGUCUUUAUCGAACGUGUGUUGUAUGUCCUAAAUUGAUCUAAAUCGCUAAAUCUAACAGGUUCACGUGGGAUCCAUGUGGAACUCACUUGAAUUAAAAGUCUAGAUUCUCCUUGAUAUAAAUACAAUGCUAUGUCAUUUCUAAGUUUUCGUCAAAAUUGUAUUUUGUAUAUAAUAAGUUAAUCUAAAUCGCUAAAUUUGAUGGGUUCAUGUGGGAUCCAUAGGAAACUUACUAAAGUUAAAAGUUCAAAUCAGCUUAAUAUAAAUAUAGUGCUCUUUCAUCAAAUUACGUCGUAUGUACUAAAUAACCCAAAUCGCUAAAUCUGAUGGGUUCAUGUGGGACCUAUAUAAAACUCGCUGGAAUUAAAAGUCUAGAUUCUACUAAAUAAAAAUUAGGCCCUAACUCAUUUCCGAGUCUUUGUCAAAAGUGUGUUGUAUGUCCUAAAUUGAUCUAAAUUGCCAAAUCUGAUGAGUUCACAUAGGAUCCAUAUUGAAUUCACUAGAAUUAAAAGUCCAAAUUCCACUUAAUAUAAAUAUGACGCUAGCUCAUUUCUGUUUCUUCAUCAAAAUUGUGGUAUAUGUACUAAGUUAAUCUAUAUCGCUAUAUUUGAUAGGUUCAUGUGGAACCCAUAUGAACCUCACUAAAAUAAAACGUCCAAAAUCGAUUAAAUAUAUACACUACUUUAACUCAUUUCUAAGUCUCCAUCAGGCGCCUUUUUCUCAUCUCUUUGAAGCUUCCGAUCUCGUGCCAUUCCGUCACAUGUGAAUCGCGAAUGAUUUUCCACGCCAAAGUCUUUGUUAAAUCUCAAGACUUAAAAAUACGAAUGUGAAGUAACAACUGCGUGUCAAAUGCAGAAAAUUCAUAUGUGAAAAAGUUGACCGUCCCUUCUUGAGUCAACUGUUCUCUUCCUCGAUAUGCUUUUCUGAUCUGGCCUCACAGAUAGAUGGGCAAAGCGGCGCAUUCAUAUCUAUAAUCUCGCGGCAGUUUCAACUCUGUUAAAAGAAUGCCGAGAUCUUUACAAGAUGUUUGACAAGUGUCUUUGAUGACAGCAUGCAGCAUAUCUACCGCUUCAAAACAUAGUUACGGUUCAGUCUCGAUUGUUAUUUUUCUUGAAAGAGACACGAAUGAAGACAUAAAUUAUCGUGGGAGAUAGAAAGAUCCAGCCAACAUGUAACGACAACUCAAUCGUAAGCAUCAGUGUUUUUGCAAGAGAUGGGCUUCUAUGGCUUUCAACAUUCCCAUGGCCUUCUCUUUGCUGGCCUUGUUCUCGACCCGGUCCACGGCGAAGUACUUGCUCAUGCUCUUGGCCAUACACCCUCUCUGUCUGGACCCGCCUCAAACUUGAUCUCGUUCGGGAUCUUCUCUAGCGCGUUGCCCUGGACGAUGGCGUACGCAUGCGCGAGCUUUCCUUGUCCAGCUUCUCGACUGGUGCUCCACCGAGUUGAACUGUCUAGCUGCGAGACACAGACAACUGCAGUCAGCUCCCACGUUAGCCUCAACAAAGAAUGUCGGCAAAUGUCCUCUUUGACAUCACAUGUUAAUGCGACGCAAUCAAAAUAAAUUAAAAUAGAAGACAGCGCAAGCACUGGCCUUCGCCAAGGAUGGCGCCGGGACCCCCAUCACCUUCAGGGAUGACAAAAUCCUUAAAGGCUUGUGGGAGGAGCUUGGGGAUGAGAUCAUCGUCAGGAAGAACGGCCUUCUUGCAGGUGGGAUGGAAUCGUCUUCACCUAAGAGUUCCAAGUCCCACGGCAAGAGAUCUGUGAUAUUAUGUUGAAAAUGCCCUCUAAAUGAUUCUCAAUCGCCUCGUUUAGUAAUCUAACUCAACAUCACAUUGGUCUAAAUCAUAUAAUAAAGAAAGAGGACAAACGGCAUGGAUCUCAAGCCCAAAUGAUACUUGUUAGCAUGCGAGAGAUCUUUGAAUGCUGACAACCUUGAGGGAGUCACUAAAUUAUUAUUAAAAUAUUAUAAUAGAACCCAAUGGCUUAGACAAGCAAGCUUGAGUGCAUGUGGAUAAUUCUUGCUUGAUGAAAUGCAUGGUAGGUCGCGAAUCGAGACUCGUCCCCAUGCACAUCCACUCCCUCGGCUAGUUGGCCGGUCGGAGGAGGAAGCCGUGGGUCGAGCACAUCCUUCAAUAGCACAUUUUAGUCUUUCAAUAAUGUCGACGUUUGUGUCAUUUGUAGGGAAGAAAGAACAUUCAAUGGAUGCUUCCCAUCAUUCUCUAGUGUCACUACUUUUACUGCUGACUGUGUUUCUUGAAAGAAGAACUAGCCAGGGUUUUGCUCACAACGUCAAGUUGUCCACAAAUUCCAAAUUUCUGUGAUACUUUAAAACAAACCACUUUUCAUAAUCUAUACUUACUCUUCCUAAAAGUAUUGUUAGAUUUAUUGAAUGAAUCCAAAUUCGAUUUGUCCAUUAACCGCGGAGUUACUACUAAUUUUAUUUUUCAAGAAGAAGAAUGAAUCAAAGUCAUGAUCAUAAUGUCAAGUUGUACCCAAAUUCCAAAUUUGAACGACACUCUUAACACAAACUACUUUUCAAAACCGGUACUUGCAAGAAUCCUAAAAGUCCCGUUAGAAUUAUUUAAAUGCAAAUUAUCGAUCUGAGACCAUUUGUACCUGCGAAAUGUUCGAUUAGAUUCCAUCAUCUAACUUACCAGCAACCAUGUAGCCAUAAGAUCCAGCCUCAAAUAAGGCCGGAAACUCGCAUGAACCGGAAAGCAGCAGCCCAGUCCGGCGAGCCCGAAACAGGGCAUGGGCAAAAAAAAGCGCGGUCGGCCGAGAGUCCCUACCCAGCUCGCGGCGUCGGACGGCGGACGAGCUCGAUAGAUCGGGCUAUGCCCGUCCGCCUCGCUCGUCUCCUAGCCGGGAUCCUCGGGAAGCCGACCCCGAAUCGGGAAAAACCAAGACCGCCCGAAGGGGUACCUACCAUGGCCUCGAAGUGGACAAGGAGCGGCGGCGGAUCAUCAGUUUUGGUUCGGAAGUGGAGCCCAACAGCAGCUCUCUCAGUCGCGUCCUCGGAUCCGAAUCCCUCUCGCCUCGUACUUGACCCCCUCCGAUUUCUCCCUCCUCCCCCCGACCUCUGGCCUUCGAUUUAUAGGCUGAGAAGGCCGGUCGGCGGAGGCGCUUCGGCCGCCGGUCCUUCGCGCGCCGACCGGCCCCCCUUGGCUGAACCAGCAUCACAUCACCCGUCGCCUCCAGCGCCGCCUGCUCUGCUUUGCGCCUGCUCUGCUCUGCUCUGCUUCUACUUCUGAUUCCGUCCUCGCUGGCGUGAGGAAGAAGCGGGAAGGAGGAAGGAGGAAGGAGGGGCCGGGCCGGGGUGAGAAGCACAAGCAGAGUGGGCCCUGGGCCCACUCGGGGAACAAAGGAGAAAAGAGGGGGGCUAAGGCGAAGGCCCAGCCGCCGUGGGCCCUUUUUUUAUAAAUAAUAUUAAAUAGGGCUAAAUAAGAGAAAAUAAAAUGCAAAUGAUAUUUAUGCUUAUAUGAUGUGAAAAUCGUUUUUAUUAGUGUCAAAUUGAUUCCAAAUUUUUUAUAUAAUUUUAAUUAUAGAUAUUUAGUCAAAAUUUAAGUAUCAAUAAAUAUAAAUCUCAAACUGCAAGAGUAAAAAUAAAAAAAGAAAAGAAUUAAAGAAGAGACAAGUGCGGUUGCACCUUUAUCCCAUCAUGUGACUGAAAUUGUUUAAGAAAGUAAAAAAAAUUGGGAUAAGUGCAUUAGAAAUCUUAAAAAUUAUCAUGAAAAUGCAAUUGAGUCAUAAAACUUUCAAAAAGUGCAAUUAAGUCCUAAAAAUUGGUACGAAAGUUCAAUCAAAUCCUAAAACUUUCAAAAGAUUCAAUAAAAUCUAAAAACUUGUUUCGAAAGUACAACCGAAUCCUAAAACUUUCAAAAAUGCAAUCAAUUGAAGGACUUAGAUUGAACCACUUUAAUAAGUUUUAGGACCUGAUUGUAUUUUUUGAAAUUUUUAGGACUUAAUUGCAUUUUAUAACAAGUUUUAUGACUUAAUUACCUUUUUUAAAAGUUUUAGAACUUAAUUACAUUUUCAUGACAAAUUUUAGGACUUCAAAUGUACUUAUCCCUAAAAAAUUCAAUGAACAUCACAUGCUCUAGCUUUAAUUGAAUUAUUGGGGGAGGGGGGUUAUUUUUUCCCUAUAAAAAGAACUCGCCACACGACGAUAAUUGGGGGUUUUAAUUUUUUUGGAGGACCUCGAAGGGAUUUUAUUUUCUCUCCCAGUUUCUAGGUGAAGAAAUUCAAGAAAAAGAGAGAAAAAUUCCCCUUCGUUGAAGGGAAAGUCAACCAAAGGGUUUUUCCCUUGUGGUUUUUUCCUUUUGCUGAAAGUACAAGGGCAGUAGAAUUGAGAAAAUAUUGGGUACCUUAAAAAUGCCAUGUAAUUUGUGCUCUGAACCAUUUAAAGUGUGACAUAUGUUUGUGUGUCAAUCCAUGUCGUCCCACUUCUCGAUUUCAAACCAACGCACGGGAGGUUCUCUCUCUGCUCUCUCAAGCAUAAGCCCUGGCCCACCUCUUUGCAUGCUCUAACGCUCUCUUUCCUUUGCUCUCCUUUGCAGAUCAUCUCUCUCCUCUUUCUCCUCUCUGUCUCUCUCCUCAUUCUCUGUUCCGUUGCGAGGAGAACAAAAUUGUGGAGGGUUAAAGGAAAACAUAAAAGUUGAGCCCCUCCGCCUCCACUAGUUGCUUCCAUCGCCUCCCUCUCACGACAUUUGCUCUGCUCUGCUCUGCUCUCUCUCCCCUCCAUGAAGUCGUGCCUCUCUUCCAGCGAAAUGUGACGCCGAUGGUCCUCCACCUCCACCUCCACCGGUUGCCUCCAUCGCCCUUGACUCCGACGCCGAUGCCCCUCCGCCUCCCUCUCACAACCUCUACUCCACUCUCUCCCUCUUUCCUCUACGGAGCGCCCUUAUUGGCCAACCCUGAUGCCGACGAACCCCUGCUCACGUUUUGGCCUCCCUCUCAGCGAGUGAAGGUCGCUUGCUCUUUCUGUCUUUCCUCUGUGAAGCACCCCCCAUUCCUGAACGUGGACGCCGCUGACACCGAUGCCGUCGCCUUCCUAAGCCCCACCGAUAGCCACCCCACUGGCGAUUCCCGUACGUCCAAAGGUUCUUUUUUCUUUUCUUUUCUUUUUGGAUUCUACUUGGUAGAAUUCGGUAACAUGUUUAAGUUUAUAGAUACAUUUGCAUUAGGUACUGCUUUAUCUUACUUGUUGCUGACUUGCUGUGUUAUUCAGAUAGUGAAGAUUGGAAGAAAGUGAAACGGUGGUAUCUUUUGAGAUUGUUUGCAUAUAGUCCUCCUAAGGGAUUAGAGGCUUCUGAGCCUAAAUUGGUCACUCCAUGCUUUUAUUUUCUCCCAAAAUCACAUGUCUGUUGGAGAAGUUGAUCCUUGCGUGCUUCUGAAUAGUCAUUUGCGUUGCAAUUCCAAAGGUGUAACUCAGUUGUGAAGGAUAAGAUCAAAAUAUCUCUCUAAGAUCUACCUUCUUGGUCCACUGAUCUAUUAGAAAUAGGUAGUUUACUUAGGCAAAUUCAUUGCAGCUUGGGCUGUUUAAACCAACAAGUACCUCUUAUUUUGUUCAUGUGCCAACGAGAGAUAUGGUGGGACAUCCUCACAAGCAUGGAGCCAGAAGCUUAUCUCUCUGUUUGCUUUGCGAGAGAGCCAUUGAAAAUUGCAGGUUUCUUGUGUUUAGCUGAAUUUGACAUACAGAGACUAACCAAAUUUGUGAAGAUGACUAAUUUCACGUUGUUGUUUUUUUAAGCAUAAACAAAGGUUUGAUUUGAUGUUUAUGGUUUUAUCCUAAUUCCACUUAUUUAGAAUCUCUUGGAUAUUGGACAGGGUUAGACUUUCUUGCUUUAUCUCGUCAUAGUAGAUGCCAUGCACUGGAUUAUAUUAUUUAGCAUGCGCCGUUUCUCUGUAAUUAGAGCUGCCUUUUGUUCAUGCUAAACUUUUGAACAACUGCUUUGCCUUACCUAUAUGAACUACAGAUCCUGAUAGACCUAAGAAUGACAAGGGAACCAUUCUUACGGACACAAUCCAGGUGCUGAAGGAUUUAAACACGGAAGUUAACAAAUUGAAAGCUGAAUGUGCAGCUCUUACUGAAGAAUCUCGUGAGGUGAUCACUUAGUUGGCAUUUGCUUAGCUCUUCUCACCGCAUCGGCUUGCUCGCGAAGGAAAAUGUUAUGAAAGGAAAAUGCAAAUCAUGCUCUUGGGCUGUCUCUAUUCUUUUAAGCUUUUAAAGCAUUUGUCUUCGUAGUUUGUCCUCUUCAAACAAGUUCUUAACAUCUACAUCUACAUAAACAGAGUAUCCUAGAAGCAUCCAUUUCAUGAUCAGCAUUCCAUGCUAAAUGCAAAUCAAGUGGUGCAAUUCUCAGCAACCCAACAUCAGGGGAACCAACUAUAACAAGUAAAUUCUCUAGGCUAUGCCACAAAUGAGCACGCGACUUCACCUGUGUCCACAAUUAUUGGUAUCAACGGAGCCGCCGCGCAGACCGACCUCGCAGUCACUGCCAUUUCCGGCGGCCUGAAGACAUUCAGAAGAAACGGCUCAAAGAUUCGAACUUUAGCAUUCGAAACUCACAUACCCACUUCACAUGCAAAAGCGGGGAAUCGCAACCGGGCAUCAGGACGACGCCCUGAUCCUCUAUCAGCCGGUGCACGCGCGUCUGCCGCGUCGUCAUCCUGACCGUCGGGGAAGAAUGAGAAGUGAGAUGGGGCAUGUUUGUUGCCGAGCGCAGCUUGAGGACAAAUCAGUGAGAAAAGUGUCGGAAGAACAUUGAAGUUGUUGACAAAGGUGGAGUGUGAAGAGUUGUUGUCUCGUGGGACAGAAUACCCAUGAGAGAGAGAGAGAGAGAGAGAGAGAGAGAGAGAGAGAGAGAAGAGAAUCAAGACCCGUGAAGCACAGACAAAAAGUAAUAGAGCUUGUACACAAAUCAAUAAUGUAAAUGAAAAUCAUGAGGGAUGGAUGAUAGCAAGGGGAAAAAGCCUAUGAUGUAAUGCUUAAUGCUUGAUCAUAUAGCACAUGGUGAUGCUAACACGUUGUCAAUUUGUUUUUUGGAUUGCAUAUAUGGCAUUCGGAACGCUCAAAGGCAAAGAAUGCAAAAUCAUUUAAUUCAAGUGCAUCAGGUUCCGUAUAAAAAGGCACCUGACGUUGUAUCUAAAGUUUUUUUAGGAGGAAGACAUAAUUCCAACAAGAAAAUAAUUAUCGCAUUUGCAUGAAGCGUGUCUAAUCAUUCAGCCAAUUAUCAUACCAUCAUGAUUGAGGAUUCACAAGAUUCUUUGCUGUAUUUAGAACUUCGCCGCAUUUGUAAUCUCGUGCAAUUAAUAAAGGAGAGCAUUCUUCUUCCAACAACCAUGACAUAAUUGAUUGGAACAUAUGCCUGAAACUUGAACAAUGAGGGCACAUUCAUUACUUUUUUAAGGGUUUAGCUCCAGCAGCCAUGACAUAAUUGAUUGGAGCUCAGAUUUUGCAUCCAAACUAUCUUGCGACUUUUGACCUGCCAUGAGGCAUAAGCCAGGUUGUACUCCUGCAUGAGUCACUCGCAUCGUGUAGUAGUGAUGCCCUGGUGGUUAUUAGAUAAAAAGAGUCUCCAGAGAUGCUGUCGUCAAGAGGUAACGAAUCAGUGUACCGAUGGAGAUGCGAGCUAGCAUACGCUUUUGGGUGUUCCCAUCAUCAUUGACCGGAGCAAAAAAAGGCGAAUUCCUACAUUCGCUAUUCUAUUGGCCAUGAUUCAACGCGAUGAUGAAUGGCUCUUUAAACCAAGAAGCGUCACCCUAAAUAAUAUGAUCAAUUUAUCUUCGUUAAUGGCUGCUCAGCAUACAUCUCUAAAUCCUUCACAGAAAAAGCAGGUGCAUUGCUCAUCUCUGAGAGAGACUGAAAAAUGUUUACACUUGAUUCAUUUGCGAUGCCAAAAAAAUUGGGAAAAGAGAAGGCCUUACAAGUAAAAAAGCAUUGCCCAUUCUGUAAUAGAACAAACCCUUCAUGAAUGCUGUCACCAGCGACCUCCUCGAUCAGCACGGCAUCCGAUAUCUCUCUCACAUCAUCCUCCGCAAGAUGGGGUUCACUUCACGUGAGACGAAAUCGGCUUCUCCUUUCUUCACCGCCUUGUCAGCAGCUUCCAUUAUUAUGUGUCCCAAGCUCGCUCCGAGAGAGAAAGAGAGAGAGAGAGAGAGAGAGGGAAAGGGUCAGGAAAGGGGGAGGAAGUUAUGAAGGUAUGGAGGAAGGCAGGAGGGGAGGGGAGAUGGGCAAAGAUGGUGGAGAGUGUGGCCUGCCCAGAUACGCGCAGAAAGAAAGAGAGAGAUGGUCAGCUGCAACCAAAACGGCAAAAAAAGACCACGAUCUAUUAACCCCUUGCGGAACAUAAACAAAUCAGCGAGUAGGAAAACGGGGUCGCAAUCCCCGGAGAAAGAUCUCAUUCAAGACAGACCGACGGGCAAGAAAAAGGGGUCGCGGUCCUCGAAGGGAGAUCUCCACCAGGUCAAAUCGCACCUCGUGCUUCUGUUCGGGUCGCCAUCGCGUCCCUUGAUGGCCAAGGUCUGUUGCUGCUGGUUCUGCUUACUCUGAGCGAGCUUCUCGCUUGGGUCGUUGCUAAUGAGGAAGGAAGACGAAGGAAGGAAUCCCCGGAGGGAGAUCUCCGCCAGGCCGAAUUGCACCCGGUGCUUCCGCUUAGGGUCACCAUCGCGUUCCUUGAUGGCCGGGGCCCGUUGCUGCUGAAUCUGAGCAAGCUUCUUGCUUGGGUCGUCGCCGAUGAGGGAGGAAGACGAAGGAAAGAACGUGAGGGGAGAGAGAGAGCCCUUGAAAAUUGAAAAGAGGAAAGAGGUUUUUGUUGAGCGGGAGUGCGAAGGAAAGAACGUGAGGAGAGAGAGCGCCCUUGAAAAUUGAAAAAAGGAGAGGUUUUUCUUGAGCAGGAGUGCGCUUUUACUGUUCUGUCUUUUCUCCGUGCGUUCCCCAGAGGAGAGAGAGGGGAAGAAGGCUAUGGGUCCCAUGUGGACACGUGUUGCGCUCCCACCAUCUUCUUGUUUGCCUAGAGCGUAAGACGAACGCAAUAUUAUUCUCUCACCUCUCACGUCUCCAAAAAGGAGAGGAAGCAGAGGCAGCCAGCCCCGAGCGUCGACGCCGUUGUUUCUGCUCCGCCCCCCAGCCGCGACGCUUCCGCCUGCCGGUCUCCGCUGCACCGGUUGCCACAGUCGCUCCUCCAGCAACCCGCAGGCCACCCUCACGCCGUUCACCGCGCCGGCUACCACCGCUCGUCUCCCCGCGAAGCCACCGUUCCCUUGCCGAUCGCUGUUGUUGACCCGCGAUACCCCUGCUCGACUCCAUACGUCGCUCUGCCGGCCAACGCUGCUCCGCGCCCCCGAAGUCGCGACGCCGCCUCUGCCGGCCCCGCCUCUGUCCAGAUCUUCCGUGCCGGAACGCGACCCCGAGUCAUCGCGCGUCCGCGCGUCGCCACUGCUGCAAUCCGACACCAGAAGCCGCCUCUCCCGCGCCUGAGCGACCUGCAGCACCCAACGUCCCCCUCUCCUCUGCUGCUCGUGCCGCGUAACCAACAGGGUUACCCCUCGCCCGCGAGCUCGCACCGCCGCCCCGCCGUGCCGAUCCGCGACGAUCUGACGCCUCCGCGUUGCUGCUUCUGGCCACGUCUCCGCCAGCCACUGCCGUGCACCAUCGCCGACCUGCAGCUUCUACCCGAGCCCUCUGCCGCCAGCCUCCGCCUUCGAUCGACGCAGUUGCAGCCCAACGCCAGAAGCAGCAGCUCCCUGCUCCGUCGUACCUCAGUCACUGUUCUGCCUCGCCGUUCCCGUUCCACCCCAGCCGCGACGCAGCCUCUGCCGGACCGACGCCUGCUGCCCUGCCUCCUGCACCAGCGCCGACGCCCGAGCUCUAUCGCCGGGACUGCCGUCGCACCUCCCCGCCGCCGGUCUCCUCGCACACCGUGCCAGCGCUAGCCCGCCGAGCCGGUCCGCCUGCACGCCGGCUGCCGCCCUUCGCCGGAGCUCCGACCGCCGGCAGCUCCACCGCCCUUGGCCGCGCACCACCACAGCUGCCGAGCCUUGUUUGGAAAAAAAAGAAAAAAUCAAAUUAGGUAGGUUUAUUUUAUUUUAUUAGGUUGAUUUAUUUUAUCUUAUUUUAUUUUUUGAAAUAUUUCUCCAUGCAUAAUUAAAAUUCCCGGCAUACCACCUAAUUCGUAUAAAGUUUUAGAUGGGAUAAUUGAUUGAUAUCUUGAUGUUUAAGGUUUAAGAUCAAUUUAUUAAUUUUAUUAGCAAAAUAAUCAGGUUUAAUUAGAUAUCGUUUUUAAAUUCGAAUGAUGGAUAAUAUCUUUGAUGCCAUGGAUGAUUCGUUGUUUAUUUUUUUUAAUUGCUUUGUUUAUUGCAAAAAAAUACAAAAAAAAAAAUUUGUAUUUUGCAUAUCAUGUGGAUUAGAAUUGUUUUCUUAGAUAGAAUUGCAUGGUAGAAUAGUUAGAUUCUUUUCUAGUUAUAUUAAAAUGCUUGUAGUAUCUAGGUUAGAUAAUAUUUUUUGGAUUAAAUUACAUGACGAGAUAAUUUUCUAAGUUAAGAUAGGAUUCAAAUUGGUCUAUUCUUAACUUAAAAUAGAUAAUAUCUCACUUUAGUUAGAUUUUAUAUUUUAGUACUUUUAAUUACGAAUUUUUAUUUAAAAAAAUGCCAAAAAAAAAUCAUACGCAUAUCAUAUAGAAUUAGGUUCAUGAAAUGCACAUCAUUUAGUGUUUGUUGCUAGGUUCAUUUAAUUAGAAAUUAACCAUCAUUAGAAUUAAAUCAUUUGGUUAAUUUAGAUUGCACAUUUAAUUAUUGCAUUUUUUUAAUUUCGAAUUCAUGAGAAAAAUCCAAAAAAAUUGUCUUUGAAUAAAUUAAUUUCAUUUUCUAGGAUAGAUUGCAUGCUCAUUAAGCAAACACAAAAUAUUUCACGUCAUAUAGUUUAGGUCAUGUUUCCAUGUUAUAUCAUUUAAUGUUAGAUUAGUGGCAUGUAUUGCAUAAAUAAUUCUCAUUAAAUAAGUAAGAACAAAAAAAAAUUAAUUGCGUGUUAAUUAGAAAUCAUAUGUAGAACUGUCGAUGUGAAUUCUAAUCUAACCUUGCAAAUGCUUUUGAUGCCAUGAGAUAAGUCCUGAAAUUUAUUCAUUGCUUUAUCUGGGUAUUAAAUUAAUGGUUUGCACACUCGCAUGAUCAUUGAGAUAAAUUAAAAUCAAUUCAAGCUACUUGCCAAAUAUUUUUUCAAAAUAAAAGAAAAAUGUACCGAAAUUGCAUUAAAGAAAUCUAACGUAAUCAAGUCUCCGAACUCAUAAUCUCUAGUUUACAGAAGUAAAGUAAAUCUCCUAUUACUUUACUUGGAAUUCUAAUUGACUCAUCGAAAAUAGAUUAGUGACAACUCCUAAUUAAAAUUUGCAUAUUAAGAACUUGAACUUAAGUAGCGAAUUAGUAUGGGCUAGGGAGAGCCCGAGCUAUGUUUAGGCUUAGUAAUCUAUUAGCCAAAUCCUAGGUAGUGCAUCUGAAAUUUUGGUCGCGACAAAUGUCGUCAAUCAACUAUGAGAUGCCGAUGUCAAUGGAGAAGUUACUGAUAUUAAUGGUUGUCAAUGCCGAUAUUCCAGAAUUGAUACCGAUGAUUUUGUUUGGUGAAUUGAUACCGUUGACUGUUCGAUGCUCGAGUUAAUUAGAUUCUUUAUUGUAGCAUUGUUUUUGAGAAGUCUGUUCGUAUUUUUAUUUCAUGACUGUUCAUGUUUCUAAGUGUAAUCAAUGUUUUGUAAGUUCUUAGGAUUUUAUCACCUCAGAACAUUAGCUAUAUUUAUUAGUCAUUAGUUUAAGAGUUAUGUGUGAAGCAUAUAAAAGUGGAGGCCUGUAAUUGUUUUCAAUAAGGUGAAGAAAAGGUGAAAUAAACAAGAAGGAUAUAUGUCUCCUUCUCUUCUCUGUGUUGUGUUAGUGGGUGUUUCAGCUUUAAAUUAUCCCAUCAAGAUGUAGUCUGUAUUUGUCUUUUACAAAAACUCGAAAUUUUCUAGUUUUGAUGCCAUAUGAAAUUAUGAAGGAGCACUAUUAGCUAUUAUAGAAGUUUAGAUAAUUAGAUGGAUGCAUUAUUCAAGACUUAAUUGAUAUAACGUCUCUUUCACGACCUAUGUUCCUUUUCAACAGCUAGAUUACUUGCACAGCUUGGGAUCAAUGGAAGGAGAGCUAUCUAUAGAAGUGGAGGAUGGUGGAAUGAACAACUUGAUCGAAAUCUGGAGAGGUCGACGGGAGAUAAUGAAGAAUGCAUUGGCGGCUUCCGCGGGGGGACAAGAUCCGGCAAAAGCUUACGAAUAUGCUCGAAAACUGGCGCGUGUCAUCGAAGGCGGCAAGGUUGACGAGUUCCUUUCCAAGAUCAAUGUAAAUGAUCCAUUGUUGCGGGACAUCGAUUGGUCUGCCGUUUUAAAUUCCCGAUCUGAAGGCAACGAAUCACUGCUCCACAUGGCAGCAGCAAUCGAGAACGACGACAUCCUAAGGCUUCUGGUUGAUUAUGUUGGUGACCACCUCAUAACCGCCCAAGAUGAUCGGGGAAAUACCCCACUCCACUGGGUCGCUCGGUAUGGGGGAUCUACUGGAGCUGCAGAGAUGUUGAUUCACCGGGCAAGAGGCCUCCCCAACGUCGAGGACAAGAACCUCCUAUUGAGGAUGAAGAACAAAUGGGGAAACACCGCUUUGCACAUAGCCGUGCACGAAGGUCACGCCAACUUGGUGCGCUAUUUGUUGAGCGAAGAUUUGGAGCCCGUGUACUGGAAGAACGCGAAUGAGAAAUCUCCCCUGUACCUAGCCCUCGAGACUUACGACUCCGCUGUACAUGAGGCUUUAUUUUCACACUCGUUGGAACCAUCAAGGAUAGAAGGCUUGCCGCCCAUUCAUGGUGCCAUUAUACGUUCACGACACGGUACGUACCUAAAUCUAUUUACGUGGAAAUAUAUUUAUCUAUUUCUGGACUGACUCAUCCCAAAUCUGUGCAAUAACUUUUUGCUCUUACAAAAACCCCUUACCGGUUUUUACUUAAAAUUCCCUACCCUGCUUGUUAAAGUGGUUGGAUACCCAUCGGUUUAGCCGCAUUAUAAACGAAUUAUUCACAUUAGAGCAUAAUAGAUCGGCUUAAAUAUUACAAAUACAACCAUUUCACUAGAAACUCAUGUGUUGUCGAUCUUUGAUUAGAAAAGCUAUAAAGUGCAAAUAUUUAAGAUUGAUGACCAUGAAAAUCUGGAAUCUAACAAUGACGCUGUGUGCCAUGAACCAAAAUGAACAAAUGAAAGUUUAGGGCAUGAAUUAUAAACUGGUAGCAAACCUGUAGGCUGCGCAGGCGUGAUUUUUUCAUUGGAAAAAAAGGAGGUGAAGAUUCCAUCACUCUCAGCAAAUUGAUGGAACAUCGUAAACCAUUAAUUUGUUUGUGACAAACAAUCAAUAGGUUUUUAAGAAAUUAAGAAAAGUGGAUCUAAAUAAAGAAAUAUAUUUUUUAUUUUUUAUUUUUAAAUUAAUACAGUUAUCAUAAUCUUUGCAGAAAAAGCUGAUACGGUAGUGUAGCCUAUAUUACCUUGACCAUUAAAAAUAUUGAGAUAAAAUUCAUCAGACACAUGAUAAUCAAUUAUGUGAAAUUUUUUGGCUGCUAAUGCCACGUAUCCCAAGUUUACUACUUGAAGUGCAGCUAACGUUCAUUGAUCAUCAGAUUGGUAGAUGGCAUUUAGGUGUUACAGUCAUAUCGAAUAGAGAGAAUUGUCCAAAAAGUUAUAAAUGUGUCAAUUGUGUCAAUUUAACCUCUAUUUUAGUCCUAAACUUUUUAAGGAUUUACCAACUUAGUCCCUUCUAAACAAUUUCUAUUGGAAAUCGCUAACAUGGCGGUCUAGUCAAAGCUAGCCAUCCUACGUGAUGUUGAUCGCUUAUGUGGCUUUUUUACAAAAUAUUUUUUAAUUUUUUGCAUUUUUUCCUUUUCUUUUUUUUUAAUCCUUUUUUCCCUCUACCAGCCUCAGGCGAGGGCUACCCUCUAACCCUUGCAUAGAGCAACCCUUGCCCUUGCUCGACCUCCAUUAGGUGUCAACUAUGGAUGGUUAGAGAAGAGAAAAAGGAAAAAAAAAAAGAAAUUAGAAAAAGAAAAGGAUAAAGGUGGGCCCGGCGGAUCCUAGGUCACCAAAAAAAUAAAAGACAAAGGAAAUGAAAGGAAAAAGGAAAAAAAUUGCAAAAAUUAUCCGCAUUAGCAUUGGCUAUGCCAUGUAGGAUAUUCAGUACUACUAGACCACUAUGCCUAUGAUUUUCAACAAAAUUGGCUAGAAUGACUAAAAUGACAUAUCGUUAAAAUGUUUAUGAUUGAAUUGGCAAGUUAUUAAAAUUGUUAUGACUAAAUUGACACAACUGAAAGAUUUAAGACUAAAUUAAUCAUUAUACAAUAUAUUCAAAACUUUUUGGACAAUUUUCCCUAUCAAGUAUAAUUACAACCCUAGAUGCAGUAACUUUAUUUUUAUCCUGUCCCAAUUUAUUAAUCCGAGCACAUGUUAUUAUUUACAUUGCACGACGUAACAUGUUUGAGGCUCUCUUUUUGAACUGAACAUGCAAAACAAUUUCAAAUAGACAUAAAGUGAAAAUGCGUAACAAUGUAUUGUGUGAUGCAAAUAUUAAAUUAGCAUACCCAAUAAACGUAUGUGUCUAAACUUACGUUGCACUCAUUGAAUAGAUUAUAGAAGUCGACCUGCACACAUAACGUUCAUAAUCCAUUUAUAAAUGGCUUAACUUAUUUGUGAUAACACAAUUAAACCUAAUGCUACCAUAUUUAACCACGUUCCAUGUAGUGAACAUGCAUGUAGAAGGGCUGUUUCAUAGUUUGUCAGCUCAUAAUUCUAAUAAGCACUUUAGAAACUUUACAAAAGAUCCCAUUGAAAUUGGAUUUACUAUAUAUUUCUUAUUCUUACUGUCCAAUAUAUAAAAAUCCUUUUAUGAAGUACUACUGAUUGAAAUCUCGUAAUAAUAGUUCAGUUUGUUCUUCAUUGAAUGUAAAAGUAGAUGACAUUGUGGAAUGAAUCGAGCGUUGACAUGGGCUUUUGUAGAUAGGUACUUUAAUUAGGUUAUCAUGAUAGGCACUUUUUUUAAGGUUCAUAUCAAUUAAAUAAGGUAAGGUUAUUUCUUUAAAUCUAGUAAUAUUCUUUCACUUGGGAAAAUUAUCCAAAAAGUCCUAAGUCUAUUGCACUUUUGCCAAUUCAAUCACAAAUCAUUCAAUUUUGUCAAUUCAAUACUAAACAUUUUCACUUUUUGCCGAUUGAGUGUAUCCGGCUAAUUUUGACUAGAAUUUAUUGACAGGGAUAAUUUUUAAUAAUAAUUUAAUUCCUUUUGAAAUUUUUUGUACUUUUUUUCUUUUAUCUUUCUUUCUUCCCCCCUUUCUUCUUCCUUUCAUCGGUGGCUAGCUACCAACCACCGGUGAUGGCUAGCUACCGGCCAUGGCUGGGUGAGUUGACCUUGCUCGCCGUAAGUGAUGCCUAGCCAGGCAAGGCCAGGCCCUAGCAAGGGUUGGCCUCACCUAGGUUAGGCAAGACAGCCUCCUAGGUUAGGCAAGACCAACCCUUGCCCAAACUAGGCGAGAUCGCCUAGGCGAGGGUGAGCCCCCUUGUUCGGCCACAUCUUACCCGAGGCAUGUGAGGCUAGCUGGCUCGGCCAUAGUCGGUGGCUGGCACAAAAGGAAGAAGAAAGGAAAAAAGAAAAUGAAAAAAUAUUUUUAAAAAUUGUUUACAUUAGUGCCGACCAUCUUACAAGAAACCGCUAGUGUCCACGUCAGCGAAUUCCUAUCAAAAUUGGUUGGAUUGACUCAAUUAAUAAGAAGUAAACAUGUUUACGACUGAAUUGGCAUAAGUGCAAUAGAUUUAGAAUUUUUUGGACAAUUUUCACUCUUUCACUAAUGUAUCUAGAAUGUAACCGGUUACCCAUAUUGAAAUUUGUGGCCUGAAUUGCUUCGUCAAUUUCAAGAAUGACGGCAUCUGUCAUGCGAAUAGAAUAAAGGUGAAAUUCUUAAUUCAUGUUAUAUAUUAAUGUAAAAUAUAGGGGGCUCGACGACAAUUAGAAAAUUCCUAAUUAUCGUUGUUAGAUGACUCAUGAAAUUUGUAUAUGUACUUAACAAUAUUAUUAGAGUAUAUUUUAUAGGAAGUAUUAUAGAAAUGUAAGAACUUUCAAUAAUUGCUCAUUUGCAGUUUUUGAAACUCAUUAGAACUAAUUUCAAUAAAACUAAUGCCUCUUUUGUUGAACAAAAGUCAUGGUAUAAGAGGCAAACAUAAAUCCUAAUUUGAAGCAAAAUAAAAGGAAAGUGGAAGAAAAACACUCUUUGUGAGGAAAAUAAUCAAUCCCUUACAAAUUAGAGCCCUAUAAAUCACUUUUAGAGACAAUUCUUAAAGAAAAAAUCAUUAUUUAUUUAUGUAGAUGUUACAACGGUCUAGAUUAAUUUGCAAAGUUCACUGAACUUUUAUUAGUAUUAUGGAUGUAAUUUUUCUGGUGGUAAAAUGAGACUCCUUUUGUUUUGUGUUGUGUCAUCACAGCUUAAAUAUGUGGUCGUUAUAGCUAGGAUAUAUAUGACUCCAUGCAAUGCACAUAUAAGAUAGAACAUAUAAUGUGAUUUUUUGAGUAAAAAUAUUUUCCCAGAAUCACUAAAAUUUCACAAAAUAUAUUUGGUCCAUUCACAAGAUAUAAUGGGAUUGAGUAGCACAAUCCCCAAGGAUGAGGUUAUCUCUAAAGCACUCUCGCCUGUCUUUGAAGUCCAAUGGCCACCCACAAUCCUCAAACACCGUUGGAAUAUUCUCAAACAAUUGAAACACCUCUCUCGCAUUAUUGAACCUCUUUACUAGCACCUCUGAAUUUUCAUAGUUGGGGCCAAAAUAAAUUUUCUUUUGGUGGAGCCUUUCCUUUCUGUAAUUUGUGAUUUAUAAGCUCUACUAUCUUAGAAAUAGAUUCUGGUCACAAAUUACUUAGAUUUUACUCACAAGUUUUGGUAAAUACAUAAUCUCUUAAUUGAGCUGAAUAAGUGCCAUAUACCUUUACGAAGAAGAUGACGUUCAAUCUAGAGAGGGUGGAACAACUUUAAGGGGGAUUUCGAUACGGUGCUGUGGAGGCUAUUGCAAUGUUCUCGACAAUUAAAUAAGUUUGCUUGAUACUUGCUAGAAUUCGACGGACAUAAUAUGAAAAGAUCAUUUUCCUUUUCUUGAUCUUGCCUUAGCCUGCAUUACGCCUGCCGACUGUAUAAAUAAUUCAUGGCGUGGAAAUGCCAUAUAAAUUGCUAUGUCAUUUAGUAAGAUUUUUACAGUGAAAUCUUAAGCACCUGUCGAUGUCAUUAACUAGUUUUGGUAUUGCAAUCUAAUCUGUUAUUGUCGACUAUCAAUACUAGUAGUGAUUAAGGCACGUCAAAGAUGUCCUUACUCCAAAAUGGUUUUAAAUAUAUUGAGACCAACCAAGCUCCAACCAUCCUAAUUUGGAGCUCCUGAUCCCAGAUUUAUUCGACCUGAUGCUCAAGAAAAACAUGGAGCUAUUUGCAAUGACCGACUCCAACGGGGGCAAUGUAUUCCACUUAGCAGCUCACCUGAAUCACGCCUGGGUAUUCGAAUUCUUACGACCAGAAACUGAAUAUUUGACCCGAGAACCGGACAUGAAUGGAGAUCUCCCCAUUCAUAUUGCAAGCAAGAUGGGUUAUGUUGAACAUAUUGAGAAGCUAAGGGAAGUAUCACUUUUGCCAAAUGGGCAAGGGAAAAACAUUCUUCAUAUUGCCGCAAAAUAUGGUAGAGUCUCCGUAGUGAGAUAUAUACUCAGCCAUCCAAUUCUAGGGAAGAAUCCAAUUCUAGGGAAGAUGUUAAAUGCAGCAGAUGAUGAUGGAAAUACAGCUUUGCACUUGGCUGCGAUGCAUUCACAGCCCGCUGCUUUGAUUGAUCUUUUGCGGACUGACGGAAUUCUACCAAGCAUUUUCAACAAUGAAUGCUUGCUUGCUGUUGACAUUGCUCGACGACGACACCAGGCAGAGGGGUAUAACAUUCGGCAUGUAGGUAACAUGAACAGUCACUAUUUUAUUUAUUAACUUACUGGAGAUUACGUAGACUAAUGCAUUAGUUAAGGCUGAUCUUGUAUUCAAAUCAUUAUGUCUCCUAGCCAACUAGAUAGUAGAAGUAUUGAUCAAAUUUCUAGAAUAGCCGAGACUCCUCUCGGAUAAAUGUUCUACAAGUCCCUAAUUUAGUCUUGAUAGGAGGUAAUUAAAAUUUGUGAUCAUGAAUUUCUCUGCAGUUAGAAACAAGUAACGUGUCUUUCAUAACACGGAGAUAACAAUUUAUAUAUAUCGUUUAAUUGAGCCUCUGAAUACAGUCAUGAAUAAAAAGGCAGGGUUUGCCAAGGUUGCAUUCUGUUUUUCAUAAAAGGCCAGGGGUCAAUGUGACAAAUUUGACCGCUCCAUAUGUAGCACAAUCUCAUAACAUUAUCAUUUUGUCGACCUAUGAAAUGAUCGCCCACAUAAAUUCCAUUCAUGCCUCUUUUUUCAUCUAAAAUGAACUUGGUAGUUUUGUGCUAAUUCUUCAAAAAGAGCAGAAACUGCAUCUUUAGAAGCAAACGUUUCCAGAGUUCAUUCCCGUUAUCAAUAUGGAAUAAUUUUGUUCUUAUUUUCCUUUUUACAUGCUUCCGAUCUCAGCAAUUGGCAUACCUGGCGUUGGCUUGCUCGCUCGCGGGAAAAGGUCCACUUGGAAACCAAGAGUUACUCCUACUUAGAGCGAAAGCUCGAGAUGAAGAGUUAUCAGUAGUCCGCUCGCGCAAAAGCAUGCCGAGCAGGGACAUCGUCAAGGAUUACAUCAAUUCCCGCAUGGUGGUGGCAACGCUUGUGGCCACAGUGAGUUUUGCAGCUGGUUUUGCAGUUCCUGGAGGAUUUAACGGCUCGGACACAGCCUCCAAAGAUGAGCGGGGCAUGGCUACGAUGCUGGACAAUCGAAUGUUCCAGGCUUUCGCGAUUUGCAACACCAUCGCGAUGUUCUGCUCAAUGACUGUGGUCGUCAACCUCAUCUGGGCGCAGACAGUUGAUGUCGACGUUUUAGUCGCUGCAUUCGAGCGCACAACGCUACCACUACAAAUUGCACUCCCGGCGAUGUCCACCGCUUUCUUAACUGGUGUCACCUUGACCGCUGGCAAACUCCCAUGGCUUGCUAACACCAUAUUUUAUUUGGGACUCGUUUUCCUCCUCAUUAUCUCAUUUGCUAAAUUGUUAGGGGGGCCUAUCUUCUUAGAAAUCUUCGGUCAUCCUCUCCGUCGACUAACAUUCUGGCUUAUUCUCGCUUACAUUUAUUUGGGGAGAGUUGAGACGUACAUUUAUGAUGACGAUGACGCCAAAGAUAACAGAAGGGAGAAGAAGACCUUCGCUAGUCCGCCUGUGGAUGUUGCCGGUGAAUCGAGGACCGAUGACUCGGCGAAAGCAAAAUGUGAGGAUGCGUUACAUCCUCCAAGUCGCUGAUUUGAAUUGAUCAUUCCAUAUUAUCUGUAAUAUGUAGUAAUAAUAUAUGUUUUCCUUGGUGAGUGGGACUCACUAUACGGUUGCUUUCCUUUAUGUCAGAUCAAACGUGAUUGUUAAUGAAUGUAAGCUAAACCAUGUGUUUCUCUAAUAACUUAACUUAUUAGAAUUGUUGGAUAUAAUUCCAUCAAAUUUCAUAUGUUAUUAAAGCAGAGGUUCUAAGUUCAAACAUUUUCAGGUCCUAUUUGCUUCAUCUAUUAUAUGUUUUCAUGUUUCAUUCUUAGAUCAAGUCAAGCUUACGAGUGAAGAUGAGUAUAAAAGUAUUUGUAUUAAAGUAUUUGAAUUAAACAUCCCAUUUGUCUAAUAAUUUAAAUUUUUAGAACGAGUAAUUGUAGUUCCCCGAAAUUUCAAACCGAUACACACUUCAUGUAAAUUAAAUGGAUGAAUGGCUCAUUUCAUCCGUUUCAUCGCCCUGGAAUCAAAUUGUUAACUUUGAACAUGUGGAAGCUCGUGGGUUUAUGAAAUCACUCGUCUAGAGUAGCCAUGUCCGAUUUACUUUGAACUAGUCCAAUUUGCGGCAAUCUCGAGUCACGAAAUCCUAAGCACUCACUUACCUGUCUAGUAAGGGUGUGCAAAAUAUCCGAAAACCGCUCGGACUGCUCGGAACCAAACCGAAAUCGCCAAGUACCGGUGGUUCUUGAGGGAACCGGUCCAGUUCCUGGUUCCAAUUUAUGGGAACCGGUGGGUACCAGUCCAGUUCUUGGUUCCAUUGGCGGAUCCGCCCGCCCACCCACCCGGACCAGAUCGGAACCUUUUUAAUAUUUAAAAAAAAAAUUACUAAAAGAAACCCUAGAUCUCAUCUCACUCCCUUCAUCUUCGGCUCCUAAUCCUAUUGUCAUUUCGCUGCGUUUACUUCUCUCGCUGUUCGCAUCUCCACGUACUUAAAUUUGAUUUUUCUUUCUUUGGCUUGCUUUGAUGUCACGUAGUCCUUCUAUGUUGAAAAUCAAAAUUGUUUCGCGUCAAGAUCAGUUCCAUGGAUCCACUCGGGAAUCGGACCGCUCCGGUCAGGUUCCUGGAUGGAUCCAUGCAACAAACGAGUGGAUCCUGGUAUCAAUUUUUGGGAACCGGUUCUUAGCGAGUGGUUCCCAGUUCUAGAUCAGGAACCGCCCACCCAAACCAUGCACACCCCUACUGUCUGGUGUGCAAAGAAAAUAAUUCUCAAAUUCUCAUCGCCUACUCUCUGAGUCGAGAGUUGGGUGAAGAAAACCGGAACAAAAUAAUUCUCUUCACUACUCACAAAAAAAUAGAAUCAAACACCGAACUCAUUUCCAAUGACACCCCUUUCAUUUCCCCACUUCUCCCUCCUAGGCGCACAAUUUCUGUGCAUGCAAAUGAGUUUUGGUGUUUGAUUCGUGGCGGGGUAUAAUCUAGUGAGCAGCGGGCAGAAGUCAAGUCAAGGGACGAGAUAAAAAGGAGUUGCAAUACGCAACCCAAGGAGAAUUGUGGAAAAGUCUGGAUAUGUGAUUUUCCUCCUCCGAUCUCUGAUUUUUAUUUCAAAGCUAGUUGGUAUUGACACGUAGAAUAUAACUCUAAAGUGAUUCUGGACCUAUCUAUUCAACAGUGAAUGUAGAUAAUUACAAAAAAUAAAAAGGAUCCCCUUGUACGAAUGUCUAUUGAGUUAUAAACUAUUAAAAUUAGCCGAUUUAAUUUUAAACAUCUUGACGAUUUGUUAAUAUAGUCAUUUCAAUCAACUUUGACCGAAAAUCGUUGACGUAGACGCUAGCCAUCCUAUGGCACAUGACUAGUAUUGAGGUGGACAAUUUUUGUAAUUUAAAAAAAAAAAUUCUCAAUUUUUUUUUUUUUUUUCAUGUUUUCAUUUUCUUCAUUUUCUUUUCUUAUAUUUUCCUUUUUUCUUUUUCUUAUUCCCCUAUGCAGCCAUUGGCCGGUCCAUGGCUUCAAUGAUUGAUAGUAAGGGCCCAGAUGCCCUCGCCAACUGGCAAGGGCUGAUGGAUUUGCUAGGGCCACGUACUAAUGGAGGGAUAAAGGAAGGAAAAAAAAAGUUUUGAAAAAAUUGUAAAAAUUAUUCACAUUAGCAUCGGCACCUAGAUCUGGGCGAGGCCAAUCUCGUCAUGGCUUGGCCUAGAUCUGGGUGAAGCCGCCUCGCACACAGUCCUUAGGCCUCGCUCAUGGCCGACGAGACUUGUCAAAGAAGCAAAAGAAUAAAGAAGAGAAAAAAAUAAAAGGAAAAAUAAAAAUAUAUAUAUAUCAAAAAAAUUAUUAAAAAUUGCCACGUUAGCGUUGACCAAAUGGCCAGUGUCCACAUCAGCGCUAGCCAAUCAAAAUUGAUCGAAUAGAUUGAAUUGACAUAAUCACGAAAAGUUUAGAACUAAAUUGGCACAAUUAUAAUGGAUUUAUAACUUUUUUUUGGUAAUUCUACCAAUUUAUUUGUUAUCUCCAUCUUUAGAUUGCGACAUGUGUCCAUCCAAUUUUAGUCCUCACUGCACCUCAUCUAAAUACCAUCAAACCUUAGCAGCGAGGAUGGUACUUGGAGAUCUAUGCAAAUAUUUAUAUAUAAAAAUUACAUUGAGAUAGUAGAGUGUGCUCACCAUCAUCAUAUCAUCAUCCAUCAAGUCGAUUCCACAUAAUGAUCUAUUUGUCACUUUCAACAUCCUGGGACCGACCCAAAAAAACAUCCUAGGGAUUAAAUGUUUCAAUUAAUUACGGUAGGAUAGAAGUAUUUUUCAUCAAGAACGGACAUUCAAGAAGUCUUGCUAGAUUGAUAGAUUGAUGUUGCAAAUGGUUCUCUUCUCAAGUAGCAUGAAAAAUUAUGCUACUCAAAUGUAGAGCCUCCUUUUUUCUAUUUUUUCAGCAGAUCUUCCAAAUCAAAUUACAGGGUUACAACUUUGAAAACUCACAGUACAAGUACAAAAAAUACCAAAUCAAUCAUCUAUUGACUUCUCGAUGCUCAUUAAAUCUGAUUCACAAAAUAGGUUGGGACCCAUUUUGCUAGCCCUACUAAAAUCUAAACAUUUUAUUAAAUUAAGGAUUUAUACAGCAUCCUAGUUCACAAAGAUGUGUUGCUGUUGACAAAUCGACAUUGAUUGAUUUUCAUGAACUCGUCGUCAUAUUGUCGACAUUCCCAUUAUAUACGAGCAAAGAGCGAACUUUGAUUUUUGAGCAUCAAGAGAUAAGACAGACUUAAAUAGAAUGCCAAAUAGCCCAAGUGUCACGUCCAAACCCCAAACACUUUUUUUUUUAACCCCAAACACAUUCAACUAUUGUUUUUUUUUUUUUUUUCCUUAUAACUUUCUUCAAAUAAUAUAAGAAUGUACUUUAUGGUUAAUGAUCAUAUAUAUCGCGGUUUAUGAAAGACUGUGCCACAUCGAUAGUUUUAGAUGUUAGUCCAAAUUCGAAAUACCAGGCUGAUGUUCGAGAUUUUAUUGGCCAUUCGGCAUUUCAUUUAUUACUCAUGAAGUCUAUCAUUGCAUGAAAUUUACUGAAAAUUAGAGAAUCUCACAAUACCAACAAAACAUCAAGUUUAUUCAACUUUUUUACCCUUGAUACACUCCACAUGUAGCCCAAUUUACAAAAUUCCACAAAAACCACUGCUUAGCAAAGACGAACAACAGCACCCAUCGGCCCAACAUGCUUUGCUCCAAGCAUAGAGUGACUCGAACUCGUCUUGUCUCCUUUUCAGUUUACCACAACCAGACAUAUUUAAUACAGUACCGUGAACAAGACAAGAUAGCGAUGAGAUCGGCUCAAUAGGCAUCAGGGUUUGCCAAGAGAUAAGCCUCGAUGGCCUUGAACAUCGCGGACGCCUUCUCUUUCCCAGCCUUGAUCUUCUCCUCAGUUAUGUCCGCCUCGCCAAUGGUGAAGUACUUGCUCGUGCUCUUGCACACCGAGCCUCCCUCGGCCGAUGUGGUGAUCUUCACCCCGUAGCUGAUCUUCUCGAAGGUGGUGCCCAGUGCGUCGCCCUCGAUGAUCGAGUAGCUGUAGGUGAAGUUCUCCUUGUCCAGGGCCUCGACCUUGUGCUUCAUUGUCUUGUACUGACUGCCUAUCAAGGUAACAAAAAGUAAUAUUCACGUUUGGAACUCGCUGGUUUCAACAUCACGGGCAAUGAUCUUGAUGGUGUCAAUUGGGCCAUUUAGGAUGUUCCAACUGCAAUCUGAUACGAUUGACUUAGACAUGGCCUGAUUUCCCUCGAUUGGAGUCAAGUCACGUGAUCACUUGUGUAAAGUUAUUCCCAUUGACCGCGAGAUAUCCAAGAGCAAAGUCGCUGCAUAUAUCUUGCAGCAUUUCUCCGAUGAAGCUGUUGUUCGAAAAGGUAACGAUCCCCAGAGAAGGGCUGUACUUGCCGAAAUCACGUGUUAUGCCUCCCGAGAAAUUGUUCUUGAACAAUGAGAUGGACCAUAAGUUAGCAAGGCGAGAGAUGGUCUCACAAGAAAAUAUUGUGUACACAAGCGAUGCUACGUCAUGGCUUUUCCUUCCCAGCCUAGAUCUGCUCUUCUUCAACCUGAAGUGCCUUCUUGCUGUUGUCCUUGCUCGUCAUCCUGCAGACUGACCCUCCGUCGCUGGUGGCCUCAAACUUGACCUCGUAAUCGAUCGACUGGAGCUUGUCACCCAGCGUGUCGCCCUCGAUCAUCAUGUUCCUACACAUGAAGUUCUACUUGUCGAGCUCAUCGAUCUGGUGCUCACAUGAAGUUCUACUCGUUGAGCUCAUCGAUCUGGUGCUUCACAUACUUGAAAUGACUAGCUGCAAUUACAUUAUGAAACUCCCUGCUCGAUGAGUGUUGAGUGUCCAUGCCUUCGGUGAAAUUUAACUUGCUCAAUGCUCCCGGCUCCACCGUCGCCUUGCACCAGCUCCACGCUCUUUAUGAACUGAGGCAGGAGCUUCGGGAUCAGGGUAUUUGACUCGACAAUCAAGGCCUUAAGAAUGCGAGCCAGAGCAAUCGGGCAUGUGAGCUCUUGUGUGAAGCUGGUUGCACCCAUGGCUAUUGGCAAUGAGAAAGAAAUAACCCCAGAGAAGAGUGCUUCUGAGUCCUGUCAAUGCCUCCUAAUUACGGUUGGAAUUAUGUCAAUAGGUAGGGUUGGUUUGGCAAGAGUCACGCUCGAGGAAAAAAGGAGAGUCAAGGAUUUGCAGCCUAAAGGAAUGGAAAAGAGGAAUAAAGGUGGUCUCUUUUGUUCUUUUGGUCAUGAAAAUGAUUUCGGUCCCUUUCGGAUUCAUGUUGAAAUGUCAAAGUUUAUGUUCCAAAAGAUGAACAUUCUAGUGCUCACAUGGGCGGCCAUCCCUUUGAAAUGAUUGUUGUGGAGUUCGAUCUAACAAUUUGCCGAUUAAAUAUUAUAACGAAAAUGUCCUUGUUUGAAGAAAAGUGUAUUAAUCAAAUUCUGUCUCAUUUAAUAUGUAGCAAACGAGAAUACUUUAUUAGUUGGUGAUAUCACGUUAACUUGUCGCGCAAUAUAAACAUCACAUAAUAUAUUUCUUCAUUUGUAAUGCCCUAAUGUCACGGUGGAUCUAAUUCAAAUGUAUGAAGUAAGGCCUUUUGAAAUCAUUUUCGUAACUUAGGGUUGAUUCAAACUUCACUAGCACCGACAGUUUGACUCAGUCAAAAUUGGGUCGGCAAUCGGGGUGUCCCAAGAUCAGCUCGUCGUCUAAGUUUUGGGGGAGGUGGAGGCUGCGGCUUUUCCGUUAUAUUUUGCUUCUCUUUCUCUUUUUUAUCAUUAUCAGUGUUGAAGCAUUUGAUCUCUAAUCCAAUGUCCCCAUCAAAGAUGUCCCCAUCAAAGAGGUAAGAUAGGAUUAGCUUAAAUAGAAUUUCAAAUAGCCCAAGCGUUACAAUAAGAUAAGUCCAAAACCUGAACACUUUAACUUUAUUUUUCGAUAGCGUUCUUGACAUAUAAUAAGAAUGUGCUUUUCUUUAAUGAUCAUAUGCAUAACAAUCUCUGAAAGAUUCUACCACAUCCAUAGUUUUAAGUGUUAAUCCAAAUUCAAAACAUAAGUUUGGAUUUAUUCAUUUGUUACUCAUGAAUUCUAUUCUUUUAUGAAAUUUAUUGAAAAUUAGAGAAUCUCAUGAUACCAACAAAAUAUCAAGCUUAUUCAACUUUUAUUCCCUUGAUACGCUAUUUAUGUAGCACAAUUUACAAAAUUCCACAAAAACCACUUCACCAGAUUCCUGCCACACCUUUCAUUCUCUUAUUCUCAGCAAAUACAAGAACAGCUACGCUCACCAGCCCCCACAAACUUUACUCCAAACACAAGAGUGACCCAAACUCUUCUUCUCUCCUUGUGAAUUUAGCACAACCAGACAUAUUUCACACAGUACAGUGAACAAUCCAAGAUAGCGAUGAGAUCUACUCAACAGGCAUCAGGGUUUGCCAAGAGAUGAGCCUCGAUGGCCUUGAACAUCUCGGACGCCUUCUCUUUCCCGGCCUUGAUCUUCUCCUCAGUGAUCUCCACCUCGCCGAUGGUGAAGUACUUGCUCGUGUUCUUGCACACCGAGCCUCCCUCGGGCGAUGCGGUGAUCUUCACCUCGUUGCUGAUCUUCUCGAAGCUGGUGCCCAGCAUGUCGCCCUCGAUGAUCGAGUAGCAGUAGGUGAAGUUCUCCUUAUCCAGGGCCUCGACUUUUUGCUUCAUUGUCUUGUACUGACUGCCUAUCAAAGUAAGAAAAAAUAAUAUUCACGUUUAGAACUCGCCAGUUUCAACAUCACGAGCAACGAUCUCGAUGGUGUCGAUCGGGCCUUUUAGGUUGUUCCAACUGCAAUCUGAUACGAUUGACUUAGUAGACAUGGCCUGAUUUCCCUCGAUUGGAGUCAAGUCACGUGAUCACUUGUGUAAAUCAAUGGUUAGAAACAUCUUUAAUUGAUCAAGUUACAUAUCUAUCCUUUUUAAUGUUCAUUAUGAUGUUCCAUAAGGUUGAAACAGCCUUGAUCCAGAGCGAUCCUAACACGGACGGACUAACCUUCGCCGAAAGUGAUCAACUUGACGGUCCCGGGACCUCCGUCGCCCUCGAGGACUUCGACGCUCUUGAUAGCUUGCGGGAGCACCUUCAGGAUGAGGUUAUCGGCGUCGAGGACAGCGGCCUUGAACAUCUUGGCCGGAGGGAUUGGGGUCGUGAUCUCGCAGUCGUAACUGACGACACCCAUGAUUUGGAUCCGAAUGGAGUUGCCGAAAUAGAGAAGAGAGUGAUCAGGAAAGGCUGACUAGCAGUGAUGAAGUUGGUCUCUAGGACUUGGGAGUGAGGAGAAGAGGAUGAACCGAA
rnacentral:lncRNA from 1 species